UCAUCCAUCGGAGUAAGACCAGAAGCUCAGAUCAAUCCUGUCGCGUUGAUUCGGUAUCGUUGUAUCGUCUAUGUAGUAGUGGGUACGUAAUUUGUGACAUUGCUGGACCUCUCUCUAAUCGUGUGGCGUGGAACUGGCGAUGAAUUGCCUGUGCUGUGCGUGAACCUCAACUUGUCUUGCGAUUUUGUUUGAUAUUUGCGUAGACUUUCCACUUGGUUAGGGGCGGUGUGCACCGUGCACAAGAGCUACCCUUUUGUUUAACUCCGUGUGUUGUUGCUCUGUUCUAUGCGGCUCGAGCAGAUAGGCACGACACGAUUAACCCCGGUCUCCGUAUAUAUCACUCUGUGGCUAGCUAGCACGGAGGCAGAUAGUUCUUUCACCUUACGUUAGGGUUCUUCCUUCUCUCGGCAGCGAAGCCGGUGUUGAGCUCAUCUAUUCCGAUCCCAACACCUUCUCCCCUCACCGGAGUCCCGUCUUGAUGAGCGGGCGGCGGAAGUACUACUGAAAAGGACAAUGAACAAGAUGGACCGAAAGGAAGUUGUGCACACCGAUGGCAGAAGCGGUGAUUUGUUGAGAUACGGGUCUAGAUUAUAUUGAUGUGUUCUUUUUAGGAUCAAUAAUGCCGCUUUGUUGAUUAAACCGUGACUAGGAAUGCCAUCCGAAACAAACUCCAUAAUGCAAUCUAGAUUAUAUUGAUGUGCUGUGCGUGAACCUCAACUUGUCUUGCGAUUUUGUUUGAUAUUUGCGUAGACUUUCCACUUGGUUAGGGGCGGUGUGCACCGUGCACAAGAGCUACCCUUUUGUUUAACUCCGUGUGUUGUUGCUCUAUUCUGUGCGGCUCGAGCAGAUAGGCACGACACGAUUAACCCCGGUCUCCGUAUAUAUCACUCUGUGGCUAGCUAGCACGGAGGCAGAUAGUUCUUUCACCUUACGUUAGGGUUCUUCCUUCUCUCGGCAGCGAAGCCGGUGUUGAGCUCAUCUAUUCCGAUCCCAACACCUUCUCCCCUCACCGGAGUCCCGUCUUGAUGAGCGGGCGGCGGAAGUACUACUGAAAAGGACAAUGAACAAGAUGGACCGAAAGGAAGUUGUGCACACCGAUGGCAGAAGCGGUGAUUUGUUGAGAUACGGGUCUAGAUUAUAUUGAUGUGUUCUUUUUAGGAUCAAUAAUGCCGCUUUGUUGAUUAAACCGUGACUAGGAAUGCCAUCCGAAACAAACUCCAUAAUGCAAUCUAGAGGAACACAAAAUCAAACCUUACAGAGUUCUUCACUCAUAGUCUCAAACCAAACAUAGCUAAGUUUAUCCGCGGCACCAUUCGCACUAUGUCUCACCCAUGAUUCCUUUACCUCUUGGAAAGCUUUGAGCAUCUCCUUAAUCUCCUCAAUGCAAGGCCCGAAAGCAGAAAGAUUCUUUGCCGCCGUUGAUCAUUUUGACCACCAAAACAUUAUCUAGCUCCAAGUGCAGCUUCUUCGUGUUGAGUUCCGACACCACCUAUAUUGCCCUUUUGCAUGCCUUGAUCUCCACCGCCUCCAGAUCAGUGAUUCCAUCAAAGCAAUGACAGGUCACCGCCCUGAACGCACCCAUGUGACCUUGCAACACAACACCCCUCCUCCCUUGUCACCAUACCUGGCAACAGCCAUGUCAGAGUUGGCCUUCACCCAGCCCUCUUCCGGGGGUUCCCAUUUCUGUUUAAUCUCUGCCUUGCUCAGCUUUACCUUGUCUCCAUGGAUCGCGCUCCACUCAUCAACAUAUGCUAACACCGAGCGUGUGGUUUCAUGUGGGUCAGCGAUCUUUCUUCCAUCUCUUGCCUCAUUUCGAACCAGCCAAAGCCCAUAUGUGGCCUGAAACAUCAUCAUCCGCUCGUGGUCAUGUGCAUAUGCAAACCAGCCCAGUAGCCAAGAAAAUACAUAUGCCGAUUGGCAGGUACUACUGGUUGGGGCUCACCCAUGGCGGCGCCGCCGCCUGAGAGGUGGCUAUGCGGUGCCAGGUGGAGGUGGGUACGCGCCCACUCGGUUUAUCGUUUUCAAUUUAUGUAGCAUAGUUGCAUAAACUUAGCUUUGUGUAACUAACUGAUAGUUGUUGCACGAGUAAAGUGCAUGUGUGGUUCUAAUUCUUUCAACAAAGUGUCGAUUGGGUCUUAAUUCUUUCAAAAUGCACAUCUGAGUCCUAAUUAUUUUAAAUUUGUUCCGAAGUCAUAAUUUCAUCUGACCACCGCUGCCCAGCUUGCGUGGCGCUUCGACCCUGGCCAUGUCGACAGGAGGGCCCAGACGGGAUAAUGACCAAUCGUGCAUAUUUGCAAAAGAACCCUUGAACCCUAAUUCCUUCAGCCGCGGUCCUUUCCUCUUCCCCACCCCUCUGGUGAAACAGGGGCGAUUGAUAGCGGAGGCGCUGCUUCGAUGAGAAGAGGUGGUCAUCGCAGGCGGUUGUCCGGCGGCGGCGCCGCUAGGAUGGUGGCACGACUACGGCAACCUGGAGAUCCUCAUUCAUGAUAUGGUCAGUGCCCGUACCCCUAACCCCCAAUGCUACUCUUUCGUUCCUCUUGUUCCGACUUAGGCCGAAUCCAUGAUCGAAACCCUUGUAUUCUAGGACCACAAGAGGAGCUUUUCAUCGUAGAAACAAACUGUGCUGGAAUGUUUUGCGGAUUUGGCAAGUCGAAGUCAUAUGAUGAUUGCAAAGUUGCUCCGUUCGAUGGCUGUGAAGUAGUACAUGGUCUCCUCUCUGGCUCAUUGAUUUCAUGCAGCAAUUAGGAUAUAGUGACCAAUCAAACAUCACUUUGUACUGCUUGCUCCCUAGAAAGAAUCUAGAUGGACUCGGAUUGUGGAUUGUGACACUCACACAUUGCACAUGAUAGCAGUUGUUCCACAAUUUCAGUAUUUUCAGUUAUCUGUGGACCACAAAAAUAUGACAUUUAACUAUGUAAUCUGUGAUAUUCAUAUUAGUGGUACACUUGAUCUGAUUCCUGUAUUAAGCCCUAAGUCUCCUGGAUUUAUGAUGACCUACAAGUACAUAGGGCUGUUGUAGCACUUUCGUGAUAAGUAAACUGUCGAACCCACAGGGAGCGAAUAGGAAGGAAUUACAAACCCUGCAACUACGCUAACACUUAUGUAGUUACGUACGCAACCAAACCGUAGUUUUUGGAAAUGGCCUAUUAUAGUAGGUUACUAGGAAGACAAAUAAAGAUAGUGUUUACUAAACUACAGAUAGGAAAUAAAGAGACUAAACUAAGGGAAACGGUGCUUGAGUAGUAAAUGUUCUUGAGGGAUUUGGAGUUAUCACCACAAGUAUGAUGCUGACAACACAUGAUAGACAUGGCUCUAUAUCUGUAUCACUAUGUCACUUGUAUAUGAUCUCGUGUGGGCGGAGCCAAUAAAGUACGCAUCCCCACUCCGGUUAUUGCACACACUCGUGCCAGCACCGUGCUUCCCCACUCUGGUUAUCACAACGAUGAUUAAGGAGGAGUGAACUCCCCAUGGACACAACAUUAAAUUCACCACUAAUCCCUACUGCAAUGACCAGGGAGGAAGGGAGAAUAGGGUGCUACUUGUGAUAGGCAUUGGGUUUCCGCCGAAGAGGAAGGGUGAUUGAUACGUCUCCGUCGUAUCUACUUUUUCUCACGCUUUUCCUCUUGUUUUGGACUGUAAUUUGCAUGAUUUGAAUGAAACUAACCCGGGCUGACGUUGUUUUCAGCAGAACUACCAUGGUGUUGUUUUUUGUGCAGAAAUAAAAGUUCUCGGAAUGGAACGAAACUUUGCGAGGACUUUUUAUAUAAUAAAAGAGAAUUUCUGGAACCAAGAACCACCGGAGGGGGGCACCUGGGUGUGCACAACCCACUAGGGCGCGCGCCCCUCCAGGUGCGCCCAGGUGGGUUGUGCCCACCUGGUGGCCCCGCAGACCCUGAAACCGACGCUAUAAAAUCACAUAUUUCCAGAAAAAAAUCAGAGAGGACGAAUUAUCGCGUUCCACGAGAUGGAGCCGCCGCCGUCUCCUGUUCUUCAUCGGGAGGCCAGAUCUGGAGCCCGUUUGGGGCUCCGGGGAGGGGGAUUUUCGAUCUUCGUCAUCACCAACCCUUCUCCAUCGCCAAUUCCAUGAUGCUCCCCACCAGGAGUGAGUAAUUCCUUCAUAGCACUACUGCAGGAUGCUGCUAACGCGACACUACGAUCAAAGACCCUUUCACGAAACUGUGUGCGAUGCAUUAAUCACAAACGGGGAUGUAAAAAACCCGUCAAAAAGGUGUAAAACGUUUGCAAUGGAGGAUGCAUCAAACACGGUUCAGAUUUUAGUUGCGUGUGCGAUCCAGGGCAUAUGGUUCAGUCCAAUGAACUGUUUGCGAUGAGGCGGAACAAAAGAAACGGGCAGCCUGAUGAAGGCGUGUGCGAUAUAGAGCGUACGGUUCACUCGGAUGAACUAUUUGUGAUUAGGCAACACAAAAGAAACGGGCAGCCAGAUGAAGGCGUGUGCGAUAUACAUCAUACGGUUCACUCGGAUGAAUUGUUUGUGAUUAGGCAACACAAAAGAAACGGUCAGCCAGAUCAAGGUGUGUGUGAUUGAGGGCAUACGCUUCAGAAGGAUUAACUGUUUGUGAUUAGGCAACUGAACAGAAACAGGUAAGCCAGAUCAAAGUGUCUGCGAUUGAUGGCAUACACUUCACAUGGAUGAACUGUUUGCGAUUAGCCACAACAAACUGAAACAGUUAGAUAGAUCAACGUGUGUGCGCUAGACGGGCACACCCAUUCUAAUUAAAAGAAGCGUACGCGAUGGUAAUAACAAGCGCGCACGGUUGUUGGAACAAGACGUGUGCUGACAUUGCCUAUUGCAGUGCACCCUAUGGUGCAAACGCCACGUACGCGGCCGAGAAGGCGUACGUGCCCACGUUACGCCUUCCGAGAAUAGUGCCGCACUUAUAACUGUCAGUAAAUUUUGAGCAUGCGUCCCAUCACAAUUUUUUUUAGAAGAACAGGGAGGCCGCGUCCCGUCACAUUCCAAAUUGCAAACCUAUUCACACCGAUCAAAACCUAAACGGUUUCCCACUUAGGAGCGUAUUACUACGCGGUUAUAAAUACUACUACUCCAAGAUGAUUGCACAUUCCUCCUCAACUCCUCAUCCACAAAAGUUCAAAAACAAACAAGUCAUUCAUCAUCGUUCCCUUGCGUCCGCCAUGGCCAGCGUGAGUUCUGCGUCGAGAGAUUGCCACCAGGGAGAGGCAAUCCUGAAAGCGGGAGCACGAUAAAUGUCCCGCCUCGCCGCGAAAGCAGCCAACUGUUGGGGAACGUAGUAAUUUCAAAAAAAUUCCUACGCACACGCAAGAUCAUGGUGAUGCAUAGCAACGAGAGGGGAGAGUGUUGUCCAUGUACCCUCGUAGACUGAAAGCGGAAGCGUUAUCACAACGCGGUUAAUGUAGUCAUACGUCUUCACGAUCCGACCGAUCAAGUACCGAACGCACGGCACCUCCGAGUUCAGCACACGUUCAGCUCGAUGACGUCCCUCGAACUCUGAUCCAGCCGAGUGUUGAGGGAGAGUUUUGUCAGCACGACGGCGUGGUGACGAUGAUGAUGUUCUACCGACGCAGGGCUUCGCCUAAGCUCCGCAACGAUAUUAUCGAGGUGUAAUAUGGUGGAGGGGGCACCGCACACGGCUAAAAUAUCGUAUAUCCAAUUGUGUGUAGAGGUGCCCCCCUGCCCCCGUAUAUAAAGGAGCAAGGGGGAGGCCGGCUGCCUUGGGCGCGCCAAGGAGAGGGGGGGGAGUCCUCCUCCUAGUAGGAGUAGGACUCCCCUUUCCUAGUCCAACUAGGAAGAGAGGGGGGAGGGGGAGGAAAGAGAGGGAGAGGGAGAGGGAAAGAGGGGCUGCGCCCCCCUCUCCUAGUCCUAUUAGGACUCCUUAUGGGAGGGGGCGCGCCACCUCCUGGCUGCUGCCCUCUCUCUCCCCUCAAGGCCCACUAAGGCCCAAUACUUCCCCGGGGGGUUUCGGUAACCCCUCCGGCACUCCGGUUUUAUCCGAAACUUCUCCGGAACACUUCCGGUGUCCGAAUAUAGUCGUCCAAUAUAUCAAUCUUUAUGUCUCGACCAUUUCGAGACUCCUCGUCAUGUCCGUGAUCACAUCUGGGACUCCGAACAACCUUCGGUACAUCAAAACAUAUAAACUCAUAAUAUAAUUGUCAUCGUAACGUUAAGCGUGCGGACCCUACGGGUUCGAGAACUAUGUAGACAUGACCGAGACACCUCUCCGGUCAAUAACCAAUAGCGGAACCUGGAUGCUCAUAUUGGUUCCUACAUAUUCUACGAAGAUCUUUAUCGGUCAAACCGCAUAACAACAUAUGUUGUUCCCUUUGUCAUCGGUAUGUUACUUGCCCGAGAUUCGAUCGUCGGUAUCUCGAUACCUAGUUCAAUCUCGUUACCGGCAAGUCUCUUUACUCGUUCCGUAAUACAUCAUCCCGCAACUAACUCAUUAGUCACAAUGCUUGCAAGGCUUAUAGUGAUGUGCAUUACUGAGUGGGCCCAGAGAUACCUCUCCCGACAAUCGGAGUGACAAAUCCUAAUCUCGAAAUACGCCAACCCAACAAGUACCUUUGGAGACACCUGUAGAGCACCUUUAUAAUCACCCAUUUACGUUGUGACGUUUGGUAGCACACAAAGUGUUUCUCUGGUAAACGGGAGUUGCAUAAUCUCAUAGUCAUAGGAAUAUGUAUAAGUCAUGAAGAAAGCAGUAGGAACAUACUAAACGAUCGGGUGCUAAGCUAACGGAAUGGGUCAAGUCAAUCACGUCAUUCUCCUAAUGAGGUGAUCCCGUUAAUCAAAUGACAACUCAUGUCUAUGGCUAGGAAACAUAACCAUCUUUGAUUAACGAGCUAGUCAAGUAGAGGCAUACUAGUGACACACUGUUUGUCUAUGUAUUCACACAUGUAUUAUGUUUCCGGUUAAUACAAUUCUAGCAUGAAUAAUAAACAUUUAUCAUGAUAUAAGGAAAUAAAUAGUACUUUAUUAUUGCCUCUAGGGCAUAUUUCCUUCAGUCUCCCACUUGCACUAGAGUCAAUAAUCUAGUUCACAUCGUCAUGUGAUUUAACAUCAAUAAUUCACAUCACCAUGUGAUUAACACCCAUAGUUCACAUUGUCAUGUGACCAACACCCAAAGGGUUUACUAGAGUCAAUAAUCUAGUUCACAUCGCUAUGUGAUUAACACCCAAAGAGUACUAAGGUGUGAUCAUGUUUUGAUUGUGAGAUAAUUUUAGUCAACGGGUCUGUCACAUUCAGAUCCGUAAGUAUUUUGCAAAUUUCUAUGUCUACAAUGCUCUGCACGGAGCUACUCUAGCUAAUUGCUCCCACUUUCAAUAUGUAUCUAGACCGAGACUUAGAGUCACCUAGAUUAGUGUCAAAACUUGCAUCGACGUAACCCUUUACGACGAACCUUUUGUCACUUCCAUAAUCGAGAAACACAUCCUUAUUCCACUAAGGAUAAUUUUGACCGCUGUCCAGUGAUCUACUCCUAGAUCACUAUUGUAAUCCCUUGCCAAAAUCAGUGUAGGGUAUACAAUAGAUCUGGUACACAGCAUGGCAUACUUUAUAGAACCUAUAGCCAAGGCAUAGGGAAUGACUUUCAUUCUCUUUCUAUCUUCUGCCGUGGUCGGGCUUUGAGUCUUACUCAAUUUCACACCUUGUAACACAGGCAAGAACUCUUUCUUUGACUGUUCUAUUUUGAACUACUUCAAAAUCUUGUUAAGGUAUGUACUCAUUGAAAAAGCUUAUCAAGCGUCUUGAUCUAUCUCUAUAGAUCUUGAUGCUCAAUAUGUAAGCAGCUUCACCGAGGUCUUUCUUUGAAAAACUCCUUUCAAACACUCCUUUGUGCUUUGCAGAAUAAUUCUACAUUAUUUCCGAUCAACAAUAUGUCAUUCACAUAUACUUAUCAGAAAUGCUGUAGUGCUCCCACUCACUUUCUUGUAAAUACAGGCUUCACCGCAAGUCUGUAUAAAACUAUAUCCUUUGAUCAAUUUAUCAAAGCGUAUAUUCCAACUCCGAGAUGCUUGCACCAGUCCAUAGAUGGAUCGCUGGAGCUUGCAUAUUUUGUUAGCACUUUUAGGAUUGACAAAACCUCCUGGUUGCAUCAUAUACAACUCUUCUUUAAUAAAUCCAUUAAGGAAUGCAGUUUUGUUUAUCCAUUUGCCAUAUUUCAUUAAAUGCAGCAAUUGCUAACAUGAUUCAGACAGACUUAAGCAUAGAUACGAGUGAGAAACUCUCAUCGUAGUCAACACCUUAAACUUGUCGAAAACUUUUUGCGACAAUUCUAGCUUUGUAGAUAGUAACACUACUAUCAGCGUCCGUCUUCCUCUUGAAGAUCCAUUUAAUCUCAAUGGCUCGCCGAUCAUUGGGCAAGUCAAUCAAAGUCCAUACUUUGUUCGCAUACAUGGAUCUCAUCUCAGAUUUCAUGGCCUCAAGCCAUUUUGCGGAAUCUGGGCUCACCAUCGCUUCUUCAUAGUUCGUAGGUUCGUCAUGGUCUAGUAACAUAACCUCCAGAACAGGAUUACCGUACCACUCUGGUGCGGAUCUUACUCUGGUUUACCUAUGAGGUUUGGUAGUAACUUGAUCUGAAGUUACAUGAUCAUCAUCAUUAACUUCCUUACUAAUUGGUGUAGGAGUCACAGGAACAGAUUUCUGUGAUGAACUACUUUCCAAUAAGGGAGCAGGUACAGUUACCACAUCAAGUUCUACUUUCCUCCCACUCACUUCUUUCGAGAGAAACUCCUUCUCUAGAAAGGAUCCAUUCUUAGCAACGAAUGUCUUGCCUUCGGAUCUGUGAUAGAAGGUGUACCCAACUGUCUCCUUUGGGUAUCCUAUGAAGACACAUCUCUCCGAUUUGGGUUUGAGCUUAUCAGGAUGAAACCUUUUCACAUAAGCUUCGCAACCCCAAACUUUAAGAAACGACAACUUUGGUUUCUUGCCAAACCAUAGUUCAUAAGAUGUCGUCUCAACGGAUUUAGAUGGUACCCUAUUUAACGUGAAUGCAGCUAUCUCUAAUGCAUAACCCCAGGACGAUAGUGGUAAAUCGGUAAGAGACAUCAUAGAUUGCACUAUAUCCAAUAAAGUACGGUUAUGACGUUCGGACACACCAUUAGGCUGUGGUGUUCCAGGUGGCACGAAUUUGUGGAACUAUUCCACAUUGUUUUAAUUGAAGACCAAACUCGUAACUCAAAUAUUUGUCUCCGCGAUCAGAUCGUAGAAACUUUAUUUUCUUGUCACGAUGAUUUUCCACUUCACUCUGAAAUUCUUUGAACUUUUCAAAUGUUUCAGACUUAUGUUUCAUCAAGUAGAUAUACCCAUAUCUGCUCAAAUCAUCUGUAAAGGUCAGAAAAUAACGAUACCCGCCGCGAGCCUCAACACUCAUCGGAUCGCAUACAUCAGUAUGUAUUAUUUCCAAUAAGUCAGUUGCUCGCUCCAUUGUUCCGGAGAAUGGAGUCUUAGUCAUCUUGCCCAUAAGGCAUGGUUCGCAAGCAUCAAGUGAUUCAUAAUCAAGUGAUUCCAAAAUCCCAUCAGUAUGGAGUUUCUUCAUGCGCUUUACACCAAUAUGACUUAAACGGCAGUGCCACAAAUAAGUUGCACUAUCAUUAUUAACUUUGCAUCUUUUGGCUUCAAUAUUAUGAAUAUGUGUAUCACUACGAUCGAGAUCCAACGAACCAUUUUCAUUGGGUGUGUAACCAUAUAAGGUUUUAUUCAUGUAAACAGAAAAACAAUUAUUCUCUAACUUUAAAUGAAUAACCGUAUUGCAAUAAACAUGAUCAAAUCAUAUUCAUGCUCAACGCAAACACCAAGUAACACUUAUUUAGGUUCAACACUAAUCCCGAAAGUAUAGGGAGUGUGCGAUGAUGAUCAUAUCAAUCUUGGAACCACUUCCAAUACACAUCGUCACUUCAUCCUUAACUAGUUUCUGUUCAUUAUGCAACUCCCGUUUCGAGUUACUACUCUUUAGCAACUGAACCAGUAUCAAAUACCGAGGGGUUGCUACGAACACUAGUAAAAUACACAUCAAUAAUCUGUAUAUCAAAUAUACCUUUGUUCACUUUGCCAUCCUUCUUAUCCACCAAAUACUUGGGGCAGUUCCGCUUCCAGUGACUAGUCCCUUUGCAGUAGAAGCACUUUAGUCUCAGGCUUAGGACCAGACUUAGGCUUCUUCACUUGAGCAGCAACUUGCUUGCCGUUCUUCUUGAAGUUCCCCUUCUUCCCUUUACCCUUUUCUUGAAACUAGUGGUCUCGUCAACCAUCAACACUUGAUGUUUUUCUUGAUUUCUACCUUCGUCGAUUUCAGCAUCACGAAGAGCUCGGGAAUUACUUUCGUCAUCCCUUGCAUACUAUAGUUCAUCACGAAGUUCUACUAACUUGGUGAUGGUGACUAGAGAAUUCUGUCAAUCACUAUUUUAUCUGGAAGAUUAACUCCCACUUGAUUCAAGCGAUUGUAGUACCCAGACAAUCUAAGCACAUGCUCACUGCUUGAGCUAUUCUCCUCCAUCUUUUAGCUAUAGAACUUGUUGGAGACUUCAUAUCUCUCAACUCGGGUAUUUGCUUGAAAUAUUAACUUCAACUCCUGGAACAUCUCAUAUGGUCCAUGACGUUCAAAACGUCUUUGAAGUCCCGAUUCUAAGCCGUUAAGCAUGGUGCACUAAACUAUCAAGUAGUCAUCAUAUUGAGCUAGCCAAACGUUCAUAACGUCUGCAUCUGCUCCUGCAAUAGGUCUGUCACCUAGCGGUGCAUUAAGGACAUAAUUCUUCUGUGUAGCAAUGAGGUUAAUCCUCAGAUCACGGAUCCAAUCCGCAUCUUUGCUACUAACAUCUUUCAACAUAAUUUUCUCUAGGAACAUAUCAAAAAUAAACACAGGGAAGCAACAACGCGAGCUAUUGAUCUACAACAUAAUUUGCAAAAAUACUAUCAGGACUAAGUUCAUGAUAAAUUUAAGUUCAAUUAAUCAUAUUACUUAAGAACUCCCACUUAGAUAGACAUCCCUCUAAUCCUCUAAGUGAUCACGUGAUCCAUAUCAACUAAACCAUGUCCGAUCAUCACGUGAGAUGGAGUAGUUUCAAUGGUGAACAUCACUAUGUUGAUCGUAUCUACUAUAUGAUUCACGCUCGACCUUUCGGUCUCCGUGUUCCGAGGCCAUAUCUGCAUAUGCUAGGCUCAUCAAGUUUAACCUGAGUAUUCCGCGUGUGCAACUGUUUUGCACCCGUUGUAUUUGAACGUAGAACCUAUCACACCCGAUCAUCACGUGGUGUCUCAGCACGAAGAACUUUCACAACGGUGCAUACUCAGGGAGAACACUUUUAUCUUGAAAUUUUAGUGAGAGAUCAUCUUAUAAUGCUACCGUCAAUCAAAGCAAGAUAAGAUGCAUAAAAGAUAAACAUCACAUGCAAUCAAUAUAAGUGAUAUGAUAUGGCCAUCAUCAUCUUGUGCUUGUGAUCUCCAUCUCCGAAGCACCGUCAUGAUCACCAUCGUCACCGGCGCGACACCUUGAUCUCCAUCGUAGCAUCGUUGUCGUCUCGCCAACUAUUGCUUUUAUGACUAUCGCUACCGCUUAGUGAUAAAGUAAAACAAUUACAUGGCGAUUGCAUUUCAUACAAUAAAGCGACAACCAUAUGGCUCCUGCCAGUUGCCGAUAACUCGGUUACAAAACAUGAUCAUCUCAUACAAUAAAAUAUAGCAUCAUGUCUUGACCAUAUCACAUCACAACAUGCCCUGCAAAAACAAGUUAGACGUCCUCUACUUUGUUGUUGCAAGUUUUACGUGGCUGCUACGGGCUUAGCAAGAACCGUUCUUACCUACACAUCAAAACCACAACGAUAGUUUGUCAAGUUGGUGAUGUUUUAACCUUCGCAAGGACCGGGCGUAGCCACACUCGGUUCAACUAAAGUGAGAGAGACAGACACCCGCCAGUCACCUUUAAGCAACGAGUGCUCGCAACGGUGAAACCAGUCUCGCGUAAGCGUACGCGUAAUGUCGGUCCGGGCCGCUUCAUCUCACAAUACUGCUGAACCAAAGUAUGACAUGCUGGUAAGCAGUAUGACUUAUAUCGCCCACAACUCACUUGUGUUCUACUCGUGCAUAACAUCAAUGCAUAAAACCAGGCUCUGAUACCACUGUUAGGGAACGUAGUAAUUUCAAAAAAAAUUCUACGCACACGCAAGAUCAUGGUGAUGCAUAGCAACGAGAGGGGAGAGUGUUGUCCACGUACCCUCGUAGACCGAAAGCGGAAGCGUUAUCACAACGCGGUUGAUGUAGUCGUACGUCUUCACGAUCCGACCGAUCAAGUACCGAACGCACGGCACCUCCGAGUUCAGCACACGUUCAGCUUGAUGACGUCCCUCAAACUCCGAUCCAGCCGAGUGUUGAGGGAGAGUUUCAUCAGCACGACGGCGUGGUGACGAUGAUGAUGUUCUACCGACGCAGGGCUUCGCCUAAGCUCCACAACGAUAUUAUCGAGGUGUAAUAUGGUGGAGGGGGGGCACCGCACACGGCUAAAAUAUCGUAUAUCCAAUUGUGUGUAGAGGUGCCCCCUGCCCCCGUAUAUAAAGGAGCAAGGGGGAGGCCGGCUGCCUUGGGCGCGCCAAGGAAAGGGGGGAGUCCUCCUCCUAGUAGGAGUAGGACUCCCCUUUCCUAGUCCAACUAGGAAGANNNNNNNNNNGGAAAGAGAGGGAGAGGGAGAGGGAAAGAGGGGCUGCGCCCCCUCCCCUAGUCCAAUUCGGACUCCUCAUGGGAGGGGGCGCGCCACCUCCUGGCUGCUGCCCUCUCUCUCCCCUCAAGGCCCACUAAGGCCCAAUACUUCCCCGGGGGGUUCCGGUAACCCCUCCGGCACUCCGGUUUUAUCCGAAACUUCUCCGGAACACUUCCGGUGUCCGAAUAUAGUCGUCCAAUAUAUCAAUCUUUAUGUCUCGACCAUUUCGAGGCUCCUCGUCAUGUCCGUGAUCACAUCCGGGACUCCGAACAACCUUCGGUACAUCAAAACAUAUAAACUCAUAAUAUAACUGUCAUCGUAACUUUAAGCGUGCGGACCCUACGGGUUCGAGAACUAUGUAGACAUGACCGAGACACCUCUCCGGUCAAUAACCAAUAGCGGAACCUGGAUGCUCAUAUUGGUUCCUACAUAUUCUACGAAGAUCUUUAUCGGUCAGACCGCAUAACAACAUACGUUGUUCCCUUUGUCAUCGGUAUGUUACUUGCCCGAGAUUCGAUCGUCGGUAUCUCGAUACCUAGUUCAAUCUCGUUACCGGCAAGUCUCUUUACUCGUUCCAUAAUACAUCAUCCCGCAACUAACUCAUUAGUCACAAUGCUUGCAAGGCUUAUAGUGAUGUGNNNNNNNNNNUUAUCCGAAACUUCUCCGGAACACUUCCGGUGUCCGAAUAUAGUCGUCCAAUAUAUCAAUCUUUAUGUCUCGACCAUUUCGAGGCUCCUCGUCAUGUCCGUGAUCACAUCCGGGACUUCGAACAACCUUGGGUACAUCAAAACAUAUAAACUCAUAAUAUAACUGUCAUCGUAACGUUAAGCGUGCGGACCCUACGGGUUCGAGAACUAUGUAGACAUGACCGAGACACCUCUCCGGUCAAUAACCAAUAGUGGAACCUGGAUGCUCAUAUUGGUUCCUACAUAUUCUAUGAAGAUCUUUAUCGGUCAAACCGCAUAACAACAUAUGUUGUUCCCUUUGUCAUCGGUAUGUUACUUGCCCGAGAUUCGAUUGUCGGUAUCUCGAUACCUAGUUCAAUCUCGUUACCGGCAAGUCUCUUUACUCGUUCCGUAAUACAUCAUCCCGCAACUAACUCAUUAGUCACAAUGCUUGCAAGGCUUAUAGUGAUGUGCAUUACUGAGUGGGCCCAGAGAUACCUCUCCGACAAUCGGAGUGACAAAUCCUAAUCUCGAAAUACGCCAACCCAACAAGUACCUUUGGAGACACCUGUAGAGCACCUUUAUAAUCACCCAUUUACGUUGUGACGUUUGGUAGCACACAAAGUGUUCCUCCGAUAAACGGGAGUUGCAUAAUCUCAUAGUCAUAGGAACAUGUAUAAGUCAUGAAGAAAGCAGUAGGAACAUACUAAACGAUCGGGUGCUAAGCUAACGGAAUGGGUCAAGUCAAUCACGUCAUUCUCCUAAUGAGGUGAUCCUAUUAAUCAAAUGACAACUCAUGUCUAUGACUAGGAAACAUAACCAUCUUUGAUUAACGAGCUAGUCAAGUAGAGGCAUACUAGUGACACACUGUUUGUCUAUGUAUUCACACAUGUAUUAUGUUUCCGGUUAAUACAAUUCUAGCAUGAAUAAUAAACAUUUAUCAUGAUAUAAGGAAAUAAAUAAUACUUUAUUAUUGCCUCUAGGGCAUAUUUCCUUCACCAACAUGUCCCGCCGCACGGCCGUAGCAGCAGAGAGGUCCCGCCGCGCCGCCGAAGCAGCACGGAGGACCCGCCGCGCCGUCGAUGCAGCAGACUGGUCCGGCAACGCCGCGGAAGCAGAAGAGAUGUCCCGCCGCAUGGCGAAUGCAACAGAGAUGUCCCCCCGCGCCGCGGCGGCCUGGGAAAAUGCCUCGCGGGCAGGCGAGGACUCUUACAGGCGCAUGCGUGCCCUCGUCCUUAGGCAGAUGGAUCAGAUCUCCAGGUGGGCGAGGUUGCAGGAUGACCUGAAAGCCUCGUUUGAACAGUGUACCGACGUCAUCCAGCAACUAAAUGAGAGCAAUGCGGCCGAGUGCGACCUGGUCAGGGCGAAGAUCGUCGGAAGUGCGGAGUAGUAGGAGCAGACCACUGCCUUGUUGAAGAGGACCGGCGUCAUCGUCGAGAAACUUAUGGACGAGAAUGCCAUGCUGCGCAUCGAGCGCAGAAGGCUGGUGGAGGAAUCUGUGGAUGCUCUCAACCAGCAUCUUGAGGACAAGAAAGAGCUCGUCGCCGCUCGCCGCGGAGACUAGUUCCCGCGGCCUGCAGCAACGCAUCAAGAAAGUAGAGAUCAGCGAGCCAGCGAGUUGUCUUCCUCUUCUUUUGCCCAUGUGUAUUUCGGGCGUUGCCGCAUGUGGCUUUUUUUAAUUAUGUUUCUAAAUAUGUAAGACAAUUAUUAUCCACUGUCAUCAUCCUUAUAUUCAUCAUGCUUGCUAUAAGUCGUAGUCGAUGCUAUAUAGGUCCGUCGGAUCUUACAUCAAGAUCCGUGCAAAACUUUCUUUUCAAAUUUUCAUUUUUCUCUCUUAAAUCUCAGUCUAGUGAGACAUAUAGCCACGCCGUAGAACAGGUGCUCGGGCGCCAUUAAUGGACACAUUGGGAGGGAGGUGCGCGCGGGUAGUGGUCAAAGGGCUCUCCUCCUGAUGAGCACGCGCAGGGGUCGGAUCGCACGCCUCCCGUACUCAAAUAGCUACCCCGCACGGCACCUUCCAGCCAAUAAAAAAAGGGGACGCGUGGCCACACGUAAUUGGUAAGUUGAACACCACGGUUUCAAUAAUACUUGUGUUUCCGAUUUGUAACGUGAUAGCACUUGUUCCAAAAUGACUUUGUUGAUUGUUAAUGUGUGCGCCUUCGCAAAUCGGACAGAAAAAUUACCACAACAUGUUGGUGCCAUGUCAUGAGACCAUGCCAAGUUCCAUGAUUUUCAGGCGUGUUUUGGAAUUACAGGAAUUAAAAAACCAAGUUUCUCAAUCUUUCCGGCCGAGCCACGACGCCCAGAUGUUUGAAUUUCACUCCCAUCUCUUGUAUGGGACCUAGAAAUUCACCCAAGGACACACAUGUGAUUUUUCAAACAACUUUGGUGCACUGGAGCACGUGCUUGUACUUCAAAUUUGAAUUAUACACAUUAAUUGCGCAGAAACUCAAUUAAUGUAUAAAAAAGGCCAUACGAACAUGGAAUAAUUCCAAAAUUUAGCACGAUACUUCUAUUUGGUCUAAUUUGCCUAUGUAAAAAAAAUUAAGGCGGGAGAAGGUAGUGUACGUAUGUCGUUUCGCACACGGAGGUGACACGUUCCCUCUCGGAACAAGGAGCCUUCUUGAGGGAAGCUCCGGUUUGCAAGAAGCUUACAUCAAAGCUUGUCCCAAUUCGGCCAAAAAAAUUACUGCAGCAUGUUGGUGCCAUGUCAUGACACCAUGCCAAGUUUCAUGAUUUUCAGCCGUGUUUUGGAUUUACAGGAAUUAAAAAACCAAGUUUCUCAAUCAUUCCGGUCGAGCCACGACACCCAGAUGUUUGAAUUUUAUUUCCAUUUCUUGCAUGGACCUAUAUAUUCACCCAAAGACACACAUGUGAUUUUUCAGCAAACUUUGGUGCAUUGGAGCAUGUGCUUGUAGUUCAAAUUUGAAUUAUGCACAUUAAAUGCCCAGAAACUCAAAUAAUGCAUAAAAAUGCCAAACGAACCCGGAAUAAUUCCAAAUUUAAACACGACACUCAUGUACUAGUUGCAUGUUCACUGUACGUAAAUGUUCUAGCAAUACAAACACCAUCCUUUCCUCCGUAACACCAUUUUGUCUUUCAAAACAUAAUGAAAAAAAAUCAGGUAUACCACAAACAGUUUACUAGAAAGAAUCGUGUGGGAUGCGAUAUAAAAUAUCUUGGCGCACCGUCUUGUCUGGCUUACGCAGGAAGCUUUGCCGUCUACAGUCCACCGCCCCCGCUUGAACCACACUUGCGCGCUAGUUUCUCGCGGCACCGAGCGAAAUUUUUUUGCCACCGCGGAAAUAUCUAUCUCCCCGCCCCUCUCUCCUACCAAAAGCCACAUUUCCACUAUUCCUCCUUGCUUUCCAAGUUCAAACCUUCACUGCUGCUUACUGGCAGCUCAGCCUCCUCACCGGCGACCCUUCUUCUUGCAGCACCGCCUCCUCGCCGGCUACCCUUCUUCUUGCAGCGCCACCUCCUCGCCGGCUACCCUUCUUCUUGCAGCGCCGCCUCCUCGCCGGCGACCCUUCCUCUUGCAGCGCCGCCUCCUCGCCAGUGACCCUUCUUCUUGCUGCGCGGCCUCAUCGAUAUGGUCAGGUAAUCCACACCCCACCCACACCAUCCUCCUCCUUUCCCGUCCCACAUGCCCCGACUGACGGAGCGACACCUUCCACCGAAAUCACUGCCCCCCUCCUCCAAUUAAGCGCCGCCCACAGCCAUUUUACACGCAGUAUAACAUGGAGCUGAGUAGCAUGCGGCUGCACGCGUGAACGAGGUCGCUAUGGCUGACAUGCGUGUCGACAGCCAGAUUUUGGAGGAGCACCUCGUCUUCGAGGCCACCGUCGACACCGCCGCGCGGUUGUCUACUUUAAAAUACAGUUCGUCAUUUUUUCUCGAGGCCACCGCCAGUGCCUUCUAGUGAUUUAUCCUCUGUAAUGUUAAUAUGCAAUCUGAUGUCCAGUUAACAGUUUGGACCUCUGAAAUGUAAUGUUUAGUUAACACUUUGGUCCAACAAUUGCUACAUUUUGUAGUACUGCUCUCAAGCAUUCUUUGUUUUGUUAACUGUCUUAUCUUCUAGUACAUGUUUCUAUUCUGAAAUGUCGUGCUCAGUUAACUAUUUUGGUUCAUUUGGUCUGCUGUCCAUUUAACUGUUUGGUUCAGUUCUGCAAUUUGAUUUUCAUUUGUCGUGGGUACAAUUUUGUAUUGUUAUGCAUGUGACAUCAAUCGAAUUUGGCUGUACUCAAUACACAUUCUACUGAUAGUAUGGCAACUCUCAGUUAACGUGAUCAAGAUCUUCCUUAUGUGUGUUGCAGGGAAACAAUGGGAGACACUGCGGUUUACCAUCGAGGUUUGUUCAAGCAGGGUCCUUUGGCUAAUAGCACAUUAUUGUGCAGUUGCAGGAAUCAUUCUAAUAUUUAGGUUUCUUACAAUUUGGUCUUGCACAUGUAGGUCCUGCUGUCAGAGGCUUAGACCCACUGUUCGACCCAUUUUGCAUAUGGGGAAAUGAGAUGUCCAUGAAUAUCAGUCAAGUCAAGAAACUCAGAAAGAUUGUUAGGAUGAAGAAACUUGCGACGAAUAACAACAAGAUCUUUGUUUGCACAAUGAAGAAGACAUCGGUCAACUAUAGGAUGGUACCAACUCUUUUACCUUAUUUUUACCGCCAUUCCAAAAUUUACAACAACGAUUUAUGCAUAGCUUUGUUUUCAGUACUUUUCAAAGCAGUUCACCGAUGAUUACCUCUCAAACCACAUGCAUGGUCAAGAGGCGAGGAAGGUAUUCAUUCAACACCCACGGUACAAUAUUGAAAUCUUGCUGAAGAGGACGAAGGUUGGGCGGGCAAUUAUCCAUAGCCACUGGCCUAAAGUUGCAAGGACAUUCAACAUCACUCAAGGCUCAAUAUUUGCACCGUGGGCGAUGAACUCAAACAACCCGCACGGUUUCUAGAAAGUAGGCGUGUUCGAUCAACUAACAAUCACACACGGCUUCCGGCAGCGAACUGUUUGCAUUAGGCCACCUUGCACAAACGUUUCCACACAAAGAAUUGUGUGGGAUGUACAUACCUACAGAAAUGAUUUUCUGGGAUUCACCGUGUGGGAUGUUCAUACCUACGGAAAUGAUUUAUGGGAUUCACCGCGUGGGAUGUACAUACUACGGAAAUGAUUUUUCGGAUUCACCGUGUGGGAUGUACAUACCUACGGAAAUGAUUUCUGGGAUUCACCGUGUCGGAUGUACGUACCUACGGAAAUGAUUUCUGGGAUUCACCGUGUGGGAUGUACAUACCUACGGAAAUGAUUGGGUUUCCAUGCCUCGCUCGAUCGCACACGGCCCCAGCCUGGGUCCCACGAGGGCCUAUCCCCGACGAUUUCUGGAUCGUGUGGGAAGGACCCCCCUAUCGCCCACACUCACUUGGCGACGGUUCCAAAUGCCGUCGCGGAAAGGGGUUUUAAACCGUUUGUUUAGGACGUCUGAAAGAUCAUGGAUGUCGCCUAGAGGGGGUGAAUAGGCGCUUUAAAAUAAUUACGGUUUAGGCUUGAACAAAUGUGGAAUAAACCUAGCGGUUAAUUUGUCAAGCACAAAACCUACAACAACUAGGCUCACCUAUGUGCACCAACAACUUAUGCUAAGCAAGAUAAACUACUAGGUGAUAGCAGGAUAUAUGACAAGAAACAAUAUGGCUAUCACGAAGUAAAGUGCAUAAGUAAAGAGCUCGGGUGGAGGUUAGAGCAGACGCUAAUCUCCUUUUGGAGCGGUGUGGAGGCACAAUGCUACCUAAGAAGCCACUAGGGCCACCGUUAUCUCCUCACGCCCUUGCACAAUGCAAGAUGCCGUGAUUCCACUAAGGGACCCUUGAGGGCGGUCACCGAACCCGUACAAAUGGCAGCCCUCGGGGGCGGUCACCGAACCCGUAAACUUUGGCAACCCUUGGGGGCGGUCACCGGUACCCGUCAAAUUGCUCGGGGCGAUCUCCACAACCUAAUUGGAGACCCCGUCGCUUGCCCGGAGCUUUACACCACAAUGAUUGAGCUCCGAACACCACCAACCGUCUAGGGCGCCCAAGCACCCAAGAGGAACAAGCUCAAGGGUAGCAAGCACCCAAGAGUAAUAAGCUUCUCAACUUGUAACUUCCACGUAUCACCGUGGAUAACUCAAAUCGAUGCACCAAAUGCAAUGGCAAGGGCACACGGAGUGCCCAAGUCCUUCUCUCUCAAAUCCCACCGAAGCAACUGAUGCUAGGGAGGAAAAUGAGAGGAAGAACAAGGAGAAGACCAAGAACUCCAAGAUCUAGAUCCAAGGGGUUCCCCUCACAUAGAGGAGAAAGUGAUUUGUGGAAAUGUGGAUCUAGAUCUCCUCUCUCCUUUCCCCCCCAAACUAGCAAGAAUCCAUGGAGGGAUUGAGAGAUAGAAAGCUCGAAGAAGGCCAAGAAUGGGGAAAGAACACGAGCUCAAAGGAUUGGGUUCAUUGGUAGGAGGGGGAAAAUCCAACCGUUAUGCUCACAGCCCGCACAGAGCGGUACUACCGCUCCUACGAGCGGUACUACCGCUAGGGCGGCAGAAGCCCAAGAAACAACACUGCAAAGGGGCAACAGGGCGGUACUACCUCCUGCCCUUGCGGUACUACCACGCGACCACGGAAGUAAAAAAACUGCCGCGCCUACAACCGCUGGAGCUAGCUACGAGAAAAAGUUGGGACGGUACUACCGCUCACAGGGAGCGGUACUACCUCGUAAGGGUGGAUGUAAAAAAUUACAUCCGCGCCUACUAUCGUACGCAAUAGCGCCAGGACACGAGGCAGCGGUACUACCGCUAACCAAUAGCGGUACUACCGCGUAGGGCGCAGAAGUAAAAAAUUACUUCCGCGCCUACUUCCAUGCGCGCCAGCGUUCUGGGCUAGAGGCAGCGGUACUACCACUCACCAGGAGCGGUACUACCGCUGGCCCCUGCGGUACUACUGCUCCCUUGAGCAGUACUACCGCACGCCACAGAGGCUUUAGCACUUGGAUGCCUUCAAAACGCAGCUAAAGACAACAGACGGAUCCAAUAAAACCAGAACGGACAUAACUUCUGCAAACCAUCUCCGAAUUGAGCAAACUCAAGCUUGUUGGAUACAAGACAACGAGUAGCAUAAAACCAGCUUGUUGGAUAUAGUAAGAAGAGGCAGGGGAGGUAUGCGAAACAAAAAGAGGAGAGAAACCUCCAACAGAGAAGAACCGGCAGAACCUCCAACAUCGAAAACAUCAUAGAAGAUGCAUGUGAACUCCAUUUUCGAUGAACUCGAGCUUGUCAUCAAGAUGACCAUAAGCUCCAAAUCUCCCAAAGAGAACCAAACAAGAACCAAGAAAUAUGAUGCAAGGAUGCAAUGGUUUGAGCUCUCUACGAAUAAUACGAUCAAGCUACUCAUCGAGAGCCCCCCUUGAUAGUACGGCAAACGAUCCUAUAACCCGGUCUCCCAACUACCACCAUGAGACCGGUAAAAUGGAAAACCUAUCAAGGGAAAACCUUUGCCUUGCACAUGGUCCACUUGAGCUAGAUGAUGACGAUCUGUCUCCCUCAAGUUGGACCACCUUUCUUGAUUGCGUUGGCUCGAUGAAGACUAGUUGAUUGCUCCCCCAUACUCCACUAUGGGUGAGCCACUCUUCCGCACAUCUUCACAAGUCCAUUGUCACCACAAUGGACGGCAAGCUGCAAGCAUUUGAUCUCUUCGUGAUGCUCCACUUGAACUUGUACACCGCAACCUAACCCCACAAAAGAACUCUCACAUAGACCAUGGGUUAGUACACAAAAGCAUAAUUGACAAUGCUUACCAUACACACCAUUGCCUCUCGGUACUUCUUCUACACUUUGUGUGUUGAUCAACUUGAUUCACUCUUUGACUUAGUCUUGAUCAACCUCUCACAAGACCAAUCUUUAGGUAAUUCCUUGAAUAGCACCUUGGUCUACACAAACUCUCCUUGAAACCAACACAUGUACUCCAAGAAAAGCCUAUGGACAAAACCUUCAAAUAUAAAUCAAGGCAACCAUUAGUCCAUAGAGAUUGACAUCAAUUACCAAAACCAAACAUGGGGGCACCGCAUGUUCUUUCAACGUCGCUGUACCAGUGUAGGCUCGCUGGUCGGUGAGGAGUUGGAUCAGAUUCAUCAUGUAAUCUAGUUAGUUUUGUUAGGGCUUGAUCCCUAGUAUCCACUAUGUUCCGAGAUUGAUGUUGCUAUGACUUUGCCAUGCUUAAUGCUUGUCACUUUGGGCCCGGGUGCCAUGAUUCCAGAUCUAAACCGUUUAUGUUAUCACCAUUAUAUCUAUGUUCUAGAUCCGAUCUUGCAAGUUAUAGUCACCUACUACAUGUUAUGAUCCGCCAACCCCGGAGUGACAAUAGUCGGGACCACUCCCGGUGAUGACCGUAGUUUGAGGAGUUCAUAUAUUCACCGUGUGUUAAUGCUUUGUUCCGGUUCUCUUUAAAAGGAGGACUUAAUAUCCCUUAGUUUCCAAUAGGACCCCGCUGCCACGGGAGGGUAGGAAAAAAGAUUUCAUGAAAGUUAUUUCCAUAAGCACAUAUGACUAUUUACGGAAUACAUGCCUACAUUAUAUUUAUGAACGGGAGCUAGUGCCGUAUCGCCCUAGGUUAUGACUGUCACAUGAUGAAUAUCAUCCAAUGAAUCGUCGAUCCAAUGCCUAUGAAUUUAUCUCAUAUUGUUCUUGCUAAGUUACUAUUGCUAUCGUUACUGUUGCACUUGCUACAAUUAUCAAAACUAUCAUACUACUUUGCUACUGAUCACUUUGGUGCACAUAAUUAAUCUCCACGUGUGGUUCAAUUGACAACUCAGCUGCUAAUACUUACAAAUAUUCUUUGGCUCCCCUUGUGUCGAAUCUAUAAAUUUGGGUUGAAUACUAUACCCUCGAAAACUAUUGCGAUCCCCUAUACUUGUGGGUUAUCAGUGAUGUAGCAUAGUAGCAAAUAGUAUUUCAUGUUGGAAAAAUAUGCCCUAGAGGCAAUGAUACCUCCUUUUAGUGAUCCGGUAAUAGAACAAAAAGUAUCCCACAUCUAUUUCCCCAGAAGUUACCCUGGGUUAUCGAACCACCGAGAGGAAGGUCCCCUUGAAGCGAUGGUCUCUAGCAAGCUUUUGUAAAAAAAACAAUUCUAGCUUUUGACCGAUUUAUACUAAAAACACUUAUAAUAAAAAUAGGUAUGUGAUGAUCCACAAGUAUAGGGGGUCAAUCGUAGUCCUUUCAAUAAGUAAGACUGUCGAACCCAACGAGGAGCAGAAGGAAAUGACAAGCGGUUUUCAGCACGGUAAUGUCUGCAAGCACUGAAAUUGUCGAUAGCAGGUAGUUUGAUAGCAAGAUAAUCUAUAACGAGCAAGUAACGGCGACGGUAAAUAAAGUGUAGCAAGGUAUCCCAAUCCUUUUGUGGCAAAGGACAUGCCAAAAUGAUCUCUUAUAAUAAGCAAAGCGUUCUUGGGGGCACACGGGAAUUUCAUCUAGCCACUUUCAUCAUGUUGGUUUGAUUUGUGUUCGCUACUUUGAUAAUUUGGUAUGUGGGUGGACCGGUGCUUGGGUGCUAUUCUUACUUGAACAAACCUCCCACUUAUGAUUAACCCCCUUGCAAGCAUCUGCAACUACGAGAAAAGUAUUAAGAUAAAAAACCAUAGCAUUAAACAUUUGGAUCCAAAUCAGUCCCUUACGAAGUAGCGCAUAAACUAGGGUUUAAGCUUCUGUUAACUACUCCAUGCAUUCCCUUAGGCCCAAAGAUGGUGAGUUGCCAUGUAGUCGACGUUCACAUGACACCACUAAGGGAAUCACAACAUACAUAUCAUCAAAAUAUCGAACACAUAUCAACUUCACAUGAUUACUUGCAACAUGAUUUCUCCCGUGACCUCAAGAACAAAAGUAACUACUCACAUAUGAUAUUCAUGCUCAAGAUCAGAGGGGUAUUAAAUAGCAUAAUGGAUCUGAACAUAUAAUCUUCCACCAAAUAAACCAUAUAGUAAUCAACUACAACAUGUAAUCAACACUACUAGUCACCCACAGGUACCAAUCUGAGGUCCGGUACAAAGAUUGAAUACAAGAGAUGAACUAGGGUUUCAGAGGAGAUGGUGUUGUUGAAGAUGUUGAUGAAGAUUGGCCUCCCAAAGAUGAGAGGGUUGUCGGUGAUAAUGAUGGCUUCGAUUUCCACCUCCGGGAGGGAAGUUCCCCCCGCGGAAUUGCUCCCCCGGAGAGCAAAAGUGCUCCUGCCCAAGUUCCGCCUCGAGACGGCGGCGCUCCGUUCCGAAAGUCCUCUCCUGAUUUUCUAGGUCAAAAGACCUUAUGUACCAGAAGAUGGGCACCGGAGGUGGGCUGGGCUGGCGACAACCCACCAGGCACGCCUGGGGAGCCUGGCGCGCCCUGGUAUCUUUUGGUCACCAGGUGGCCCCCCUCCGGUUGUUAUUUGCUCCUGUAUUUUUUCUAUAUUCCAAAAUAAUUCUUUGUAAAUUUUCAGCUCAUUUGGGGAUGUGCAGAAUAGGUAUCUCUGACAUAGCUUUUUCAAUUCCAGAAUUCCAGCUGCCGGCAUUCUCCCUCUUUUUGCAAACCUUGCAUAUUGUGAGAGAAAAGGCUUUAGAAUUACUCCAAAAAGCAUUAUUAUGCAUAAAAACAUUAUAAAUAACAAUAAGAAAACAUGAUGCAAAAUGGGUGUUGAUAGCUCGUAUCCGCUUCAGUAUUUUCCCCAAAGAGGAAGGGAUGAUGCAGCACAGCUUUGGUAGGUAUUUCCCCCAGUUAUGAAACCAAGGUUACCGAACCAGUAGGAGAACCAAGCAACACUAUGUAAACGGUACCUGCACACAAAGAACAAAUACUUGCAACCCGACGCGUAAGAGGGGUUGUCAAUCCCUCUCGGGUAAAAGAAUGGUAAAUUGAUAGAUCGGUAGAUGCAGAUAGAAUAAUGGCAAAUAAAAUUCAGCGAGGUAUUUUUGGGUUUUUAAUAAUAAAGAUCUAAAAAUAAAAGAUGCAAAUAAAGAAAAAGGCAAAUAGCAAUAUAGAUCUGAAAAUAUAUGAUGGGAAAAUAGCCCCGGGGGGCGUAGAUUUCACUAGUGGCUUCUCUCGAUAAAAUAGCAUACGGUGGGUAAACAAAUUACUGUUGGGCAAUUGAUAGACCAUCAAAUAAUUAUGACGAUAUCCAGGCAAUGAUCAUUAUAUAGGCAUCAUGUCAAAGAUAAGUAGACCGACUCCUACCUGCAUCUACUACUAUUACUCCACACAUGGACCUCUAUCCGGCAUGCAUCUAGUGUAUUAAGUUCAUGGAGAAACGGAGUAAUGCAAUAAGAACAAUGACAUGAUGUUGACGAGAUCUAUUCAUGUAGGAUUAGCCCCAUCUUGUUAUCCUUAAUAGCAACGAUACAUGCGUGUCUUGCUGCCCCUUCUGUCACUUGGAAAGAAUACGGCACGAUCGAACCCAUCACAAAGCACCUGUUCCCAUGGCAUGAAAAAUCGAUCUAGUUGGCCUAACCAAACCAAAGAUUCAAAGAAGAAAUACGAGGCUAUAAGUAAUCAUGCAUAUAAGAGAUAAAAAAACUCAAAUAACUUUCAUGGAUAUAGAUCUAGUCAUAAACUCAAAGUUCAUCAGAUCCCAACAAACACACCGCAAAAAGAGUUACAUCAAAUAGAUCUCUAAGAGACCAUUGUAUUGAGAACCAAAAAGAGAGAAGAAUCCAUCUAGCUGCUGCCUACGGACCCAUAGGUCUACAAUGAACUACUCAUGCCUCAUCAGAGAGGCACCAAUGAGGAUGAUGAACCCCUCUGUGAUGGUGUCCAGAUUGGAUCUCGUGGUUCUGGAACUUGUGGCGGCUGCAAUUGUGUUUCGUCGACUCCCCUAGGGUUUCUGGAUUUUUGGGGUAUUUAUAGAGCAAAGAGGCGGUGCGGGAGGCCACCUAGGUGGGCACAACCCACCAGGGCGCGCCUGGGCCCCCAGGCGCGCCCAGGUGGGCUGUGCCCCCCCCCCCUCGGGGCACCCCUCUGGUACUUCUUUGGCCCAAGUUGUUCCUUCUGGUCAAUAAAAAUUCUCCAAAAAGUUUUGCUGCAUUUGGACUCCGUUUGGUACCGAUAUUCUGUGAAGUAAAAAACAAUAGUCUGAAAAAAUGAUAUAAAGUUUCUAUAAAAUGAUUGUAAAACAUCCAAGAAUGAUAAUAUAACAGCAUGGAACAAUAAAAAAUUAUAGAAACGUUGGAGACGUAUCAAGCGUAUCAACUCCCCCAAGCUUAGACCUCACUUGUCCUCAUGCGAAAGCCGAUAUCGAAAAACAUGUCCACAUGGUUUCAGAGAGAGAGGUAUCGAUAAAAACAAAAUAUGGACAUAUUAUUAUAACAACAAGAAACUUUAUCACAAAACUUUUUCAUAUAACUUUUAUCAUAUAAUUUCUCAUGAACAAGUAACAAUUCAUCACAAAUCAAAGUAGAAAGCAUAAACUUUAUUAAAAACAAACAAACUAUGUUCUCAGCCAACUUUGCAACUAUAAUUCAUCAUAUUUCCAGGAAGGGUCACGUACCGGAGCCUUUUGGCAAGUCCACAUACUCAACCAUCUUUUAGUCUUCUAUGAUUGCUAACACUCGUCGCAUACCCAUGAGCAAAAAGUUUCAACCAGACACAUAGAAAGAUAGGGGCUUAUAGUUUCGCCUCCCAACGUAUUCACCUCAAGGGUGAUGUUAACAAUAAUAACUCAUGCUCACUCAUAUCCAACUAGAUAUAUGUGCCUAGAUCUUUCCUUACCACAUGAUGCUUGCAAAAAGAGAAAAAUAAAAAGGAAUAGGGAAGAAUACUUUGACUUUUACAUAAAAGUAAAUACAUAAAGGUAAAAGAUAGGCCCUUCGCAGAGGGAAGCAGAGGUUAUCAUGCGCUUUUUGGUUUGUAUGCCAAAUCCCUUAAUACAAAAGAACGUCAUGUUAUAUUGCCCCUUAUGAUAGCAACCUUUAUUAUGUAGUCCGUCGCUUUUAUUACUUUGCCAUCACUAUAGGAUUGAAAUCUAUAUCAAGCACAAUAAAAUCUACGGGCACAUAAUUCCUGUUUGCAAAAAUAAGAACCUCAUUAAUUCUUCCCAUAGGUUUCUUAAUAGUGGAAUCCGCGAGAUGCAAAUUUAAAGAACAAUCAUCAAAUUCACGAAAACCUAGCACAUCACAUAAAGUUUUUGGAAUCGUGGAAACGCUAGCACCCAAAUCACACCAAGCAUGGCACUCAUAAUUUUUAAUUUUAAUCUUAAUAGUAGGUUCCCACUCAUCAUAAAGCUUUCUAGGGAUAGAAACUUCCACUCAAGUUUUUCUUCGAAAGAUUUCAUCAUAGCAUCAACGAUAUGUUUAGUAAAAGCUUUAUUUUGAUUACAAGCAUGAGGAGAAUUCAACAUGGAUUGCAACAAGGAAAUACAAUCUAUCAAAGAACAAUUAUCAUAAUUAAAAUUCUUGAAAUCAAAAAGAGUGGGUUCAUCGCUACUUAAAGUUUUGACCUCUCCAAUCCCACUUUUAUCAAUUUUUGCAUCAAGAUCUAUAAACUCCGAAUCAUUGGGAUGCCUUUUAACUAAAGUUGACUCAUCUCCAGUCCCAUCUUUAUCAAGAUUUAUAUUCGAAAACAAAGAUUCAAUAGGAGUCACUUCAAUCACUUUAAGAUCUUUAUCGUUAUUUUCACAAAACUAGAAGAGCACGCUUUUACAAACCAAUCUCGCUUAGCACGCAUCCUAGUAGUUCUUUCUUUGCACUCAUCAAUAGGAAUUUUAAUAGCUUUCAGAGAUUCAUUAAUAUCAUGCUUGGGUGGAAUAGAUCUAAUUUUUAAAGAAUCAAUCUCAAGAGAAAUUCUAUCCAUGUUCCUAGCCAAAUCAUCAAUCUUAAGCAAUUUUUCUUCAACCAUAGCAUUGAAAUUCUUUUGAGAACUAAUGAAAUCUUUAAUAUUGUUCUCAAGAUCAGAGGGCAUCUUAUAAUAUUUUCCAUAAGAAUUGUUGUAGGAACUACCAUAAGUAUUAGAGGAAUUACUAGGAACGUCCUAGGAUUAAAAUUACCUCUUGAUAUGUCUCCAAUGUAUCUGCUACCUCUUGAGCACUGCGAUGGUUUUCCCUUGAAGAGGAAAGGGUGAUGCAGCAAAGUAGCGUAAGUAUUUCCCUGAGUUUCCCCAAACCAAACUGAUAAUUCGAAGAGACUUGCAAAGAUAACCAAUCAUACAUAAAAGAAUUUAGAGGAGAUUCAAAUAUCGUUCAUAGAUAAUCUUGAUCAUAAACCCACAAUUCAUCGGAUCUCGACAAACACACCGCAAAAGAAGAGUUACAUCAAAUAGAUCUCCAAGAGAAUCGAGGAGAACUUUGUAUUGAGAUCCAAAGAGAGAGAAGAAGCCAUCUAGCUAAUAACUAUGGACCCGAAGGUCAGAGGUAAACUACUCACACAUCAUCGGAGAGGCUAUGGUGUUGAUGUAGAAGCCCUCCGUGAUCAAUGCCCCCUCCGGCGGAGCACCGGAAAAGGUCCCAAGAUGGGAUCUCACGGGUACAGAAGGUUGCGGCGGUGGAAAUAGGGUUUUUUCUCCGUAUAUGAUGUUUCCAGGGUAUAUGAGUAUAUAUAGGCGAAGGAGGUCGGUCAGGAGAGCUACGAGGGGCCCACGAGGGUGGAGGGCGCGCCCAGGGGAGUAGGCGCGCCCCCCUGCCUCGUGGCCUCCUCGUUGAUUGCUUGACGUCCACUCCAAGUCCUCUAGGUCACGUUUGUUCCGAAAAUCACGUUCCCGAAGGUUUAAUUCCGUUUGGACUCCGUUUGAUAUCCUUUUCCUUCGAGACACUGAAAUAGGCAAAAAACAACAUUUUGGGUUGGGCCUCCGGUUAAUAGGUUAGUCCCAAAAAUAAUAUAAAAGUGUAUAAUAAAGCCCAUCAAACGUCCAGAACAGAAUAUAUAAUAGCAUGGAACAAUAAAAAAUUAUAGAUACGUUGGAGACGUAUCAAGCAUCCCCAAGCUUAAUUCCUGCUCGUCCUCGAGUAGGUAAAUGAUAAAAACAGAAUUUUUGAUGUGGAAUGCUACUUGGCAUAAUUUUUAAUGUAAUUCUCUUAUUUGUGGCAUGAAUAUUCAGAUCCGAAAGAUUCAAUAUAAAAUUUUAAUAUUGACAUAAACGUAAUAAUACUUCAAGCAUACUAACUAAGCAAUUAUGUCUUCUCAAAAUAACAUGGCCAAAGAAAGUUCAUCCCUACAAAAUCAUAUAGUUUGGUCAUGCUCCAUUUUCGUCACACAAGAAUGCUCUCAUCAUGCACAACCCCGAUGAGAAGCCAAGCAAUUGUUUCAUACUUUAGUAAUCUCAAACUUUUUUCAACUUUCACGCAAUAUAUGAGCGUGAGCCAUGGAUAUAGCACUAUGGGUGGAAUGGAAUAUGAUGAUGAGGGUUAUGUGGAGAAGACAAAAAAGGAGAAAGUCUCACAUUGACGCGGCUAAUCAACGAGCUAGGGAGAUGCCCAUCGAUUGAUGUCAAUGCAAGGAGUAGGGAUUGCCAUGCAACGGAUGCACUAGAGCUAUAAAUGCAUGAAAGCUCAACAAAAGAAACUAAGUGGGUGUGCAUCCAACUUGCUUGCUCACGAAGACCUAGGGCAUUUGAGGAAGCCCAUUGUUGGAAUAUACAAGCCAAGUUCUAUAAUGAAAAAUUCCCACUAGUAUAUGAAAGUGACAAAACAAGAGACUCUCUAUCAUAAAGAUCAUGGUGCUACUUUGAAGCACAAGUGUGGAAAAAAGGAUAGUAGCAUUGUCCCCUUUUUUAUUUUCUUUUUUUUGGGCCUUUCCUUUUUUUGGCCUUUCCCUUUUUUUAUUUGGGACCAUGCUCUAUGAAUGAUGAUCAUCACACUUCUAUUUAUUUACAACUCAAUGAUUACAACUCGAUACUAAAACAAAGUAUGACUCUAUAUGAAUGCCUCCGGCGGUGUACCGGGAUGAGCAAUGAAUCAAGAGUGACAUGUAUGAAAUAAUAUGCAUGGUGGCUUUGCCACAAAUACGAUGUCAACUACAUGAUUAUGCAAGGCAAUAUGACAAUGAUGAAACGUGUCAUGAUAAACGAAACGGUGGAAAGUUGCAUGGCAAUAUAUCUCGGAAUGGCUAUGGAAAUGCCAUAAUAGGUAGGUAUGGUGGCUGUUUUGAGGAAGAUAUAAGGAGGUUUAUGUGUGAUAGAGCGUAUCGUAUCACGGGGUUUGGAUGCACCGGCGAAGUUUGCACCAACUCUCAAGGUGAGAAAGGGCAAUGCACGGUACCGAAGAGGCUAGCAAUGAUGGAAGGGUGAGAGUGCGUAUAAUCCAUGGACUCAACAUUAGUCAUAAAGAACUCACAUACUUAUUGCAAAAAUCUACAAGUCAUCAAAAACCAAGCACUACGCGCAUGCUCCUAGGGGGAUAGAUUGGUAGGAAAAGACCAUCGCUCGUCCCCGACCGCCACUCAUAAGGAGGACAAUCAAAGAACACCUUGUGUUUUAAAUUUGUUACACAACGUUUACCAUACGUGCAUGCUACGGGACUUGCAAACUUCAACACAAGUAUUUCUCAAAUUCACAAUUACUCAACUAGCACAACUUUAAUAUUACUACCUCCAUAUCUCAAAACAAUCAUCAAGCAUCAAACUUUUCUUAGUAUUCAACGCACUUAUAAGAAAGUUUUUACUAAUCUUGGAUGCCUAUCAUAUUAGGACUAAUUUCACAAUUUAAGAAAAUUGCCAAGAUGUUUUCUAGGACUCUCAAAAUGAUAUAAGUGAAGCAUGAGAGAACAAUAUUUUCUAUAAAACAAAACCACCACCGUGCUCUAAAAGAUAUAAGUGAAGCACUAGAGCAAAAACUAUAUAGCUCAAAAGAUAUAAGUGAAGCACAUAGAGUAUUCUAAUAAAUUCCGAAUCAUGUGUGUCUCUCUCAAAAGUGUAUUCAGCGAGGAAGAUUGUGGUAAACUAAAAGCAAAGACUCAAACCAUACAAGGCGCUCUAAGCAAAACACAUAUCAUCUGGUGAAUAAAAAUAUAGCUGCAAGUAAAGUUACCGAUGGACGAAGACGAAAGAGGGGAUGCCUUCCGGGGCAUCCCCAAGCUUUGGCUUUUUGGUGUCCUUGGAUUUACCUUGGGGUGCCUUGGGUAUCCCCAAGCUUAUGCUCUUGCCACUCCUUGUUCCAUAAUCCAUCAAAUCCUUACCCAAAACUUGUAAACUUCACAACACAAAACUUAAGAGAAAAUCUCGUGAGCUCCGCUAGCGAAAGAAAACAAAAAACCACUUAAAGGUACUGUAAUGAACUCAUUCUUUAUUUGUAUUGGUGUUAAACCUUCUGUAUUCCAACUUCUCUAUGGUUUAUAAACUAUUUUACUAACCAUAGACUCAUCAAAAUAAGCAAACAACACACGAAAAACAGAAUCUGUCAAAAACAGAACAGUCUGUAGUAAUCUGUAUCUAACGCAAACUUCUGGAACUCAGAAAAAUCUACCAAAAUAGGAAGACCUAGAUAAUUUGUUUAUUGAUCUGCUGAAAUUGGAAUCAGUAUUUUAUCGCGUUCUGGUGAUUUUUAACAAAUUUUUUAGUGAAGAGAAAGUUUUGACUUUUUCAGCAAGAUCAAAUCACUAUCAUCCAAGAAGAUCCUAUAGGUUUCACUUGGCACAAACACUAAUUAAACAUAAAAAAAUCUAACCAGAGGCUAGAUCAAAGAUUUAUUACUAAACAGAAAAAAAAGCAAGAAACAAAAAUAAAAUUGGGUUGCCUCCCAACAAGCGCUAUCGUUUAACGCCCCUAGCUAGGCAUUGAGAUUUUGAUGAUGCUCACAUGAAAGACAAGAAUUGAAGCGCAAAGAGAGCAUCAUGAAACAUGUGACAAACACAUCUAACUAUAACAUACUUCCUAUGCAUAGGCAUCUUAUAAGCAAACAAAUUAUCAAGACAAGCAAAAGCUAGCAUAUGCAAGGAAGAAGAAAGAGACGAUAGCAAUCUCAAGAUGAGGAGAGGUAAUUUAGUAACAUGAAAAUUUCUAAAACCAUAUUUUCCUCUCUCAUAAUAAUUACAUGUGGGAUCAUAAGAAAAUUCAACAAUAUAGCUAUCACAUAACAUAUUAUCAACACGAUCCACAUGCAUGCAAAGUUGACGCUCUUCCAAAAUAGUGGGAUUAACAUUAGCUAAAGUCAUGACCUCUCCAAACCCACUUUUAUCAAAAAUACCAUAAGAUUGAACAUUCUCCAAAUAUGUGGGAUCUAAAGUUGACACUCUUCCAAACCCACUUUCAAUAUUAUUGCAAACACUAUUAUCAAUCUCAUAUUCAUCAUUGGGCUUAAAUAAAUUUUCAAGAUCAUAAGAAGAAUCACCCCAAUCAUGGUCAUUGCAACAAGUAGUAGACAUAGCAAAACUAGCAUCCCCAAGCUUAGGGUUUUGUAUAUUAUUAGCACAAUUGACAUCAAGAAAAUUUAUAGUAAAAUCAUGGCAAUCAUGCUUUUUAUUCAAGGAGCUAUCGUGAAUCUCUUCAUAAAUUUCUUCGUCACAAUUUUCAGAUUCACAAAUUUCAAGCAAAACCUCAUAAAGAUAAUCCAGUGCACUCAACUCACUAGCAAUAGGUUCAUCAUAAGUGGAUCUCUUAAAAAGAUUAGCAAGGGGAUGAGGAUCCAUAACCUUUUAGCAAGCGAAGAUGCGAGCAAAAAGAAGGUACAUGGUAACACAAGCAAACAAAAGAUUGAACGGAAGAAGGGCGAAGAAUUUCCAUAAGAAUUGUUGUAGGAACUACCAUAAUUAUUAGAGGAAUUACUAGGAACGUCCUAGGAUUAAAAUUACCUCUUGAUACGUCUCCAACGUAUCUGCUACCUCUUGAGCACUAUGUUGGUUUUCCCUUGAAGAGGAAAGGGUGAUGCAGCAAAGUAGCGUAAGUAUUUCCCUCCGUUUUUGAGAACCAAGGUAUCAAUCCAGUAGGAGACCACGCUCAAGUCCCACGCACCUACACAAACAAAUAAGAACCUUGCAACCAACGCGAUAAAGGGGUUGUCAAUCCCAUCACGGCCACUUGCAAAAGUGAGAUCUGAUAGAGAUGAUAAGAUAAUAUUUUUGGUAUUUUUAUGAUAAAGACUAAAAGUAAAGAAAGCAAAAUAAACGGCGCCAGAAAUAGCUUGUUGACGGGAGAUUAAUAAGAUAGAAAAUAGACCCGGGGGCCAUAGGUUUCACUAGUGGCUUCUCUCAAGAUAGCAUAAGUAUUACGGUGGGUAAACGAAUUACUGUCGAGCAAUUGAUAGAAUUGAGCAUAGUUAUGAGAAUAUCUAGGUAUGAUCAUGUAUAUAGGCAUCACGUCCGUGACAAGUAGACUGACUCCUGCCUGCAUCUACUACUAUUACUCCACACAUCGACCGCUAUCCAGCAUGCAUCUAGAGUAUUAAGUUCAUAAGAACAGAGUAACGCUUUAAGCAAGAUGACAUGAUGUAGAGGGAUAAACUCAUGCAAUAUGAUAUAAACCCCAUCUUUUUAUCCUCGAUGGCAACAAUACAAUACGUGUCGUUUCCCCUACUGUCACUGGGAUCGAGCACCGCAAGAUUGAACCCAAAGCUAAGCACUUCUCCUAUUGCAAGAAAGAUCAAUCUAGUAGGCCAAACCAAACUGAUAAUUCGAAGAGACUUGCAAACAUAACCAAUCAUACAUAAAAGAAUUCAGAGGAGAUUCAAAUAUUGUUUAUAGAUAAUCUUGAUCAUAAACCCACAAUUCAUCGGAUCUCGACAAACACACCGCAAAAGAAGAGUUACAUCAAAUAGAUCUCCAAGAGAAUCGAGGAGAACUUUGUAUUGAGAUCCAAAGAGAGAGAAGAAGCCAUCUAGCUAAUAACUAUGGACCCGAAGGUCUGAGGUAAACUACUCAGACAUCAUCGAAGAGGCUAUGGUGUUGAUGUAGAAGCCCUCCGUGAUCAAUGCCCCUCCGGCGGAGCGCCAGAAAAGGCCCCAAGAUGGGAUCUCACGGGGUACAGAAGGUUGCGGCGGUGGAAAUAGGGUUUUCGCUCCGUAUAUGAUAUUUCCAGGGUAUAUGAGUAUAUAUAGGCGAAGGAGGUCGGUCAGGAGAGCUACGAGGGGCCCACGAGGGUGGAGGGCGCGCCCAGGGGGUAGGCGCGCCCCCUGCCUCGUGGCCUCCUCGUUGAUUGCUUGACGUCCACUCCAAGUCCUGUGGAUCAUGUUUGUUCGGAAAAUCACGUUCCCGAAGGUUUCAUUCCGUUUGGACUCCGUUUGAUAUCCUUUUCCUUCGAAACACUGAAAUAGGCAAAAAACAGCAAUUUGGGCUCGGCCUCCAGUUAAUAGGUUAGUCCCAAAAAUAAUAUAAAAGUGUAUAAUAAAGCCCAUUAAACGUCCAAAAUAGAAUAUAUAAUAGCAUGGAACAAUCAAAAAUUAUAGAUACGUUGGAGACGUAUCAGUAUCUAUAAUUUUUGAUUGUUCCAUGAUAUUAUAUUAUCUAUUUUGGAUGUUUUAUAUGCAUUAUUAUGCUAUUUUAUAUUAUUUUUGGGACUAACCUAUUAACCUAGAGCCCAGUGCCAGUUUCCGUUUUUUCCUUGUUUUUGUGUUUCGCAGCAAAGGAAUAUCAAACGGAAUAAAACUUCACGAUGAUUUUUCUUGGACCCGAAGACACCCAGAGGACUUGGAGUCCAAGCUAGAAGAUCCACGAGGUGGCGGCAAGGGUGGAGGGUGCUCCCUAGGGGGGGGGGCGCCCCCUACCUUGUGGCCCCCUUGGGACUCCCCUAACCUAACUCUUCGUCCUAUAUAUUCACAUAUAUUCCAGAACCAUCAGAGAGAGACACAGAAGUACUUUUCCGCUGCCGCAACCUUCUAUUCCCGUGAGAUCCCAUCUUAGGGCCUUUUCCGGCAUCCUGCCGGAGGGGGAUUCGAUCACGGAGGGCAUCUACAUCAACCCUAUUGCCCUUCCGAUGAAGCGUGAGUAGUUUACCACAGACCUAUGGGUCCAUAGCUAGCAGCUAGAUGGCUUCUCUCUCUCUUUGAUCCUCAAUACCAUGUUCUCCUCGAUGUUCUUGGAGAUCUAUCCGAUGUGAUCUUCUUUUGAAGUGUGUUUGUCAAGAUCCGAUGAAUUGUGGAUUUAUGAUCAUCUUAUCUAUGAAUAUUAUUUGAAUCUUCUCUGAAUUCUUAUAUGCAUGAUUUGAUAUCUUUGUACUUCUCUUCAAAUUAUCGGUUUGGUUUGGCUAACUACAUUGGUUUUUCUUGCAAUGGUAGAGGUACUUAGCUUUGGGUUCAAUCUUGCGUGAUUUCACCCAGUGACAAAGUAGGGGUAGCGAGACACAUAUUGAAUUGUUUCCAUCAAGGAUAACAAGAUGGGGUUUUCAUCAUAUUGCUUGAGUUUAUCCCGCUACAUCAUGUCAUCUUACUUAAUGCGUUACUCUGUUAUUAUGAACUUAAUACUCUAGAUGCAGGCAAGAGUCGAUCGAUGUGUGGAGUAAUAGUAGUAGAUGCAGGCAGGAGUCGGUCUACUUGAUAUGGAUGUGAUGCCUAUAUUUCAUAAUCAUUGCCUUGGAUAUCGUCAUAACUUUGCACUUUUCUAUGAAUUGCUCGGCAGUAAUUUAUUCACCCACCAUAUUAUUUGCCUGGAUGAGAGAAGCCUCUAGUGAAACCUAUGGCCCCCGGGUCUAUUUUCCAUCAUAUUUGCUUUCCGAUCUACUAUUAUGCAAUCUUUCCAGAUCUAUAAACCAAAAAACACAAAAAUAUUUUAUCUUUUAUCUUCUCUAUCAGAUCUCACCUUUGCAAUUGACCAUGAAGGGAUUGACAACCCCUUUAUCGCGUUGGGUGCAAGUGUUCGAUUGUUUGUGCAGGUGCAUCGAUUGGGGACUUGCUUGUACCUCCUACUGGAUUGAUACCUUGGUUCUCUGAGGGAAAUACUUAUCUCUACUUUGCUGCAUCACCCUUUCCUCUUCAAGGGAAAACCAACUCAAGCUGAAGAAGUAGCACCUCUAUACGCGUUAUUACCAAAAUUGUUCAUACCAACAAAAUUCACAUCCAUAGAUUCAUUAUUAUUCUCAAUCAAAGUAGACAAAGGCAUAUCAUUAGGAUCAAUAGGAGCACUCUUACUAGCAAACAAUUUCAUAAGUUCAUCCAUCUUUCCACUCAAAACAUUGCAUGCACUUUUUUACUAGUAGAGAAUCUUUCGGUAUGCCGUUGAGAGUAAUUAGCCAUGAUGUUGUCUAGGAGUUUAGUAGCUUCUCCUAAUGUGAUUUCCAUAAAAGUGCCUCGUGUGGCCGAAUCUAAAAGAUUUCUAGAAGCAGAAUUCAAUCCGACAUAAUUUUUUUGUAUGAUCAUCCAUGAACUUAAACCAUGAGUAGCGCAAUUUCGUAUCAUCAAUUUCAUCCUCUCCCAAGAUUGUGCAACAUUUUCAUGAUCAAGUUGCUUAAAAUUAAUUAUAUCGUGCCUAAGGGAGAUGAUCUUAGCGGGAGGAAAAUACUUGGAAAUAAAAGCAUCUUUACACUUAUUCCAUGAAUCAAUACUAUUUUUAGGCAAAGGUGAAAACCAAGUUUUAGCACGAUCUCGUAGUGAGAACGGAAAUAGCUUCAAUUUAACAAUAUCAUUAUCCACAUCUUUCUUCUUUUGCAUAUCACACAACUCAAUGAAAGUAUUUAGAUGGGAUGCGGCAUCUUCGCUAGGAAGGCCGGAAAAUUGAUCUUUCAUAACAAGAUUCAACAAAGAAGCAUUGAUUUCAUAAGAUUCCGCACUAGUGGCGGGAGCAAUCGGAGUACUAAUAAAAUCAUUAUUAUUAGUAUUGGAAAAAUCACACAAUUUGGUAUUAUCUUGAGACAUCGUGACAACAUAAGCAAUCUAACACAUGAGCAACCAAAAAGCAAACGAAAAGCAAAUGAAAAGACGAACAGAAGAAGGGCGAAUAAAAAGGCAAUUUUUUUGUAUUUUUCUGAAUACGUUUUAGAAGUGGGGGAGAGGAAAACGAGAGGCAAAUGGAAAAUGCAAGAUAUGAGAGUUUAUGAUGGGUACUUUGUAGGCUUGAUGUGGAUCUCCCCAGCAACGGCGCCAGAAAUUCUUACUGCUACUUCCCGACCUUGCGUUGGUUUUUCCUUUGAAGAGGAAAGGGUGAUGCAGCAAAGUAGAGAUAAGUAUUUCCCUCAGUUGAGAACCAAGGUAUCAAUCCAGUAGGGGAUACAAGCAAGUCUCCAAUCUAUGCACUUGCACAAACAAUCAAACACUUGCACCCAAUGCGACAAAGGGGUUGUCAAUCCCUUCACGGUCACUUGCAAUGGUGAGAUCUGAUGGAGAUAGAUGUAAAAGAUUACUAAAACGUAAAACAAAAUAAAAGUAAAUAAAUUGCAGCAAGGUAUUUUUGGGUUUUUGGUUUAUAGAUCUGAAAACAUAUGAUGAAAUAUAGACCCGGGGCCAUAGGUUUCACUAGAGGCUUCUCUCUUGAAGGAAAAUAAUACGGUGGGUGAACAAAUUACUGUCUAGCAAUUGAUAGAAAAGUGCAAAAUUAUGACGAUAUCCAAGGCAAUGAUUAUGCAUAUAGGCAUCACGUCUGUGUCAAGUAAACCGACUCCUGCCUGCAUCUACUACUAUUACUCACACAUCGACCGCUAUCCAGCAUGCAUCUAGAGUAUUAAGUUCAUAAAGAAUGGAGUAACGCCUUAAGUAAGAUGACAUGAUGUAGAGGGAUAAACUCAAGCAAUAUGAUGAAAACCCCAUCUUUUUACACUAGAUGGCAACAAUAGAAUACGUGUCUCGCUACCCCUACUUUGUCACUGGGUGAAAUCACGCAAGAUUGAACCCAAAACUAAGCACCUCUCCCAUUGCAAGAAAAACCAAUCUAGUUGGCCAAAAAAACCGAUAAUUCGAAGAGAAAUACAAAGAUAUCAAACCAUGCAUAUAAGAAUUCAGAGAAGAUUCAAAUAAUAUUCAUAGGUAAGCUAAUCGUAAAUCCACAAUUCAUCGGAUCUCGACAAACACACCGCAAAAGAAGAUUACAUCGGAUAGAUCUCCAAGAACAUCGGGGAGAACAUUGUAUUGAAGAUCAAAGAGAGAGAAGAAGCCAUCUAGCUACUAGCUAUGGAACCGUAGGUCGGUAAACUACUCACGCUCCAUUGGAAGGGCAAUAGAGUUGAUGUAGAUGCCCUCCGUGAGCGAAUCCCCCUCCGGCAGGGUGCCGGAAAAGGCCCCAAGAUGGGAUCUCACGGGAACAGAAGGUUACGGCAGCGGAAAAGUAUUUUGGUGGAUGCUUCUGGUGCUUUUGGAAUAUUUGAGGAUUUAUAGAGUUGAGAGGGAGGUCGGUGGACUCCCGUGGGGCCCACAAGUGAGGGCCCCCCUAGGGCGCACCCUGAGGGCUUGUGGAGCCCUCGGGAUUCUUCUGACUUGGCCUCCAAGUUCCGUGGAUGUCUUCUGGUCCAAGAAAAAUCCGUAAAGUUUUAUUCUAUUUGGACUCCGUUUGAUAAUCCUUUUCUGUAAAACUCAAAAACAAGGAAAAACAGAAACUGGCACUGGGCUCUAGGUUUAGGUUAGUCCCAAAAAUAAUAUAAAAUAGCAUAUUAAUGCAUAUAAAACAUCCAAAACAGAUAAUAUAAUAGCAUGGAACAAUCAAAAAUUAUAGAUACGUUGGAGACGUAUCACACGCGUCCUGCAUCAAGAAUCAUUUGUCCAACCGAAUGCCCUAUCCGUCGUGCGUGGUUGCCUCGAUAAUUAAGAUUAUAAUAAUCAGACAAGAGCUUUGGGCGUUUAAUGACUACACCUCUUGAAUCCCCAGAGAUUGGCUUAACCCUUCUGUCACCGAUGUUCAGAAUAACACUUCACGGUCUACCUGCCCUUAGACUCUCCUUGGCCCACUCUCCAUGAUCCUGGGUACCUGCAGGGAUGUGGAACACAGACGAGACAAGAGACAUCUACGGAACAAUUUUAUUUCGCACAAACGGGAUGUUAAUUCAAAGCACCUACAUUGAUCCCCACAACAAAUGCAGAGGGUUGCAAGGCCUUUUCCUCAACCCAUACCUUACCGAACUACUUACACAUGGAGAUCAGAUCACACGAAUAACGCAUUGAAGAACACAUCACGGAGAUUGAUUGAUUGAUAAUAUUUCUUACAAUGGAUGUCGUGUGCGAUGCACGAUUACAAGUGUGAUCUAGAGGAAUAUGAACUAUGGUGGUGAUGGUGGCUAUGGAGACGGGAAUGGUGGCGGCCAGGGUUGAUGAAGAGGGAUGAAGAUAUCUCUGUUCUGGCUUUGCUCUGGAUGUUCUGUUUUUUCGAGAUGAAGAGGGAAUGGUGCUCUGGAUGUUUUUUUUGAGACGGUCAAAGCCCUUUGACCAGACGGUAACGGCGCAAAAGGGCAUUUUUGUAAGGGCACCUAACGACAGAGGGGCAAAUUUGAGCAGGCUUUGAAAUUAGGGGCAAACCUGAGUAGGUGGUUCGAGUUAGGGACAUAAAUGCAAACGGCCCAAAAAUAAAAUAGGAAAAAGAAAAGAAAACAAAAAAGCAUAGAAAACGGGAAGAAAAAUGGAAACAAAAAUAAAAAACCUACUGAGACCUUCUAGAACCAUAACCUUCUGUGAUAAAGGAAGUGCAGUACGUAGUAUGCCCUGUAUGGGCUAGCCCGUUACAAAGGUGGUGUGAGUAUCAUGUAUGAAAAUGCCAUGUAAGAGUAUCUACAGCCGGACUUGGCAAAUCCGGCCCCUCAAACACCCGCGGACGGGCCUAGGCACGCCCGCGGACGCAUUCAGACAGGCCCUUAUAUUUCGUUCCGGCAUCCACAUAUCUCAAAUCCGGACUCUCAAAUCCAUGCAAAUACAUGCACAUCGAUCAUGCAACAGAAUGUCUCACGUAAAUAGCUAUUGUUCUAUCAAGCAUGCAUAGCGUUUACAAUAAUUCCGGCCGGUCAAUGUGUCGAACACAUCAAGCGCAAGGCGGAUCCGGAGAGUUGCCGGACGUACCACGGUGGCAUCUGGGCCGGCGACGACGUCCCCGCGGCGAGGACGGGAGCGCUCUUCCGGACUUACUGGCGGAGAGCCUGGGAAUGGCUGUGGAGCAGGCGGAGCUGCGAGCCGGACGACACGGAGGAGGAAGAAGAGAGGAGAGAGCAAAUGGAUCCGGCAGCUCGCGGGGUGGAUUUGGUGCAAUUUGGGGUGGGGUUGGGCUGUCGGGUUGGACGUGAUGGGCGUGCCCAGACGCCCCAUAUCCGCCCCAUAUUUGGGCUGGAUAUGGGGGUGCUGGUCAGCCCGGGCCUUGAAAGCAAUCAUGUGGCCUGAGGGCCAAACGGCUGUUGCGGCCUUGAAAGCAAUCAUGUGGCCUGAGCGCCAAACGGCUGUUGCGGCCUUGAAAGCAAUCAUGUGGCCGAGCGCCAAACGGCUGUUGCGGCCUUGAAAGCAAUCAUGUGGCCUAAGCGCCGAAUGGCUGUUGCGACCUUGAAAGCAAACAUGAGGCUUGUGAGCCAACGGCUAUUGCAGCCUUAAAAGCAAAUAUGCGACCUAUGAGCCAACUUUUUUUGGUCAUGCCUUGAAAGCUGGCCUAACGAAUAUUUGAGAUUUGCAUAUUUUCUGUUUUGGUUUUCAAAUGUUUUUAUGCCACAGGUACGCAUCGGUGCUAUACAAACGGUUUUUAACCCCUUUCCGGGACGGCGUUCGGAACCGUCACCUAGUGAGUGUGGGCGAUAGGGGGGUCCUUCCCACAUGACCCAGAAACCGUCGAGGGUAUGCCCUCCUGGCACACACGCUCGGCAAAAUAAGGUCGUGUGCGACCGGCGAGCACUCAAAUACAGAAAUACAUACAGUAGUGCUAAAAAAUACAAUUAUACAGGCGAAAUCAUUUCCGGUCUUAAGUACAUCCCACACAGUUAGUCACCGCUAAACGUUUCCGUUCGUAUAUACAUCCCACACAGUCACUCCAAGGAAAACGUUUGCGCAAGGUGGCGUAACGCAAACAGUUUUCAACAGAAUGUCGUGUGUGAUUGUUCAUUGAUCCAACAUGGUUUAUUCCUAGAAACUGUGUGUGUUGCCUGAGGUCAUCGACCACGGUGUUUUCUUAAUAACCGUUUGCAAUAGGAAAACCGAAUUAGCGGGCUAAUUGCCUUAUUAUUAAUAACCCAUUUACUAAUCUAAUUGACAUUCAUAUUAAGCACAUAAUAUAUUCCAUUUCCAUAUUAAGGAAGCAGGAUUUCAUAAUUGAAAUACAUCGGAGUACAACAUGAUAGAGCUUCAGCACUCAGCUAGCCCAUUACACAACUGCACUAGUAGCAAGUUUCACAUGCAACAUCUAGAACCUUUCAAAAUUAGCAUCAUAGACGGUACAUAGAGAGAUGCAUCUCAUCUGGAAAACUGCUGAAGCAGAAGGCGAAUAUUGAGCCUUCAUUCAUGUUGAAGGUCUUUGCAACUUUAGGCCAGUGCCUGUGGAUGAUUGACCGUCCAUCCUUCGACCUCUUCAGGAACACUUCAAUAUUGAACCAUGGGUGUUGUAUGAAAACUUUCCUCGCCUCCUGACCACAGAGGUGGUUUGAGAGGUAAUCAUCAGUGAAGCCUGAAAACAAGGAUGUGCAUAAAUAUCUUCUCUAUAUUAGAAAUGGGGCAAAGGAAUAAAAAAGGCAAGGUAUAAUAGUUAGUACCAUCUUUUAAACCUUAGUGCUUCCCAUUGUUUCCCUGCAACACAUAUAAGGUAGUUAGUCAUCAGGUUAAGCAAGGGUUCGCAUGCUAUCAGUAAAAUAUGUUGAUGAUAAAUAAGCACAUUGCAAAUUCAUCAGAUUAGUUCAAGCCACAUGGAAAACCCAUUUAUCCAAACCAAGCAUGAUUAAGAACUAGGAAAUAUAGCACUUGUAUAUGUUUCUCAUGUAUUAAGUGCAGCCAAAUUCGAUUUAUUCCUCGCAUGGUAUACAAUAACAGAAUGCAGCCACAACAAUUGAACAUCGCAUUGCAGAAUUGAACCAAGCAGUUAACUAAACACCACAACAAAUGAACCAAACGUUAACUGAGCACCACAUUGCACAAUAUAACAUACUCCUAAUAGAAGAUCAGACAGUUAACCAAACCAAGCAUGCUUAACAACUUGGAAAUAUUGCACCCUGAAGAAUUGAACAUCACAUUUGCAGAAUUGAACCAAGUAGUUAACUGAACACCACAUUGCACGACAUAUAGAACAUAUACACUAUAGCAGAAGAUUGCAUGGUAAAAGUAGAUAGCACAAUUCACUAGAAUUUUUUAAGGAAAGGCAUUGGCUAGCAAACUGAACAUGGGUCCUUAUAGUGAGCUAAUAAGACAAGCUACUCCUCAAUGUUGGAGAUAUCGAUGACGAUUGGCUCCUUGGACAUGGAAGAGGGCGAGGCCUCCGCAUCGUGGGUGCCCUCGUUGUAGCGGUGAGUUGCCUGAGCCGCUCCGGGCACCAACCUGCUGGCUCUCGAGAUGAGGUAAGCACGUGCACGCUGCGAAAACACCUCGUAGUCUUUGUCAAAGGCACCGACGGUGGCCUCGAGAAAACACCACGAACUAUUGUUUAAAGCAGCCAACCGCGUCGCGGCGUUGGUGCGCGAGGCGUCAAUGGUGGCCUCGAUGGCGAGGUGCUCCUCCAAGAUCUGGGGGUCGGCACGAAUGGCAGCCAUCGCAACCUCAUCCGCGCGUGCGGCCGCGAUUUGCUUCUCCGCUGCCAGAUGCUCCCUGAGAUCCUGGCUAUACUACGUGCACCAUGGCUUAGGCCAGCGCUUAUUUGGUGGAGGGGUUGGUGAUUUGGGUGGAAGGUGUUGCGCUCGCGCCGGCGGUCGGGGCAUGUGGGAUGUGGAAGGAGGAGGAGGAUGGGGGUCGGGUGUGGAAUACCUGCCUGGAUAGGCGAGGCUGAGCAGCGUGAAGGAGGGUCGCCGGCGAGGAGGCGAUGCUGCAAGCAAGGAGUGAAGGUUUCAACUUGGAAAGGAAGGCGGAAACAGGGGAAAUGUGGCUUUUGGUAAGGAGGAGGGGGCGGGCAGGUAGAUAUUUCCGCGGAAGCCGAAAAUUUGGAAUCGCUUCAGCGAAAAAACUGGCGCGCAAAGUGUCAUCAGACACGGUCCCUUAUUCAGAGCGGGCUGUGGACUGUAGCCGUCGCACCUUCUCGCGUAAGCCGUAUGCGUACUAUACUCCGAUGAUGCUCCAAGAUAUUUUGUGCUGCAUCUCACACGGUUGGUUAUAAUAAACUAUGUGGGAUCUACUUGAUUUUUCGUCUUGAUUUGAAUUACAUAAUGGGGUCACAGCGGCCAUGCACGGUGUUUGAAUUGCUAGACCUUUUAUCUGUAGUGAACAUGCAACUAUAUAUGUGUCAUAAAAGAAUUGUAAUUAUUCAGGGUUUGUUUGGACAUUUUUACGCAUUAACUGAGUUUUCAAUGCAUUUAUGUGCAUAUUUCAAAUUUGAACUACAUGCACAUGCUCUAAUGCAUAUAAAUUGGUUGAAGAUUCAAAUAUGUGUCCUUGGGUGCAUGCUUAGGUCCCAUGUAAGAAAUUGGAAUGAAUUUCAAACACCAGGGCGACGUUGAUUGCCGGCAAAACAUUGAGAUACUUUGUUUUUAAAUUCUAGUAAAUCCAAAACUCGUCUGAAAUUCAUGAAACUUGGCAUGCUUUCAUGGAAUGGCAUCAACAUGCCAUGGUAAUUUUUUUGUCCCAUUGGGGGCAGGUUUGGAUAUAUGCUUCUCACAAACCAGAGCUUCUCACAAACUAGAGCUUCUCACAAACCAGAGCUUCUCACAAUAAGCAUGAUGGUUUCGGUAGGGAACGCCCCACCUUUGGGGAUGAAACGAUAUCCAUUGCCUCUUAUUGGUUUCAAAUUUUUUUCUUGUGUCAACAUAGAACAGCAGGAGUGUUGUGUUAUUUUUUGUGAUUUUUUCGGGGUUCAUUUGGACAUUUUUAUGCAUUAAGUGAGUUUUCAAUGCAUUUAUGUGCAUAAUUCAAAUUUGAACUACAUGCACAUGCUCCAGUGCAUAUAAAUUGGUUGAAAAAUCAAAUCUUUGUCCUUGGGUGCAUGCUUAGGUCCCAUGCAAGAAAUGGGAAUGAAUGUCAAACACCCUGCCACCGUCACUCGGCAGCAAACAUUGAGAUACCUGGUUUUUAAAUUCUAGUAAAUCCAAAACUCGUCUGAAAUUCAUGAAACUUGGCAUGCUAUCAUGGAGUGGCAUCAACAUGUCGUGGUAAUUUUUUGUCCCAUUUGGGGCAGGUUUGGGUAUAUGCUUAUCACAAACCAGAGCUUCUCACAACAAGCAUGAUGGUUUCGGUAGGGAACGCCCCACCUUUGGAGACGAAACGAUAUCCAUUGCCUCUUAUUGCUUUCAAAAAAUUUCUCGUGUCAACAUAGAACAACAGGAGUGUUGUGUUAUUUUUUGUGAUUUUUCGGGGUUCGUUUGGACAUUUUUAUGCAUUAACCGAGUUCUCAAUGUGUGCAUAAUUCAAAUUUGAACUACAUGCAAUGCUCCAGUGCAUAUAAAUUGGUUGAAAAAUCUAAUCUUUGUCCUUGGGUGCAUGCUUAGGUCCAAUGCAAAAAAUGGGAAUGAAUUUCAAACACCAGGGCACCGUUGAUUGCCGGCAAAACAUUGAGAUACUUUGUUUUUAAAUUCUAGUAAAUCCAAAAAUCAUCUGAAAUUCAUGAAACUUCGCAUGCUAUAAUGGAAUGGCACCUGACAUGCUGUGUUAUUUUUCGUGUCCAUUUUGAGAGAAGGCGCACUCGAAUAACAGCCAACAAAGGCAUUUUGAAAAAAUAGCUGCCACUUAAAUAUCUCAAACGUUUGUAUAAUUCAAACCAUGUGCGUUAUGUUAACCAUUCACGUGACGCCACGUGUCUUGGUUUUAAUGGCUUAAUGGCUCUUGAUCGCAAACGUUUUAGAUAGAACACCCAUAUGCAAAGUGAGAGCAGGAUUUGUGCAUCACUUGAACACAAACGGUUCUUUUGGAUGACCCAUGUGAACCACUUACAAACAUUUUGGUGCGAUUUGCAUCUGUCAUAUUGGGUAUGUUGCCAUUUGUCAAACUAUAAAGAUUGACAUUUGUUGAUCUAGUAACAUUGCCAUUUGCCAACCUUGUAACACUGCGAUUUGUCAAAAUAUGAAGCUAAAAAUCACUAGUAGUAUCUAAUUUUUGCAACUAAAAUUCAGUAAUUAAGCAUAGAUGGAAGCGAGGAGGCGUGUUCAGCCGGGCGUGCAGCGGGCAGCGCAGUACUAUUUGAUUGGACAGCGGGCAGCGCAGUUCCCGAUACGGCUUUAAUGCAGACGAGGGAGAGGGUAGCAGUUCCCGAAAUGUUGCGGCCAAUGAUGCAUCCUCCUUCAAUUAGCAUCGUGUGAAUGCAUGAGGUAAGUAAUGGGAGGAGGACCAGGAAAAGAGGCAGCACGAUGUGAAUGAAACGCAGUUUGCACUCAUAUAAAGGCGCCCCUCCAUUCCAAUGCAUCUACCACAUCGUACACACCUAAGCAUUUGCCUAAGCACCUACACUAAUAAGCGCAAAAGUGCUCACUCCAGACCCAUGGCAGCGAUGCGCGCGAGCGGCCAGCGGCUGUGCCAGAUGGUCCACGACGCCGGCCUGCGGCAUGGCACCGUGGAUCGUCUCCACACGGUGUUGGCGACCGGCUGGUCGAUGGCCGCCGUCGACGCCAGCUACGACUCUCAGUACGACUAGAUGAUCGUUCGCACCACCAACAGGUUCACCGUCGUCAAGAAGCUCAUGGACGACAUCGCCGUACUCCUCUAGCCCACGCGCCCGGGCUCCUCAUUGCCUGCCACGCUAAUCGGCCUCCAUGGUCGGAACCUCUUUCAAGCACUGGUGGCCCUGUGACUGCCUGCCGACGCCAAGAAUGUCCACCUGGAGGUCGCGCUCGCCGCGAGGCGCCUCACCCUGCAAGAAACCAUAGACCUACACAUCUAUGUGUACGAGCAAAUCGUGUACAUAGGUAUCUACAAGGUCAGUGAGGACGCUACAACGUUGGCCUUCUUCAACCGGCUGGAAGCCUUGGAUGCUUUAGUGUAGGAUCGAAAGUAUGUCUAGAGGGGGGGUGAUUAGACUACUUGACCAAAUAAAAAUCUAGCCUUUUCCCAAUUUUAAGUCUUGGCAGAUUUUAGCAACUUAGCACAACUCAAGUAAUCAACCUACACAUGCAAUUCUAAGAGUAUAGCAGCGGAAUGUAAAACAAUUGCAUAUGAAGGUAAAGGGAGGAGUUUGAGGGAGCAAAUGCAAUGUUGACACGGAGAUUUUUUAUCCGUGGUUCCGAUAGGUGGUGCUAUCGUACAUCCAUGUUGAUGGAGACUUCAACCCACGAAGGGUAAUGGUUGCGCGAGUCCACGGAGGGCUCCACCCACGAAGGGUCCACUAAGAAGCAACCUUGUCUAUCCCACCAUGGCCGUCGCCCACGAAGGACUUGCCUCACUCGGGUAGAUCUUCACAAAGUAGGCGAUCUCCUUGCCCUUACAAACUCCUUGGUUCAACUCCACAAUCUUGACGGAGGCUCCCAAGUGACACCUAGCCAAUCUAGGAGACACCACUCUCCAAGAGGUAAUAGAUGGUGUGUUGAUGAUGAACUCCUUGCUCUUGUGCUUCAAAUGAUAGUCUCCCCAACACUCAACUCUCUCACAUAGGAUUGGAUUUGGUGGAAAGAUGAUUUGAGUGGAAAGCAACUUGGGGAAGACUAGAGAUCAAGAUUUAUGUGGUUGGAAUGGAAUAUCUUGACCUCAACACAAGUGUAGGUGGUUCUCUUUCAGAAAAUGUAUGUUGGAAGUGUAGGCAUGUUCUGAUGGCUCUCUCCACGAAUGAAGAGUGGGUGGAGGGGUAUAUAUAGCCUCCACACAAAAUCUAACCGUUACACACAAUUUACCAAACUCGGUGGGACCGAUUCAAAGAACUCAGUCAGACCGAUUUAGUUCAAAAUGUGAACGUUAGGAUUUUCGGUGGGACCGAUUUCGUUAGGGUUAGGGCAUAACGUAAUCUUGGUGAGACCGAUUACACAAACUCGGUGAGACCGAUUUUGGUAAUAGACUAACCAGAGUUGGUCAGGCAAACUCGGUGGGACCUAUUCGCACAUCUCGGUUGGACCGAAACGUUACGAAAGGGAAACAGAGAGUUUGCAUUGCAAUCUCGGUGGGACCGAUCGCUCAUCACAGUUUGAACGAAACGUUAUGAAGGGAAACAAAGAUAUUACAAUCCCAUCUCGGUGAGACCGAGAUCCCUAUCGGUGAGACCAAAAAGACUAGGGUUUGUGGCAGUGGCUAUGUCAAGUGAACUCGAUGGCCCCGGAUAGAUCAAAUCGGUGGGGCCGAGUUUGACUUUUGGUUCGGGACAUAUGUGGAUAUGAGAAAGUAGCUGAGGGCUUUGGAGCAUAUCACUAAGCAUUUUGAGCAAGAAACUCAUUAAUCAACACCUCACCCCUUCUUAAUAGUAUUGUCUUUUCCUAUGGACUCAAUGUGAUCUUGGAUCACUAAAAUGAAAAAUGUAGAGUCUUGUGCUUUGAGCUUGAGCCAAUCCUUUUGUCCUUAGCAUUUUAAGGGGUCCACUUUCUUAACCCAUGCCAUGCCAAUCAUUGAGCUUUCCUGAAAUAUUUAUCUUGAAAUAGCAUUAGCUCAAUGAGCUAUAUGUUGUUAGGAAUUACCAAAACCACCCAGGGAUAGUUGCACUUUCAAUCUCCCCCUUUUUGGUAAUUGAUGACAACAUAUAGAUCAAAGCUUCGACAAAUGAUAAUAAGAUUGAAGUACAUCUUCGCUUUGACAAGUAUGUGAUAAGCAAGAGCUCCCCCUAAAUUUGUGCAUUAUUUAAGAUUUGCUUUUGAAUGCAAAUGCACAAUCGAUUAGGAUCAUGGGUUACUCUUCCAUGUCACAUACAUCUUGGUGGAGCGCCCAAAAUGAUAGAAAUUAAAAGCAUGCACUCAUCACCAAGCAAGUGAAUGAUCAUAUAUGAGAUAUGAGAGAUAGUAUCAUCCAAACAAGCAUUAAGGGUAGCAUAUGAUCAAACACAUGAUCAAACAAGUAUCUCACAAGGACAUAAAGUAUCUCACACAAGCACACAAUCAAGAAGUUCAACCAAAAUAGCAAGAGAGAUAAAAAAAGCAACACUCUCUCUCGAAGCCUAUGAUCUAUACAUUUUUCUCCCCCUUUGGCAACAAGUUACCAAAAAGUUCAAAAAUGCAUAGUGCUAAACGUCUCUCAGGCUUGACCUUCGGGAGGUGGUGUAGAUAGAACUCCAAGGACGAAGGCAUCUGUUGAAGUAGUUGGAGCUGGUGGAGUGGCUGCUGUAGGUGGCACUGGAGCUGUAGCUCUAGAAUCUCUCACUGGCACUGCAGCAGACCUUUGUCCUCUAGGCACUCGCUCAAAAGCAUCAGUAGUUGCCUUGCCCUUCUUCUCCUCUGCUUCCUCCUGAUGCUGCUCAACUGCUGUCUGAAUCUCAGUUACCUUGACAUCAAGAUCAUAGAAUUUCUGCUCAAUGAUCCUCUCCAAGCUCUCCUGGUUUUGAGUCAGGGUGGCCAAGCCCUUCUCAAUCCUCAGUGUAGACUGGAUCAGAUAUGCAAGCUGGUCUUGCUUGCUCUUCAAGAACACUUGAUAUGCCUCUUCAGCAGUUGGCAUCUUUGCAGCUUUCUCUGCCCUUGCCUUCUCUCUCUUCUCAUGUGCUUGCACUGAAGAUGGAUCUUCCUCAGUCAUGACAACAAUGUUGUCCUCAAAGUCUGGCCUGAGUGGUAAAUUCUCUUUGUCCAAUAGAUAUUUGCCUAUGCCCAUCUUGGAGUUGAUGAGCUCCUGAAUUUGUGGAGCAUACCCACAAGAUCUCUUCUGAUCUACAGCUGUCCUUUUGAUUGUUUCCACAAUCAGACUCAUCACAUUGAACUUUUGAGGAACAUUAAAUAUAUGCAGCAAGUUGAUGGAGUGGCCUCUGAUCAUCCUGUGAUCACCUGACUUUGGUAGCAAUGUGUGCCUUAGGAUCCAAUUGAUUGUAGGCAGACCUGACAACAAGUGCUUUACAGAACCAAACUUGUGUGUCUCAAGGUCUGCAUCAGGAAUCUCCUUGUACAUGUGUGCCAUAGAGUUGUGAUCCUUCUUCUUCUUGGCAUAGACAUCCAAAUCAUCUUCAUGAGCUUCUGGAGCAUUGAUCAAACUGGCCCACUCAUCAACUGUAGAUUGGUACCUUGUACCCUCUGACAUCCAUACAAUCCUUCCAUCUGGAUAGAAAUGAGCAGUCGAAUAGAAUUGCAUGAUCAACUCAUCAUUCCACUUGGUGAGCUUUUGGCCAACAAACUUGUCAACCUCACAAGAUUUGAAGCUGUCAUAAACUCCUGGAAAAUGAUCUUCAUUUUCUUUGAUGUACUCUGAUGUCUACUACGCAACCUUCUUCUUGUAGACGUUGUUGGGCCUCCAAGUGCAGAGGUUUGUAGGACAGUAGCAAAUUUCCCUCAAGUGGAUGACCUAAGGUUUAUCAAUCCGUGGAAGGCGUAGGAUGAAGAUGGUCUCUCUCAAGCAACCCUGCAACCAAAUAACAAAGAGUCUCUUGUGUCCCCAACACACCCAAUACAAUGGUAAAUUGUAUAGGUGCACUAGUUCGGCAAAGAGAUGGUGAUACAAGUGCAAUAUGGAUGGUAGAUAUAGGUUUUGUAAUCUGAAAUUAUAAAAACAGCAAGGUAACUAAUGAUAAAAGUGAGCGUAAACGGUAUUGCAAUGCUAGGAAACAAGGCCUAGGGUUCAUACUUUCACUAGUGCAAGUUCUCUCAACAAUAAUAACAUAAUUGGAUCAUAUAACUAUCCCUCAACAUGCAACAAAGAGUCACUCCAAAGUCACUAAUAGCGGAGAACAAACGAAGAGAUUAUGGUAGGGUACGAAACCACCUCAAAGUUAUUCUUUCUGAUCGAUCUAUCAUAGAGUUCGUACUAGAAUAACACCUUAAGAUAAAAAUCAACCAAAACCCUAAUGUCACCUAGAUACUCCAAUGUCACCUCAAGUAUCCAUGGGUAUGAUUAUACGAUAUGCAUCACACAAUCUCAGAUUCAUCUAUUCAACCAACACAAAGAACUUCAAAGAGUGCCCCAAAGUUUCUACCGGAGAGUCAAGACAAAAACGUGUGCCAACCCCUAUGCAUAGGUUCAUGGGCGGAACCCGCAAGUUGAUCACCAAAACAUACAUCAAGUGGAUCACGUGAUAUCCCAUUGUCACCACAGAUAAGCACAGCAAGACAUACAUCAAGUGUUCUCAAAUCCUUAAAGACUCAAUCCGAUAAGAUAACUUCAAAGGGAAAACUCAAUCCAUUACAAGAGAGUAGAGGGGGAGAAACAUCAUAAGAUCCAACUAUAAUAGCAAAGCUCGCGAUACAUCAAGAUCGUAUCACCUCAAGAACACGAGAGAGAGAGAGAGAGAGAGAGAGAGAGAGAGAGAGAUCAAACACAUAGCUACUGGUACAUACCCUCAGCCCCGAGGGUGAACUACUCCCUCCUCGUCAUGGAGAGCGCCGGGAUGAUGAAGAUGGCCACCGAUGAGGGAUUCCCCCUCCGGCAGGGUGCCGGAACAGGGUCCCGGUUGGUUUUUGGUGGCUACAGAGGCUUGCGGCGGCGGAACUCCCGAUCUAUUCUGUUUUCUGGAGGUUUCAGUAUUUAUAGGACUUUUUGGCGUAGGUCUCACGUCAGGGGGGUCUCCGGGUUGUCCACGAGGCAGGGGCCCACGCCCAGGGGGGUGGGCGCGCCCCCACCCUUGUGGGCAGCCCGGGACUCUCCUGGCCCAACUCUUUUACUCCGGGGGCUUCUUUUGGUCCAUAAAAAAUCAUCAGAAAUUGGCACGUCAAUUGGACUCCGUUUGGUUUUCCCUUUCUGCAAAACUUAAAAACAAGGAAAAAAAGAAACUGGCACUGGGCUCUGGGUUAAUAAGUUAGUCCCAAAAAUAAUAUAAAAGUGCAUAGUAAAGCCCAUUAAACAUCCAAGAUGGAUAAUAUAAUAGCAUGAAUACUUCACAAAUUAUAGAUACGUUGUAGACGUAUCAGCAUCCCCAAGCUUAAUUCCUGCUCGUCCUCGAGUAGGUAAAUGAUAAAAGAAAUAAUUUAUGAAGUGUGAAUGCUAUUAGGUGCACAAGUCUGAUCAAUGAUAAUUUCAAUCACCUUUUCUGGCAUCAUUAUAUGUCAUAACAGUAGCUCAUAUCAUAAAGCUUCUUAUGAUCAAGUAACAAGCUAUUCACAUGUUAAAGUAUAGAUUAUAAACUUUCUUGAAAACUAACAAACAGUUCUCAGUCAUCAAACAAUUGCAAUUCAUCUUAUUUUCAGGAAGGGUCUAUGUAAGAGAUUUGAUUUAGCAAAUCCCACAUACUCAACUAUCAUAUAGUCUUCCAUGAUUGCUACCACUCAAAGCAUAUUUUUAGAACAAAUAGUAUUCAUCGAACACAGAGAAAGAUAGGGGCUUAAUGUUUCGCCUCCCAACCUUUUACCUCAAGGGUAAUGUCAACAGUAAUAAUUAAUGCUCAAAUAUAUUUGAAUGGCCAUAUAUGCUUGCCAACUAAAGAGUAGGUUGGAAUGAGAAGCAAUACUACUGACUCUUGCAUAAAAGUAAAAGAUAGGCCCUUCGCAGAGGGGAGCAGGGAUUUGUAGAGGUGCCAGAGCUCGAAGCAAAAACAGAGAUGAAAAUAAUUUUGAGAGGUAUGCUUUCAUUGCCAACAUAACGACCAAGAGUUCCCAAUAUCUUCCAUACUAGAUACAUUAUAGGCGGUUCCCACACAGAAAGGUAAAGUUUUUACUCCCCCUCCACCAACAUUCACACUCCACGGCUUGUCCGAAACAACGGGUGCUGUCCAACUAUCAACAUUCCUAGGGGAGUUUUGUUUAAAUUAUUUGCGAUUUUGUUUUUGAUCCUUUGAUCAUAGGACUGGGCAUCCCAGUUACCAGCCAUUUUCUCGUGAAUGAUGAGCAGAGUCCACUCAUCGUGAGAAUAACCCACCUAGCAUGGAAGAUACUGACAACCCCUAGUCGCUACAUGAGCGAUUUGGGCAUACAAAACAGAUUAUUAUUUGAAGUUUUAGAGUUUGGCACAUGCAAAUUUACUUGGAACGGCAGGUAAAUACCGCAUAUAGGUAGAUAUGGUGGACACUCAUGGAAGAAACUUGGUUCAAGGAAUUUGGAUGCACAAGCAGUAUUCCCGCUUAGUACAGAUAUUUUGGCUAGCAAAGGAUUCUAAUAGCAAGCACCACAUGUUAGAGGAUCCAUAACAAUAUAACUUCUAUACAAAUAUACCCAAGCAUAACUCAUUAUGUUGUCUUCCUUGUCCAACUUCAACUACUUUGCUCAGGUGUGAAAAUAAUUAAUGGGGCUCACAACCAUAGAAGAUGUCCAAGAUAGUAUAUUUAUAUGUGAAAUCUCUCUUCCUUCAAUAUUCUUUCAUGAAUUGUUCAAGUGACCAAUACAAUGUUUGCUAACCUUCAAUAAAUUUACCACCUCUACUUCUUAUAUGUGGAGGCAUUACUCCCCAUGGGAAAGGCAUAUGAAACAUAUAUAAUUUCAGAUUUAUGACAUUCAAAUCAUUCAACCAUUUACUCAUAGGAUAUAAGUGAAGCACGUGAGUAAAUGACAAACUACUCCAAAAAGAUAUAAGUGAAGAUCAAUGAGUAGUUAAAUAAUUAUAUAGCUAUGUGAAGACUCUCUCUCAUUUAAGAAUUUCAGAUCUUGGGAUAUUAUUCAAACAGCAAGAAAAUCUAAAGAAAAUAAAAUGACGCUCCAAGCAAAACACAUAUCAUGUGGUGAAUAAAAAUAUAGCUCCAAGUAAAGUUACCGAUGAAUGAAGACGAAAGAGGGGAUGCCUUCCGGGGCAUCCCCAAGCUUAGACGCUUGGUUAUCCUUGAAUAUUACCUUGGGGUGCCUUGGGCAUACCCAAGCUUAGGCUCUUGCCACUCCUUAUUCCAUAGUCCAUCGAAUCUUUACCCAAAACUUGAAAACUUCACAACACAAAACUUAACAGAAAACUCGUAAGCUCCGUUAGUAUAAGAAAAUAAAUCACCACUUAGGUACUGUUGUGAACUCAUUAUAAAUUAAUAUUGGUGUUAAACCUACUGUAUUCCAACUUCUCUAUGGUUUAUAAACUAUUUUACUAGCCAUACAUUCAUCAAAAUAAGCAAACAACACAUAGAAAACAGAAUCUGUCAAAAACAGAACACUCGGUAGUAAUAUGUAUCAAACGUAUACUUCUGGAACUCCAAAAAUUCUAAAAUAAAUUGGUGGACCUGAGUAAUUUGUCUAGUAAUCAUCUGCAAAAAGAAUCAACUAAAUAGCACUCUCCAGUAAAAAAAUUAGCUAAUCUCGUGAGCCCUAAAGUUUCUGUUGUUUACAGCAUGAUCAUAAAGACUUCACCCAAGUCUUCCCAAAGGUUCUACUUGGCACAAACACUAAUUAAAACACAAAACCACAUCUAAACAUAAGCUAGAUGGAUUAUUUAUUCCUAAACAGAACCAAAAAGCAAGAAACUAAAAUAAAAUUGGGUUGCCUCCCAACAAGCGCUAUCGUUUAACGCCCCUAGCUAGGCAUGAUGAUUUCAAUGAUGCUCACAAAAAGAUAAGAAUUGAAACAUAAAGAGAGCAUCAUGAAGAAUAUGACUAGCACAUUUAAGUCUACCCCACUUCCUAUGCAUAGGAAUUUUGUGAUCAAACAAUUUAUGGGAACAAUAAUCAACUAGCAUAGGAAGGCAAGACAAGCAUAACUUCAAGAUUUUAAGCACAUAGAAAGGAAACUUGAUAUUAUUGCAAUUCCUACAAGCAUAUAUUCCUCCCUCAUAAUAAUUUUCAGUAGCAUCAUGAAUGAAUUCAACAAUAUAACCAACACCUAGAGCAUUCUUUUCAUGAUCUACAAGUAUAGAAUUUUUACUACUCUCCACAUAAGCAAAAUUCUUCUCAUUCGGAAUAGUGGGAGUUUCAUAAGAGACUUGAAUACUAUAAAUUGUUUCCACAUUAAAAGAGUAAUGUUCAGAAAAAGGGUAAUCAUAAUCAUGACAAGUUUUAUAAAUAUAAUCAUCACUACUUUUUAUAGCAUAAGUUUCAUCACAAUAAUCAUCAUAAGUAGCAACUUUGUUCUCAUCAUAAUCAAUUGGAACCUCUUCCGAAAUAGUGGACUCAUCACUAUAUAAAGUCAUGACCUCUCCAAAUCCACUUUCAUAAAUAUUAUAAGAUUCAACAUCCUCCAAAAUAUUGGGAUCAUUACUUCCUAAAGUUGACACUCUUCCAAACCAACUUUCAUCAAUAUAAUCAUCAUAGGUAGAAGGCAUGCUAUCAUCAUAACAACUUUGCAUGUCAAAACUUGGGAGGCUAAAAAUAUCAUCUUCAUUAAACGUAGCAUCCCCAAGCUUGGGACAAACAUUAAUUUCAGCAAAUAUAUUCUCAAAUAUGUCAUUCUCAUCAAACAUAGCUUCCCCAAGCUUGGGCCUUUGCAUAUCAUAAGCAUAAUCAUUCUCAUCAUUAAUAGUAUGCAUAGCACCAAUAGUAUAGCAAUUAUCAUCAUCACAAUGAGUAGUAGGAGCAACAUCAUUUGGGAGGGAUACCUUUUUACCUUUACUUCUCUGUUUUUGCUUUUUCUUAUUCACAUCAUGUGCGGGUUUAUCCCUCCUUUUUGAGCUCCUUAUUGAUGAGAUUGGUUGAACAGAAGGCUCCUCCUUGUUACCUGAUUCAUCAUAAGAAAUAAUAGGAGAAUAUUGGGAAGUCUCUUCCCUUUCGUUAGUAUUCUCUUCAUCUUCUAUUUGUUUUCUUUUCUUUAUGUAAUUGGCAAUAUAAGGAUUUUCAAUGCAAUUCACCGCACAAUACAUAUAAAUUUCCUCUAGAUCAAAAUGAAGAAUUCUAUCAAGGGCAAAUUCUGGAAAAAUCUUAGUUAUACGUUUCAUUUCUUCAUAACCCAAGAGCAAACUAAGUUCAUUAUGAUGUGCAAGGGAAAUCAAGUCAUCACAAUUUUUGGACAUGACACGAUCAUGAAACAAUUUGCAUUGGUUACUGAAAUGAUCAUGUUCAUUGCAAAGUUCACAAGUACGGCUAAGAAAAUUUAAAUUUUUAGCACAAACAUCUAGCCUUUCUUGCAACAAUUUAGUUUCUAAAUGAUUAUGCUUCUUGCAAUAUCUAUCUUCCCUAUUUGGUGUGUACUUGCAAACCCAAUACACUCCACAAAAAUUGACAUGCUUAUAAGAGAUAUUUUCAUCAUGACUAGUGCAAUCAUCAUUAGUACCAUGGAUAUUCAAAGGGUUCAUACUAACAACAUUGCAAUCAUGCUCAUCAUUCAAAGAUUUAGUGCCAAACAUUUUAUAGACUUCCUAUUCUAGCACCUUGGCACAAUUUUCCUUUCCAUCAUGCUCACGAAAGAUAUUAAAAAGAUGAAGCGUAUGAGGCAAACUCAAUUCCAUUUUUUUGUAGUUUUCUUUUAUAGACUAAACUAGUGAUAAAACAAGAAACAAAAAGAUUUGAUUGCAAGAUCUAAAGGUAUACCUUCAAGCACUCACCUCCCUGGCAACGGCGCCAGAAAAGAGCUUAGUUGACGGGGUGUGAGUGCCGCUUACCUAGCCUCCCGGGCAACGGCGCCAGAAAAGAGUUUGAUGUCUACUACGCAACCUUCUUCUUGUAGACGUUGUUGGGCCUCCAAGUGCAGAGGUUUGUAGGACAGUAGAAAAUUUCCCUCAAGUGGAUGACCUAAGGUUUAUCAAUCCGUGGGAGGCGUAGGAUGAAGAUGGUCUCUCUCAAGCAACCCUGCAACCAAAUAACAAAGAGUCUCUUGUGUCCCCAACACACCCAAUACAAUGGUAAAUUGUAUAGGUGCACUAGUUCGGCGAAGAGAUGGUGAUACAAGUGCAAUAUGGAUGGUAGAUAUAGGUUUUUGUAAUCUGAAAUUAUAAAAACAGCAAGGUAACUAAUGAUAAAAGUGAGCGUAAACGGUAUUGCAAUGCUAGGAAACAAGGCCUAGGGUUCAUACUUUAACUAGUGCAAGUUCUCUCAACAAUAAUAACAUAAUUGGAUCAUAUAACUAUCCCUCAACAUGCAACAAAGAGUCACUCCAAAGUCACGAAUAGCGGAGAACAAACGAAGAGAUUAUGGUAGGGUACGAAACCACCUCAAAGUUAUUCUUUCUGAUCGAUCUAUCAUAGAGUUCGUACUAGAAUAACACCUUAAGAUACAAAUCAACCAAAACCCUAAUGUCACCUAGAUACUGCAAUGUCACCUCAAGUAUCCAUGGGUAUGAUUAUACGAUAUGCAUCACACAAUCUCAGAUUCAUCUAUUCAACCAACACAAAGAACUUCAAAGAGUGCCCCAAAGUUUCUACCGGAGAGUCAAGACGAAAACGUGUGCCAACCCCUAUGCAUAGGUUCAUGGGCGGAACCCGCAAGUUGAUCACCAAAACAUACAUCAAGUGGAUCACGUGAUAUCCCAUUGUCACCACAGAUAAGCAUGGCAAGACAUACAUCAAGUGUUCUCAAAUCCUUAAAGACUCAAUCCGAUAAGAUAACUUCAAAGGGAAAACUCAAUCCAUUACAAGAGAGUAGAGGGGGAGAAACAUCAUAAGAUCCAACUAUAAUAGCAAAGCUCGCGAUACAUCAAGAUCGUAUCACCUCAAGAACACGAGAGAGAGAGAGAUCAAACACAUAGCUACUGGUACAUACCCUCAGCCCCGAGGGUGAACUACUCCCUCCUCGUCAUGGAGAGCGCUGGGAUGAUGAAGAUGGCCACCAGUGAGGGAUUUCCCCUCCGGCAGGGUGCCGGAACAGGACCCCGAUUGGUUUUUGGUGGCUACAGAGGCUUGCGGCGGUGGAACUCCCGAUCUAUUCUAUUUUCUGGAGGUUUCAGUAUUUAUAGGAUUUUUUGGCGUAGGUCUCACGUCAGGGGGGUCUCCGGGUUGUCCAUGAGGCAGGGGCCCACGCCCAGGGGGGUGGGCGCGCCCCCCACCCUCGUGGGCAGCCCGGGACUCUCCUGGCCCAACUCUUUUACUUCGGGGGCUUCUUUUGGUCCAGAAAAAAUCAUCAAAAAUUGGCACGUCAAUUGGACUCCAUUUGGUUUUCCUUUUCUGCAAAACUUAAAAACAAGGAAAAAACAGAAACUGGCACUGGGCUCUGGUUUAAUAAGUUAGUCCCAAAAAUAAUAUAAAAAUGCAUAGUAAAGCCCAUUAAACAUCCAAGAUGGAUAAUAUAAUAGCAUGAAUACUUCAUAAAUUAUAGAUACGUUGGAGAUGUAUCAUACUCCCAGUCCACCCAUCUCAUGUCACAGACAAUGGGCUUCUUGUCAAGCAGGAUAGUCUCAUAGAAAUCUUGAUGUUCCUUUGUGUGGAACCUGUAAUCCACAGCAGUUCUCCUCCUGACAGCAUAUGGAUCAGACUGUCUCCACAAUCUCAGUCCUGAAUCCUUCCUGAUCCUCAUAUCUUCUGCAACAGGAUGUGCAUCAUUAUGGUCAGGGAUCUUGGGCUUCAACUUUCUUAAAACAAGUGAAUCAUCUUCCUCGUCAUCAGCAGCUUCAGGCACUGGGGCCUUGUUCUUCUCUUCAGCAGGGAUGUUCCUGGUGCUCCUCUUGGGUGCAGACUUUUGAGCUGAAGCUUUGGGAGCAGACUUGGGCUUAGAUGGAGCAGCCCCUGAUCUGAUCAUCUCCCAUAAGCUUCUGAGCUUUGGGUGUUGGUGCAGCAUCCUCUUCCUCUUCAUCAUCAUCUCUCAUCAUGGAGGGCUUCCCAAUAACUCUGGCAAUGGUCUUCUUGACCCUUUCUUUCCUCUUCUUGCCUUCACCUCCUUCUUUGGGUUCAAGAGUGAACUCCAUUGUAUCUUGAGUAGAGGCUCUGGCCUUAGACAUAGGAACUCUUCUUGCUGGAGCCUUUGUUUUCAUUCCAGGCUUUGUUGCAGCAGUUGUGCCAUACUCCUUUUUCAGCACCUUUUUCCUUAAAGUGGCCUCAUCCUCAACAGCCACAUAAUCCACAUCCUCAGAAUCUGAGGUUCUCUUCUUCCUUGUCCUGGUGGCUGCCUUUGGCAAGUUACUAGGUGUGCUCCUGCUGCCCUCAUCAUAGCUGCUGGAGGGACUAGUGCCCUCACUCAACUGAACCUGUUCUUCAGACUUGUUCUGGUUGUCACUUUGAUCAGACAUCUUCAGGCAAACUGUCAGCAGACCCUGUGAAUAGGUUGUAGAUGAGGUAGAGUGGAUGAGCAUCACAAAGUACAGAGUUUUGUCAACACAGAUGACUUAAAAACUUAGUUUUAGUUCUUCACAGAAAGCAUUUCGGAUCUACCGAUUUGUAAACUCGGUGAUACCGAAGCAGCUUUUCGAACCUAAACUAGUGAACUCGGUCAGACCGAGUCACAGUUCGGUGGCACCGAGACUGCUAGGGUUUCACAAAGAAUCGAACUCGGUCACACCGAUUUGCAAUUUUCGGUCGGACCGAAAACGCAUGUGCAAUGGCCUAAGCCAAAUCGGUGAGACCGAUUUCUACAACUGGUCGGUCCGAGAUGAGUUUGGCGGAGACCUAACCCUAAAUUUCCAAAUCAAAUCUAAUCUACGGGAUGUUUUCAGUGGACAGGAUGAUUUCAUAUGUGGCAAGAAUCAUGGCAAAGCAAUGUGCUAAGAAUCAGAGUUAAGGAAUAGCACAAAGAUCAAGUUCGUACCCUAGUUCAGCGGUGAACUCGCUACGGCGGCAACGGCGGGGCAGAUUGCCGUUGACGGCGGCGGAGACCAGCGGCAGGAGGUCACUGGCGGCGAGAGGAUGAUCCGGAGACCCGAGGAGGCAGAGCAGGUCACGUGUGGGUGAAAGGUUUUGGAAAUUUUUCCAAAAUUUGACCCGUCAGUAUAUAUAACCUGACCCUGUUGGUGUGACCAAGUGGAACAACUCGGUGGCACCGAGAUGCAAAACUGUAAGCAGUUACUGCAACUCGGUGUGACCGAAGAGUUCUAAUCGGUUGCACCGAGAUUGAAAACCUAGAUCAACUUAGUGAUCUCGGUAUGACCGAAAAGGAUGUAUCGGUCAGACCGAAAUGCACAAAGAGGUUUUGGAAGUUUAAGUCUACGACGAAUCGGGGACUCCGAGUGCUCCUCACACAGAGUGGUUCGAAUCUGACUUGAUCAAACUUUGUGAUGUAGCAUGAAUAGAGUUUGAAACGAGGAAAGCAUAGAUAGCUAGAGGGAGUUCUUAGACAUUUUUGUCCAUCCAUUUGGCAAAAGAGAAAAAGCCAAACAAUCAAAGCAACAAAUGGAUGUCCUCGAAUGAGUAAAAAUAUGCAUCCAACAUUCUCACACAAUAAAAUGAAAAAUGAAAUAUGUGACAAAGCAUGCACAAACACUUUAGCAUCUAUCAAGCAAUUUGGCGAUGUCUAGGUCAUCUAUAUAUGAGUAUAUUGACUUAGGAGUCAAAUGAGAACAUUUGAUCAUAGGUCAUACUCAUCGUUUAUGCACAAGUGGGGUUACCACUUUUACAUAAAGCAUUGUUGUGCUCACACCAUUAGAGUUGCUUUAGCUCAAUUCUUAGAGUAAAGCUCCCCCUAGAUGUGAUAUCCCCCCUAAGAGGGAUGAACUAACCUUGGGUUUUGUCGGUGAUGACUUCAUGUAGGUGUUGAAGAUGUGGGUGCUCAAUGUUGAUGUAGAUCAUUCGGAGCAAUCCUUUGGAGUGAGUUGCACUUUCAAUACCUACACGGGUUAGCCCCACAAGGAACAAAUAAGGAUAUCCAUAGACAUAGAGUGAUGUACACACAAGAUGAUGUCCAUGAAAGCAUUAGGUUACCUUGUCCCUUGUCUUACCAACAAGAGGGUUUGUGACUCCUUGAACUAGUGCAAGAUAUGGAAGUUGUUUGCACUUGUCAUUGCCAAAAUGAUAAGAGUGAAGUAUGUUGGCGGAUUCACCCUCAAGAACUCUCUAGUUCCUCUUCUUAGGGAUCCACACCAUCUUGAUGGGAAUCCUUGGAGUUGUAGUCGUACUUGAUGAAGUGGAACUUGAUGUGGUUUUGGGAACCCAUUUGACCAAGGCCUUAGGUGCUUCUUCAAAUGCAUCAAUCUCCUCUUGAAGCUUGUCCUUGCCUUUUUGCUUGUGGUCUUGUGGUGGAAGAUCAUCUUGAGCUUGUGUUCCUUGGAAAGAAGUAGGAUCAAACUUCUCUUGUUGAGGAACAAACUUCAUCUUGGGGUAUUGAUCUUCUUCCCACUCAACUCCAUUGGCAUUGAACUUUCGUUCAAAAUCAAUACCUUGAUUCUUCCGGUGCCUUCCUUGCUUGCAUACAAUUUCCUCAAAUUGCUUACUUCCGGCAAGGCUCUUGUAAACACCUUUCUCUAUAAUUCCCUUCAAUAAGCUAUUUUCUUGCUCAAGUGUAACUUGGAUAAGAGAAUCAUUAGUGGAAUCAAGAGAACCUCUAGAAGCAACAAUAUUGGAUUUAGCAUGAUUAUUGUUACUACUAGAAGAAGAAUCUUUCUUGUUCUUGUUGCUAGAUUUAACUUGUGGCAUGUAAGUAGACAAGAGUAAACGCUUGGCAGUGUAAGAAGAACUUUUCUUGCGAAGAACAUCAUUGAUUGCUUUUAAGAACUCAUGCUCUUGCUCAAGGUUGAGCUUUUCAAAGCGUAGCUUCUCAUGAGUCUUUAAAAGUUCUCGAUGAUCUUCCAAGGUAGUUUCAUGAGCUAACUUAAGAGUGUUUAGUUCUUUAGUUAGACGCUCAAUCUCCUUCUUAUCAUCGUCAUUCGUUUUAUCUUGAUUAGCAUGAUCAUUAGCAAGUUCAUCAUAGUUUUCAUAACUAGAGUUGUCAACAAGUAGAUCAUCAUCUCCUAGCAAAUCAUCUUCAUCACUAUUGAAAUCAACAUACUCGGGGUGUGUUACCUUUGGACCUUUGGCCAUGAAGCAUCUUCCAAUUCCUUCAUUUGGUGAGUCAAAUAUGUCGUAGGAGUUGGUUGACACAAGUGCUAGACCGGCAACACCUUCAUCUUGAGUAUAUUCGGAGUCAGAGUGAUAACUUCUUUCGGAGUGAUGGUCGGAGUCGGAGCCGGAUACCCAUUCACCAACAUGAGCUUGAUGUCUUCGUUUUGUGUAGCUCCUUGAUGACUUGUCCUUCCUCUCCGAAUCCUUGCUUCUCCGAGAGGGUCUUCGUUCAUAACGAUCAUCUCUACUCCUUCUCUCUCUUGGAGGCGAUUCUUCUCUCCUACUCCUUCUUUUGGGAGAAUCUUCUCUUCUUUUGUAGGGAGCCGUACACUCAUUGGAAUAGUGUCCGGGUCUUCCACAAUUGUAGCAAUUACGCUCACGACUAGAAGAUCUAUUGUCAUUGUAGGACCUUGACUUGGAGCUUCUUUCCUAGCUUCUACUCUUGUAGAAUUUGUUGAAGUUCUUCACCAUUAGACUCAACUCUUCAUUGAAGGUUUGCUUCUCACUUGAUGAUGUGGGAGAUUCACAUGAGGCUUUGUAAGCACCACUUGACUUGUUGUGGAGCUCUUCCUUAUCCUUGAGUGACAUCUCAUGAGCAACAAUUCUUCCAAUGACUUCCGUUGGCUUGAGAUCUUUGUAGUUGGGCAUCAUUUGGAUCAAUGUGCACACGGUAUCAUAUUUUCCAUCCAAGGCUCUUAGGAUCUUCUUGAUGAUGAAUCUAUCGGUCAUCUCUUCACUUCCUAAGCCGGCAAUCUCAUUUGUGAUGAGAGCAAGCCUAGAGUACAUUUCAGCGACACCUUCACCAUCCUUCAUUUUGAACUUGUCAAGUUGACUCUGAAGCACAUCCAAUUUGGAUUCCUUGACGGAGUCGGUACCUUCGUGCAUAUCAAUCAAAGUAUCCCAAAUUUCCUUUGCAUUCUCAAGACGGCUGAUUUUAUUGAAUUCUUCGGGACACAAUCCGUUGAAGAGAAUAUCACAAGCUUGAGCAUUGUAUUGCAGCAUCUUCAACUCUUCCGUGGUAGCUUCACGGUUUGGUUCUCUCCCAUCAAAGAAUUCACCUUGCAAGCCAAUACACACAAUAGCCCAAACGGCGGGGUUAUGUCCAAGAAUAUGCAUUUUCAUCUUAUGCUUCCAACUAGCAAAAUUUGUACCAUCAAAGUAAGGACCUCUACGGUGGUAAUUUCCCUCGCUAGACGCCAUACUCUCCUAGGUUGUGAAACCAAGGCUAUGACCACCAAAAGCUAUGGAAAUUAAAGAAAAUGGAGACCAAAGCACUGAUACCACUUGUAGGAUCGAAAGUAUGUCUAGAGGGGGGGUGAUUAGACUACUUGACCAAAUAAAAAUCUAGCCUUUUCCCAAUUUUAAGUCUUGGCAGAUUUUAGCAACUUAGCACAACUCAAGUAAUCAACCUACACAUACAAUUCUAAGAGUAUAGUAGCGGAAUGUAAAACAAUUGCAUAUGAAGGCAAAGGGAGGAGUUUGAGGGAGCAAACGCAAUGUUGACACGGAGAUUUUUUAUCCGUGGUUCCGAUAAGUGGUUCUAUCGUACAUCCACGUUGAUGGAGACUUCAACCCACGAAGGGUAACGGUUGCACGAGUCCACGGAGGGCUCCACCCACGAAGGGUCCAUGAAGAAGCAACCUUGUCUAUCCCACCAUGGCCGUCGCCCACGAAGGACUUGCCUCACUCGGGUAGAUCUUCACGAAGUAGGCGAUAUCCUUACCCUUACAAACUCCUUGGUUCAACUCCACAAUCUUGACGGAGGCUCCCAAGUGACACCUAGCCAAUCUAGGAGACACCACUCUCCAAGAGGUAAUAGAUGGUGUGUUGAUGAUGAACUCCUUGCUCUUGUGCUUCAAAUGAUAGUCUCCCCAACACUCAACUCUCUCUCAUAGGAUUGGAUUUGGUAGAAAGAUGAUUUGAGUGGAAAGCAUGGAAGGCUAGAGAUCAAGAUUUAUGUGGUUGGAAUGGAAUAUCUUGACCUCAACACAAGUGUAGGUGGUUCUCUUUCAGAAAAUGUAUGUUGGAAGUGUAGGCAUGUUCUGAUGGCUCUCUCCACGAAUGAAGAGUGGGUGGAGGGGUAUAUAUAGCCUCCACACAAAAUCUAACCGUUACACACAAUUUACCAAACUCGGUGGGACCGAUUCAGAGAACUCGGUCAGACCGAUUUAGUUCAAAAUGUGGACGUUAGGAUUUUCGGUGGGACCGACAUGUCAACUCGGUGGGACCGAUUUCGUUAGGGUUAGGGCAUAACGUAAUCUCGGUGAGACCGAUUACACAAACUCGGUGAGACCGAUUUUGGUAAUAGACUAACCAGAGAGUUGGUCAGGCAAACUCGGUGGGACCGAUUCGCUCAUCUCGGUUGGACCGAAACGUUAUGAAAGGGAAACAGAGAGUUUGCAUUGCAAUCUCGGUGGGACCGAUCGCUCAUCUCGGUUUGACCAAAACGUUACGAAGGGAAACAGAGAGAUUACAAUCCCAUCUCGGUGAGACCGAGAUCCCUAUCGGUGAGACCGAAAAGACUAGGAUUGUGGCUGUGGCUAUGUCAAGUGAACUCGGUGGCGCCGGAUAGAUCAAAUUGGUGGGGCCGAGUUUGACUUUUGGUUUGGGACAUAUGUGGAUAUGAGAAAGUAGUUGAGGGCUUUGGAGCAUAUCACUAAGCAUUUUGAGCAAGAAACUCAUUAAGCAACACCUCACCCCCUCUUAAUAGUAUUGGCUUUUCCUAUGGACUCAAUGUGAUCUUGGAUCACUAAAAUGAAAAAUGUAGAGUCUUGUGCUUCUUGAGCCAAUCCUUUUGUCCUUAGCAUUUUGAGGGGUCCACUUUCUUAACCCAUGCCAUGCCAAUCAUUGAGCUUUCCUGAAAUAUUUAUCUUGAAAUAGCAUUAGCUCAAUGAGCUAUAUGUUGUUAGGAAUUACCAAAACCACCCAGGGAUAGUUGCACUUUCACUUAGCUGAGAAGCACCUUGACCUCGCCACAAAAGCCGCCGCUCCUUAGCCGCCGGACCGUGGCCCGGCGCACUGAGUUGAGGAGGAGGAGGUCGUACAUUGAUGGAUGCAUCUUUCUUCUUGCCUCCUGUAACCACCACUGCGAUCGCAUCAUCGUGGCCUUAAUUCUUAUUGUGCUAUUGCAUUCUCGUUCUAGGCAAUACAGACAUGUGCGAUCCCUUUGCUUAAUUAUAUGCAUCACUGUAACUAGUACUCCAUCCGUCAAUUUAUAAGUUGUGCUACCAGUGUUUGGGGCCGGCGCACGAUCACGCACGUUCGUGUGCAUGCGGUUGUGCCGGGCGCGGCGCGACGAUGCAGUUACCCGCUGCAAAAACUGCCAUGCAGGGGACGUGGCAUUGACCAUUGAGCAGCAACAGCCGGUCAUCCGGGUGCCCGAUAAAGGAUGCAAAGAGGGAUCCUACAGCAGCAAGGACCAGCUUCCCUACCGAUAGCUUAUCUAACAGAACUCCCGUUACUUUACGACAUGUUUCCAAAACAUGGACCUCAAGGUUAAUUCAACUAAUAGGACGGAGCAUUAUAUACAUUUAACGCAAUUAAAUGUUUUCCAAAAAAAGUGAUAUGAUUUCUGUGAAACUUAUAAGUCAUGUAUGUCAAAUUAACCUCUGUGUACUUGUUCUCGAAUUAACCUCCGGGCCUUUUUGCCGUGUAUCACACACAUCUUGUUAAGUUGAACCAUUUAUGUUCUCUUCCCUAAUCGAAAACAGUUCAUUCGACUGAACCGUAUGCCGUAUAUCACACAUACCUUGAUCUAGCUGACCGUUUCUGUUGCUUUCCCUAAUAGCAAACAGUUCAUUGAAGCGAACCGUAUGCCGUAUAUCGCACACGCAUUAAUAUGGCUGGCCGUUUCUGUUGUUCUGUCUAAUCGCAAAUAGUUCGUCUGGAUCAACCGUAUGCCCUGCUUCGCACACGCAACUAAAAUCUGAACCCUGUUUGAUGCAUCCGUCAUCGCAAAUGUUUUGCACCUUUUUUGAUGGAUUUUUUACACCACCGUUUGCGAUUAUGGCAUCGCACACAGUUUCGUCGAAGGGUCUCUGAUCAUAGUGUCGCGUUAGCAGCAUCCUGCAGUAGUGUGCUCUCAAGUUUUGGCUUUUGACUUUAAGUCGCCAGUAUGUUGUGGCUCAUGUUUGAGUAUUUCGGGUUGUCACCCGCCCUGGCGUGUGAUUUUAAGUCGUCGGGAUGUUUUAGCUAAUCAGCCAUGUUCAUGAUUUUUUCAAUGGCUGGAUAAGACUACAAGUCUUUGGGGUUGUCACCCGCCCUGGCUCUUGACUAUAAGUCGCCAGUAUAAAUUUGGCUAACAACCGCUAGCAUAAUCUUUUAAAUGAUUGUUUAUGACCAUGAGUCUCGGGGUUAUAACCCGCCCUGGAUUCAAGCCUUAAAAGCCGACUUAUGAAUUAUAUUAUUGUGCAUAUUUGCAAUUUUUAUAACAUCUCUGUUUGCAGGGGUUAUCAGUUCUUACAAAGGCUAUAGGCCGCCGGGUUAAAAAAAUCCCGGGUUACAAUGAAUGCGCGUUAAGUCGUCGUCGGCCCAGAGCCACCGGGUAUUUAACUCCGGAUUUACUUGUCAAACAGAUAAGGUCUUGUGAUUAUAAGUCGCCAACAAGCAAAUUGUUGAGUCUUUUCACAGCUACGACGAGUUGAUUACAGUUGCAUAUCAAGCACCCAUUUUUAAACUGGGUUAUACGUUCCAAUCUUUAAUAGCCAACAUGGCUGGAUUUUCAUUAUGGUUGUCAUAACCAGUAUUAAAUGAUUGAGGUUGGAAUUUUAAAUAGCCAAACAUGAAACAUGGCUGGAAUUUCAUUAUGGUUAUCAUAACCAAUAUUGGAUGAUUGAGGUUUUCAAAGCCCAUUCAGAGUAAUGGCUAUUAUUCCUUCAUCCAAAAAUACCAGCUCACAGCAGAGAGUAUGGCUCAAUAUUAAUAUGUAAGGAUUUCAGCAACAUCAUCCGAACAGUCGAUAUGAUUUAUUCUACAAUGGAAGGAAUAGUCCCAAGUCGUUGCAGGCAUACGACCCGACACUUGGGGGCUACAUUAUUCAAAUCAAGAUUACAUCAAAUAUGCAAGUCCCAUGUCACUACAAGCAUGCUCCAUGGCAUUUGGGGGCUAAUGCAAGGUCAUUUUUAUCUCACCUCAUUGAAGACCCGACCCAUCACAUAGUGAUGAGCUGGCCCUUGGGGGCUACUAAUUGCUCCUGUCAAAAAUUCAAAGUACACAUGCCUUAAUCCAUUAUAUCAAAGGUAACCCGAAACUUGGGGGCUACAUCAUAUGAUGUUAUUUUCAAUGAAGUACAUGUAAAGUCCCAGCUCAAUAUUAUCUUACUGAGCCGGCCCUUGGGGGCUACACGUUGCUGCUUAAGUCUACAUAAUUAAGUCUACAAAGUCCACGCUCAUUAUUACAUAAUGACCUGGCACUUGAGGGCUACACAUGGGAAGUACAAAAUGUUCAGUUUAUGAUUGGCGACUUACAUGAACAACUCGGAUUUCUCUAGAGUUGCAACAUUUAUAUUUGAAGCAAGUCUUAAGCUAUCAAUACAUUCCCCUCUUAAGACUUGGGGGCUACAGGUAAUAUGGAUAUAAGGUAUGCCUUCAAAUUCCCAGUUAUGAGCAAACCAGGUAUCAUAUUCUUAUUGGCGGAAUUUACAAAGUUUAUUUCCUCCAAGCUAUUCAUAGAAAGGCUUGGAGAGCCAACUUAACAAUUGAAAGCUAUAUUUACAAAAGCAAGCACCAAGUCAGCAUAAUAUUGACCCAACGUUAGCAACAAUCAUGACCCGAUUUCAUCGGUUUUUAUAACCCGACAGUUUUGGUGAUCGUAACUCGACAAAUUCUACAUCCUCAAGCCGGCUCAGCACCAGAAGGAUAUCUUAAAUCCAAUAUUUUUGUCAAGUCGGAGCAUUGGAAGCUGACUCAAAUGGAUUAUUUUUCACCAAUAUUUCUUCUGCAAAAAACCAAUGUCAGCAAAUCGAUUUUGAAGCUGGCCUGCUGCUAUAAUGAAGAGACAGGAUAUGGAAUAACUCAGGAAUUGCAUGAUCCGACAAAUAUUGACCCAGUCGAGUGUUUUCACAGAAGGAGAUGACAAGGACUUAAGGAUGAACAUAAGCCGGCUCAGAAGAACCUUCGACCUGGCGCACAACCUGUCCAAUUUGUUCUUUUGUUUAUUUUGCAGGAUAAGUUUAACAUGGAUAAAUCCAAAUUAAAAUGGGGGCUAAUGUCGGGGAUAUACCCUGCGGUACGACCCGGCCUGAUGUAUGACCCGACCGGAGCUUGUCAAUUCACGAGUGACCCGGCUGAAGCUUGGCGACUCCCUGGUGACCCGGCCGAGCCUGGCGACUCACUGGUGACCCGGUCGAAUCUGGCGACUCACUGGUAACCUAGAGGACGGGUUAGACGAAUGACAAGGCCCAAGGACCAGAAGGCGGCUUGUGAGAAGACCGGCUCUCAAGGUACGGUGUCUGGUGGGCCGGUUUGAGAGGAAAGGCAUAAGGAAUAUUUCCCUUGCAAGGGAAGCACGAUUAGGAUUACACUUGUAAUAGAGUAGUCCUAAUCCUACUAGGACUCCACAUGUAAACCGCCCCUUCAACUUAUAUAAGGAGGGGCAGGGCACCCUAAGGAGGACAAGUUAAGACAGACAAGUCAAUAGCUCUCGAGGGAGAGGUAGCAAAAGAGCACCCUUGUAAUCGUGAGCAUGAUCAUCAUCAAUAUUAAUGAAGCAAGAUGUAGGCUUUUACCUCCACCGUGAGGGGCCGAACCUGGAUAAAAUUCCGCGUCUCUCGUCCCGCUCAACCCCUCUCAAGCUACCAGUUAGAUGCGUUGGCCUCACGACUAAGUCCUCACAUUAGGACAUCUGCCGUGACAAAACCACGACAUGGGCCGUUUGAGGGGGCCGUCUGAGUCAAAAAAUCGUGACCAAGACGGGCGGCCCGCCCGGCCGGCCGUAUGCGGCGGGUUUGAAAGGUCCGGUUAUAGAUGCUCUAAUGAUUCUAAAAUAAAAUAAAAUUUUAAAUUCCAUGUAACCGAUGUCUUGGAGCCUAGUUGGUUUGAUGCCAAAAGUUGGCAUGCCAAAUUUUGACAACUGCCAAAUGUUGGCUAGAGAUUGGUUGUAUAUCCAUUUUCGUUGUCAAUCUCAUAAAAGAUUGUCAACUUUUGAUUUUACCAAAUAUUGACUUGCCAAAUAUUGGCAAUGUCAAAUGUUGGUGAGUUGGUAACAAACCAAUCAGUAGGGCGCUCGUCCACCAAGCACUUCUUCUAUGGCCAUUUGGCCAUGUGCUGCUCUUGUGCCCGAUUUUGAAGCUGGAGAAAGCAAGUCACUGUUAACAAAUGAGAGUGACUCCGUCCAAUUGACAGCUUUGAAAGCAUCUCGAACCCAUUCUUUUCUUGUUAAGUUCUUUUUUCUAUUUCAAUUCAAAAUCUUAAUUUCAUUUCUUUUAUGGCUAUUUUUGCUUCAUAAUAUGACCAUUUUCUCUUUUUUUGCUUAAAAAGCAUUUUUUUAGGGAAAGCAACUUAUUAAAAUAAAAUUGAGCAAAAAGCAACUUAUUAAAAAAAAGACAAAACAACUUUUGUUUUGAGGGAAAGCAACAUAUUGAUUUUUUUUAGACAAAGCAACUUAUUAAAUGGGGAAGGAAUUGGCCGCCGAGGGGCAAAUAUAAACGAGGGACACGGCCCAGCCCAGUAAGAGGGUAUCUUCUUUCCUUUGCCCUAGCGAGCAGGCCCAGCCCAGACUCUCCCCCAAUCUGGACAACUAGCGGCGAAUCCCCAUUCUCCGGCGAGCCGCGGCGAGGCCCUUCUCCGGCACGACCGCUGCUUGCUGCAGCAUCGAGCUCCCCGUACUUCCGCCUCACCUCCGCAGCCUCGUUCCCGCUUGCCGCCUGGCCGACCGCACUCGCCGACGACCGGAAGCAACCAUUACGCGGUGAGCUCCCAUUCCUCUCCCUCUCCUCGGUGCCUAUGCCGCAUGUUUGUUCUCGUGAGCCGUUUCUUAUCUGAGCUCGUCGCAGAUGCGACCUGGAUCUCACCGCCGUCCGUUCCGCCACCCUGGACACCCCCCUCCCCCCUAGCUGGUGAUUCCUCUUUUCUCCUCAUCCUGUCGUCUUCAUGCCGCGAAAAGAACUCGAGUUCGUUUAUGUUGGUCAGCCGCACUAAAGUAUCCAUACCAAAUCUGUUCUUUCAUAUACACAACCGUGUCAUUGUCAUAAGGCAUGAACAUGAUCACAUAUGUUUCAAGGGCAACUUGUUUACUAAUUCAAGCAUCGAUCGGGGCCAACAAAAAAUAUUAGCACUUGUCAGUCGCACCAAGGAUGGAUACGAUGAUAUUCUUGAUUUGCCCUGGCUUAUCUCACAAGUUAGCACUUGUCUCAGCUUUUCAUGGUGUCUAAUAGGUACAUGAGAUUAUAUAUCCUGAAGGUGCAUUCCGUUCCCUUUUUACCAUAUCACAUUUUGUUUCAACACGUAUUGUAGCAACGCGUGUAUUAUAUUAUUAUUAUUGCUUACUUGUUGUGAAAUGGAUGGCGAAAUUGGAAAAACUUAUGGUGAUUUUAUUAUCUGCAACUUUGCAUAUAAUUACUUAAUUACAGAGAAGUAUCCCCAUGCGACGGUGAAUCCGUGUGGCCCCACUCAGCAUAGGUCAUAAGCCCAUACUGAAAUAUGCUUCACAACUUUUCUCAUUUGCAAAUUCUUGUGUAAACUGCAAAAGCAUUGUUAGAAGGAGACCAACAAAAAAAAUCAUGGUUUUUAGUGUGAGUGUUGGAUAAUAUUUCAGUUCAUUUGACAUCCAUAUUUCGAGCAUGGAGUCGACGUUUACCAUUUAUCAAGUGCCGGUCAAAGCUUCAAUCCAUUAAUUCGCUCAGCUCUGUUCAAUCGUUAAAUAAUGGGUAUCACUACUUCUUGCAGUUCUGCACAAACACUAAGUUUCUCAGUUUUAUAUCAUCUAUUUUCUUCUUUUUUGAUGUAGAUAUAAGUUCAUCUGCUAGAUAAGCUCAAAGGAGAUAUUGAAUCUCGGUAGGAGAUGGCCACAACCAUACUACCUGAUGACCUGGUGGUGGAGAUCCUGUCUCGGCUGCCACUGAAGUCCUUUUGCCGUUUCAGAUGUGUCUGCAAGUCUUGGCUUGCCUUCUCAUCUGAUCCGCACUACCGCAAGAAGCUCCCAAGAACUCCCUCCGGUCUCCUGUACCAAAAAAAUGAGCAUGGCAAUGCCAUCCAUUUCGUGGGCCUUCCCUCAGGUGACAGGGAUAUUGACACAACACUUAGCUUUGUGCCAUGCUAUGAGCAUCCCUUGGAGCUUAAGGGUUGCAGCAAUGGCCUGCUUAUGUGUUAUCAUGGUGGUACAGGCUCUAAAGAAAUUUCCGACGCCAUUGUGUGCAAUCCAGCAACUCAAGAGUGGAUGGCACUUCCAAAUACUGAACCUGGACCAGCCGUCUCUUAUGCUGAUCUCAAGUUGUGUUUUGAUCCAUUAUGGUCUCAACACUUCUAUGUCUUCCAAUUUGAGACGACUCCAAAUGGUGGAUAUGACACCGAAGUUAAGGUAUUUUUCUCUGAGGAUUCGACAUGGUCUAAUUGUCUAUGGGAAACUUCAGAUAUACUUGGUGGUGAUUCACUAUUCUUAAAUGGGGUGUUGUAUGUGGAUCACUUAUGGGGGCAUUACCUUCUGGCACUCGAUGCACCUGACACAUGCACACAAUUGCUCAAUCAUAGGAUCCUUCAGCUGCCUGGAUUUCCAAAUGGACCAGAACAGAGGUUUUAUUGCUUUGAUGGCUGUCUUGGCCAGUCAUCUGGGGUCUUAUGCUACGCACAACAAGAAUUGGAUGGCUGCAUCAUCCGAAUUUGGAGUUUGGAAGGAUCUGAUAGGUGGGUGGUGAAGCAUCGUCUAAAUAUGAACAACGUAUUUGGGAGGGACAUAAUGCUCCGUGCUAACAAUGAAGGAUUAUGGUAUUUUGAUUAUGAAAUCCUGGCAUUUGACUUGGAGAGAGAGCUAGUUUUCGUUGCUGACACGAUUGCUGAUAAUAAGAUCAUCUCAUAUAGCAUCAGUACUGGAAAGGGCUCGCAGAUUCUAAACAUUCCAAGGUUCGUUGACCUAUAUCGAAGUCGACUCUACGUGCCUUACUAUGGCAAGUUUCCAGCUUCUGUGCUUCAAGGAGCUCAAGACAAAUGUUAGAUUAUUUACCCUAUGAAUGCUGUAAUCUCUAGUUAUCUUUUGUGCACUAGCUAUACCAAACGGCUGUUAUGCAUGUACCGGAUUGUUGGCUUGGUUAUGUGUUAUGUUAAUCUAAUUGGCACUUGUCAUUUCUCCUGUCAAGUCCGGUCUUGCUUAUGCUAGCCUAAUUUAGAAAAACUGCAGAGCAUGAUGUUAUGAAGCUUUCUAUACAAGGGCGUGUGAGGCAGUGUGAGCUUUCUAUACAAUGGCUGGGAGAACUCUUGUAAUCCUGCCAUGCUUCAGUCUCUUGACAUAGCAGCUAGCGAUCAUAUAUUAGAUUGAUUUACUAAGAGAUAAUGUUUCAGCCAUAGCAAAGUCGAGUAGGAUCCGCCUCACCGAGACUGCGGAGGUUUGAGCAGCUAGCGUUCAUUGCCGACGAGUUCUUGAGGUACAUCCAGUUCCAGUUCGGAGGCCGUCCGAGGAGUUUGGCCAUGGUAUCCUCCUUCAAAGUUCCCACGGAGCCCCUGCUUGCAGGCAAGGAUGCCCUCCUCAUGCAGUCAUGCUUCAUCCAUUCGCUGGUGGCAUCGCCGGUGACGGCAGCGUGGACGAAGAACAUACUGACAAUUUAACCACUGAUCCAUCAUCAGAGCUAUUCCACUGAUCCAUCGUCUAUGCCAACGUGAAGGAUCUCCACGCUACAUUCGUGUAACAAGAAUUUCACCAACGAGGGAAGUGCUGCCACCAGCGGCAAGCCGAUCAGUCAAGUUGAUGCAAUGUAUUUCAUCUUGCUUCUUAAACUGAUCAAUCAUGAGGCACAGUUGCAGAUAACACGCUGCCACACAUAUUCGUCUGUGGUAUCACUCCCCACACGAUAAUGCUCAUUGAGAUGAAUGACCUCCUAAUCUCAAACCUGAAGUUUCUCCCGCUCUGUUUUGAAUCUAUGCCGGGGCUCAAAAUUAAUCCUCUUAAAGUAAGGCCAUCCUUUUGUGUUUUAUACCCUGGAUGUGCGCAAGAUUGCUAACAAGUUCGUAACAAGGGAUCCUUCCUUUUACACACCUCGAUUUUCUGUUUUGGAUAAAAUUUACUCGGUGAGAUAGGUUGGGCCGUUGGGGUGCCAUGGAAACAAAGCAUAGUUUAAAUAACGGGACCGGUGAUGCCGCCGGUUUAGGUUUUUACCGGCCGGACCGCCGGUUCAUUCGCUGUGUUUUUAAACCAUAAAAAUAUGUAAAAAUAUGUCAAACAUACUGAUUUCUUUAUGGGAAAGGCUUUGCUUCAUGCGGUGGAUAUCAUGCGGACGUCCGUCGCCUCGUCCGUGCAACGCGUGUCCUGCCUGGGCUCAUCUAACAUUUUCUCUUACAGUUUUGCAACUGAGCGCUUGUUGCGGUUUGCCUACCGCAACAACUCGUAUGUUGCAGGAUCUGAAUCUGGCUCCUUCAUGGGCAGUCGCCUCCCGUGUUCUUCACAAGUUCCCGUUCUACAUGACAUUCUACCUCUAAUUUGUGCAACAUCAUCUAUGUUGCAAAAGUCCUUCCGCAACAUCAUCUGUGUUGCAAAAAAAGAAGACAAAAAAAUCUGCAACAUAAUCUCUUUUGAAUAUUUCUGCAACAUGAGCUCUGUUGCAAACGGUUCUGCAACACCGACUUUGUUGCAAUAAUGAGGACGGGGUUAGGUCAUUGGAUUGAUCAGAUCUAACGACUGCUGAGGUGGUGGAUCUUAUCAGAUUAUCCACCGGCGGACGCGUAGCGCUUUCUUUAUCCUUUGACUUUUUUGAGGCAUCUUUAUCCUUUGACUUUUUUGAGGCAUCUUUAUCCUUUGACAGCUAAGUUGGAUGGGGACUUGGUUGUUUCCUAGUGCCCAAGGAUCAAUCCCCGGCGGCUGCAACUAAUUUUCUUUCGGUUCAAUCGGUUUGAGCCAAAAAAAACAGCCGGUUCAAUCGGUUUUAUUUUUCUUUCGGUUCAACCGGUUUUUUGUGUCCAACCGGUGGUCCGGUCUGUCUUUUUAAACUAUGCACACAAGUUCUUCUUGAGUAAGGAAAACGAUAAAUCUACAUAUAGGACGGUCAAAUGGAAACCUAUCCGUAAGCUUAAAAAUGUGAGAGGCUUAGGGGUCGUUGAGACUUCGGUCACUUUUAGGGGGAGUUUUUUUAUUGUACAGGGUGGAGACGCGCUGAAAUUUUUUUUUUAAGUUAAAAAAAUCAACGCGUCUCCACCAAGUACCAUAAAAAAACUCCCCCUAAAAGUGGUUUUACGCAGUCCAUAUUAUUUGGGGAAGGUUCACUAGUGAGGUAUUUAGGUAGAUCCCAUAAACUUCUUCCCCUAAAAUCAGUUUUCCCCAUAUUUCUCCUUAAACUAGCAUACAAAUGGCAUAUGCAUUUCUAUUCUAUCAACCUAAAAAUUCAAAUAAUGUUAUUUCAGAAUCACAAUUUAUGAAAUUUUAUUUGAAAUACAAAUUCGAAACAUUUUCUUCCUCCCCACGAGCUACCCUGUGUGACUAGAGUUUUUCCACCUUCCGUCGGUGCCACAGCCUCCUAUGGCCUUAAGGCCAUGGAGGUGCGGUCGAUUCAGGCCCAUGCCGGCGGGAGGGCCCCUACUCCGUUUUAGGUGCUUUCUUAGUUUGUUUAGGUUUUUUGUCCUGCUCUGGACAGCGAGGCGUCGUAGCCACCCUAAAGAUGGAAUAAGGUUCUUCCUGCCUAGCCCUAGUCCCAGCGAUGUGUCUGGCCUCGUCGGAGGGGAGGUGUGUCUUCGGUGGAUCUCACAGGAUUCAGUCGGUGUUUCUUGGGUGGAUUUGCUUGGAUCUGAUCUACGUGUGUGUAUCUACAAGUUAGAUCCUUUCCAUAUACGCUUCUCUUCAUCAAAGAUGAUUGUUUUUUUUACUAUGAUCGAAGAUGGUUGUUGUUCCGGUGCGCUGAUCUUUUGGGUCGUAGCAUGAUGACUUUCCGACUGUCUACUUCGAUAAGGUUUGCCUGGCUUCGAUGAGGGAGGGGCAAUGCCGGUGGUGCUUCUUCGGCUCACCCCUUGUAGUCCUCGUUAGGUGGUCUACAAACAUUGAUUUGAUUCCUAUUACUUCUAGUGUUAUUUGUACCGCCAUGAUGUUUGACGAAUAGACCUGAAGUUUUUCUCGCGAAAAAGGGAAACAUAACAAAGGGUCUAAAUCAUCCGAAGUAGAACAUAAUAUGAAGGAGUUUAUGGAGCAUGAAGCGACCACAAAUGCUCAACUAGAUCAUCACGAGGUUGUUCAUGCCCCACACGGGUUUCGAUCUACAAUGCAUUUCAAGAAAUUUCUGGAGUCGUCGUUCAUCCCUUUGUAUCCCAACAGGUGGCAUAUAAAUUUUGUUUCCCUCAUUAUUACAGUGAAAGUCUCGAGGUGGCCGGCCGGCGUGGAGAGGUGGGCGGUUAUAAGGGUUAAUGUUUCUUCUCCUUGAUGGAGGGGAAGUUGGGCAGAUUGUACGGGUUCCUAUAAUGUUUCUUCGUGUUUACACAAUAUGUUGGAGCAACUUUUUCUUGUCCACCAUGUCCUCUAAAGAUCCCAACAAUACCUGUGGAGAAUUGCGUAUAACAGCCUUCCAGUAAGAACAAACCUGAAGAGGAGAGGCAUGGAAGCUGACACUUUAUGCCCGGUAUGUCAGUGGCGUGAUGAGGAUGGAGGGCACCUAUUUUUUCAGUGUAAACCGGUCAGAACAAUCUGGAGGACAGUGGGGCGUAAGGACGUACGACUGAAGUGUAUAACAAUGCAUGACCCCUUGGAAGUUUUACGUGCAAUCCUGAAUUUGCCGAACAGUGAUAAAGCUACAGUGUUGGCACUCCUCUAGACAUGGUGGACGACGAGAAAUGAAAUUCGAGCUGAAGGCCGGAAAGUGGAGUUAGAAAAGAUAGUGUGGCAAGUAAGAAGAUUGGCACAAAAGUUCAGAGAUUUCUUUGACAAGCCUAAGAAGAAAGAUAGUAACACCCAGACCCAUUGGUCACGUCCUGCCCCGGGAUGCCUAAAACUGAAUAUGGACGGGAGUUUCAACGUGGUCGAUGCUAGCGGUGGGUGGGGAUUUGUUGUAUGAGAUGAUGCUGGCGAUGUAGUGUUGUCUGCUGCAGGACGCAUUCUACAUGCACAAGACCCCCUCCAUACAGAAGCAUAAGCAUGCCGACAAGUCCCUGACACUGAUCCAAGAUUUUGGCAUCACUCAGAUUGCAGUUGAGACAGAUGUGUUGCUAUGAACAUGAUCUAGCUCCUAAUGGUGUGUUUUUUAGGGAGGUUAAAUCUAUUGCUAUGCUGCAGUUUAGUCACUUUACUAUCUCACAUUGCCUGAGGGCUUGUAAUAAUGUCGCAGACGCUCUAGCGUUGUUCGGGUCGAACAUGGAACAUGAGCCCCAAGCCGUAUGGCCGGGCCAUGUCCCUGCCUUUGCUCAAUGUUUCGUUGCCAGCGAUCGUGCUAAUGGAAUGAGAUUUCCAGUUUCAAAAAAAAAAGUUUCUAGGAAUAUGGAAUCUAUUGGAGAUGCUCUAAUAAAAAAAGUUUCUUGGUGUUAGAAGCUUCUUCAACAAACAUAUGCUAUCUAUGGAGAGCUAUUGUGUUAUAAAUAUUUCCCUCUUAGUGAUCCUUUACUGGCAUUGCAUAGGGGUUAGAGAACAUUUUUUAAAGCCUGAGAUAUUUUCCGGUCACAUGACAAAUUUAUCCUAGGGAAUGGUGGGCGAACAAAAUUUUGGCCCGCUUGGUGAUGUGGUGACUCUCUGCUGCAAGUUCGCGCUCUCGCCUACUUCGAUUAUUGUGAAAACCCCGAAUUUCUUGAUUGCUGAUGUAGCCAACACUAAAUGGAACAUCGCUGGACCCUUUCCAAGCAAGUGAUAUAUUGGCAAAGUCUUACUGUUGAGAUGCCUUAACCCGCGGGGAAGUCCAUCAAGUCAUCUGGCCCCAUUCAACGUUGGCCCAUGAGAUAUUUUUUCAUAUAUCUGUUGAUAAGCGAUCCAAAUAUCGGUCAAUCCUAUUCCCUGCUCGCAGUGGGAAAUACUUCAAUAUCGAUAUGAAGCCACCCCCUGCCUUGUGUUUGCUUAAUGGGCCGCCCAUGAUUUUUUGUGUUCUUUUUUACUAUUUUCUUUUGUAUAUUUUCUAUGUUAAGAAUCCAAGAAUAUUUUGAAAAUUAAUAAACAUCUUUUGAAUUUUAUGAACAAUUUCAUUUGUGGACAUAUUUCAAAAUUUAUGAACAUUUUGUUUUUGAAAUUUUAAACAUUUUAAAAUUCACUAACACUUCUAAAAAAUCAUAAACAAUUUUUAAAAUUUUCUUUUUUAUAAUUCGUGAACCUUUAAAAAAAUUGCAACCAAUUUUUUUUUGUAAAAUGACGUGAAAUUUUUAGAAAUAUGUAGAAAAAAUGUUUAAAGUCACGUGAACCUUUAAGUCAUGAAAUUGAUUUCUGCCCCCUUCUCCGAAGCACAUUCCCCACUGCUCAAGCCCCACCACAACCACCAUGAAGUCGCUGCAUUUGCAAAUGUACUACCAGGGCUAGAGCCUCUUGUCUUGCUUACAGUAUCACUAGAUGAAAGAUACCGUCCAAGACGACGUCAUACGCGCCCUGAGAUGCUCCUGCGUCUUCUCAGAUUAGCUUGGGCUAGGGGAAAGAAAGCUUCCAUCUAAAUUAAUCUUAGAACUUCAUUUUGAUUGAGUGACACAGUCCCUUUUGCCCCGCAAUAAAACCGAAUAUUUACUAACACAAGAAUAUGAAAAAAAUCCUAACAAAAAUUAAAAUAAAAAGCAUUUACCAAAAUUUUAAUUUGGUUAACUAAAUUUGAAUUUGGUUAUUUUUUUAAUUUCGUUACCUAAAUUUGAAUUUGGUGAUAAAUAUAAAUUUGGUGAAUGAAAAUUGGAUAGCUAAACUAGAUUUGAACUAGGUGAACUGUUUUGAAUUAGGGGAAUAAAAUUUUAUUUAGGUGAACUAAAUGUGAAUUGGGCGAACUAAAUUUGAAUUACGUGAACUAAAUAUAAAUUUGGUGAACUAAAUUUGAAUUCAUUGAGCUAAAUUUGAAUUAGAUGAGAAAUCUUUUCUUAGGUGAACUAAUUUUGAAUUCGGCGAACUAAAUUUAGUGAACUAAAAAUUAGCUGGACUAAUUUUGAAUUAGCUGAACUAGUAGAUAGUUGGAAAAAAGAUUAGUUCAGCAACUUCCAUAGGCAAAUAGAAAAAGCAUAGAGCAAGUUCAGGCCUACCACAGGAUUUUCCAUCUAGUGGCAGGUCUCAAUUUCGUGAACCUUUUUUUCAUAUGCAUUCCAUUUUUCGUUAUCAACUUCAUGGACUUUUCCCAAUUCCACAAACUUUUUCUGCAAAUUUUUAUUUUAUUUUUUGUGAACCUUUUCAUUUCAAAUCUAUGAACUUUUUCAAAAAAAAACAAAGUGUUUUUUUUCAUUUUUGCAAACUUUUCCUAGUGAUUUUUUUUUCAACUCGUGAAUUUUCUAUUAUUGUUGAUAAAUAAGAAAGUUUAGACCUGCCAUGGAAUUUAGCUCUCGUGGGCAAUCCCAUUUUCGUGACAACAAAAUCCUGUGGCAGGUCUGAACUGUGGCGCUGUGGAAGACUCAUUUUGGAGCUAAGAAUUUGAAAAAAGUUCACUAAAUUUUACUCAUAAUUUUGUUCAUCAAUUUGAACUAAAUUUUCCAUUUAUGUACUUGUCCACCUAAUUCACAAUUGUGAAUUUGGCAAACUAUAUUUUGAAUUAGGUGAACUAAUUUUCAAUGUCAGAUCUUUUGCAGUUGUUCAGUUAAUUGACUCUUACAACUUUGGCAAAUAAAACAAGCAUGGUCAUUUAAAAGGAAUGCCUGACAGUACAAUAUUUUGAUACGCAACACAGAAAGAACAGGAAAAAGGAUUUAAAACUAUGAUGACCAUAAUUAUGCGAAAUACAGUAGUACACAAUGAUGUACCAGUCUAUCACAGGUAUUAAUCAAGUUUCUGCAUGAGAGGACCUCCUCAUCUGUGCAGCACCCAUUUGUAGGGCGACAAAGCUAUGAAAUCUUGGAUUUCAGAUAGCGGCAUUCUUGAAUUCCAACUUGACAUAGUUGUGCUUUGUUCUGCACCAAAACAGAAUGGGGGCAAAGCUAAUACCUUACUGCACUUGUACCUUAUAAGGUAUCAAAAAAGCUGAAAGGAAGACAAAGAAAUUCCUACUCGCAGUUUAUCAAGUUUAACACGAUUUAUUUGCAGUUUUGCCUUUUCAUAUAAAAGCUUGCCAUGGAGCAAUUUUGCCUCAGCUAGUCUGGAAUCUUGAAUCCUCUGCGUUUAGAAAACGAACACAUCAGAUAAGUGGAAGUAAUUUUCCUAACAGCGACAGACAAUAUGACAACUAAUUAAUGAUAGCAUACCACAGCAGCAGAAAGCCUAAUAUAUGUACUAGCCACAUGAAUCUUCCUCAUCAUAUCUCCUAACGUAUCAAGCUUCAUUAAAACAAAACAAGAAAAAUAUAUAAGAUACAAUAAACUCAUGCUCCAUAGAACAUUUCCACAAGAUAUUUCAAAUGCUAGAUCAUUAGGUUGAACAAUAGAAUUAAACACACAAUAAGAAUAAAUCAUCUCGCAGAAAAAGGAAAUUCACAAAAGAGAUAUAGAGAACUAUAGAUUCUGAAGAUCAAUUAGUAACUGUACACAGACUCUGCCAAAAAUUGUUGGGGGAGGAAUUCACUCAGGACCACAACUUCCAGAUUUGUGAAUAGAAACAAACAUGUUUGGAACAAUCAAACGAUGUUUGAAGGAAUGGUGGUCAGAUGUAAUCCUAGAUUACUUUUUCACGCAACCUUGUGUUUAUUACAGAAGAUAAUGUUACCUCGAAACUCUUGAGAGUGAACUAUGUGGAGCCAAAGGCUUGAUCCUACAGAUCACAAUAAUAUAUUUGCUCAGCUAAAAUUGAAGGAAUAAUCAAGAUCAAGACAACACAAGUUGAGUAUGAGAUCGUGAUGCAAGAAGCUAUAGGACUAAUAAUUGUUUCCACAGUGCGCUAGAUUUUCAUCUAAAUAGUGUAAAGGGGUGCUAUGAAAGAAAUUAAUAAUCUAGCGUAAAACACGAAAAUUGGCAAUGGCUCCUAGGUACAUAUGCACCCAUUGUCUAAAUACACAUUUUGAAAAGUUGAAAAAUUCUCUACAAAAACCCCGCGUGUAUAUCCGGACAUUCUAUGUGCGUGCACAAAGUUUUCGGUGAAAAAGGAGGUUUUUUGUGGCUUGUGUAAAAAAGACAAUUUCUGAUGCUUCAUUACAACUAUUCAUUUUGCAUUUCUUUAUCUUUUUUACACAAGCCACAAAAAAACGUCGUUUUUCACCGAAACUUUGUGCAUGCACAUAGAAUGUCCGGAUAUACCCGCGGGAUUUUUGUUUCAAAAUUUUCAACUUUUCAAAAUGUGUAUUUAGACAAUAGGUGCAUAUGCACCUAGGAGCCAAAACACCGCUAAAACAGAGGAAACCUAGUAAAUGGGAAAAGUGACUUCAUUAUGUCGACUCGAGUAAGCGGAAAAGAAGAAGUGGGCCGAGCCCAACGCGAGGGCCCGUGUCCACCUGCAGCGUGACCUAGCUGCACCUCUCCCUCCAUAUAAAUCACCCCAUCUCGCCCAGCUCUCCCACCCCUUAGCCGCCGCCACAGCCUCCAGCUCCAAACCCUCAUCUCCCCCAUCCAAGCUCACUGCCCCCAACCCCCCACCCCCACCCAGCCAUGGCGGACCGCGGCGGCGAGCGUGGUGUCGGCGAGCGCGGCGGCGACCGCGGCGGCUUCGGGCGCGGCUUCGGCCGCGGCGGGCGCGGGGACCGUGGCGGGCGCCGCGGCGGCCGCCGUGGCCCCCGCCAGGAGGAGGAGAAGUGGGUGCCCGUCACCAAGCUCGGCCGCCUCGUCAAGGAGGGCCGCUUCACCAAGAUGGAGGAGAUCUACCUCCACUCGCUCCCCGUCAAGGAGCACCAGAUCGUGGAGACGCUCUGCCCGGGGCUCAAGGACGAGGUGAUGAAGAUCACCCCGGUCCAGAAGCAGACCCGCGCCGGACAGCGCACCCGCUUCAAGGCCUUCGUCGUCGUCGGCGACAGCAACGGCCACGUCGGCCUCGGCGUCAAGUGCGCCAAGGAGGUGGCCACGGCCAUCCGCGGCGCCAUCAUCCUCGCCAAGCUCUCAAUCGUGCCCGUCAGGCGGGGCUACUGGGGGAACAAGAUCGGCCAGCCCCACACCGUGCCCUGCAAGGUCACCGGCAAGUGCGGCUCCGUCACCGUGCGCAUGGUGCCCGCCCCCAGGGGUUCUGGAAUCGUCGCCGCCCGCGUCCCCAAGAAGGUGCUGCAGUUCGCCGGGAUCGAUGAUGUCUUCACUUCCUCGCGUGGAUCCACCAAGACCCUUGGCAACUUCGUCAAGGUAUAAACUUCCCCUGCCUUUAUCCAUGCUCUGCCAUGUUCCCGCCAUACUGCUACUUUACUGUCAGUACAUAAUGUUCAUUCCUUGUGUGUGCAUGGUUUGGAAUGUUUACUGCAAGAAGUGAUGCCUUUGGCAGCGUGUAAAAUAUUAUUUUUAUUAGAUUCAAGCCUGCAUAAUUUUGUUGGAAGGGGCGUAACUGGUUUACAGUCUGAUUCGUAUGAUUUAGUCUAGAUUCAGUUGGUCUGGAAAUUGUAGUUCUACUGUACUAGCCUAGUGUUGUUGACCAAACUUUAAUUUGUGCUUAGUACUUCAGGCUGGUCUUCAAUUGAUUGAUUGAAAAUGUGUCGCAACCUUUUUAAACAGUUCAGUUCAUUUUGUAUUACAAGCUUUUCAUGUUUUCAAUCUGUACAUGUAAUACAUUUUUGAGUUGCGGAAUCCUGGCUUGUGUCCUAAUACAUUUCGAGUUGUUCAUGUAUUAUAACCAUUUAGACAUUUCUGGUUGAGGGUCUAUUCUUGCAUAGUGAUGUAUCACUUCUCUUCUCUGUUUAUUUAUGCCUGCCAUGCUCUGUUUUAUUUCUCACGUUGGCAGUGGUGAGCUCAUAUCAAGUUGUGGUGAUGAUUUUUAUCAGGGUGAAUUUGUUCUUGUUUGCAUUGAAUAGUUGCAAACCUGAAGCUGACAAUUCUUUUAUUUCCAGGCAACCUUCGACUGCCUGAUGAAGACCUAUGGAUUCCUCACCCCUGACUUCUGGAGGGAGACAACCUUCACCAAGGCGCCGUACCAGGAGUUCACCGACAUCUUGGCGAAGCCGACCAAGGCCCUGAUGCUUGAUGCACCAGCCGAGAAGAUAGAAGCUUAGGAUGUUUGCCAUGAAAGGGUUUUUACUAGCUGGGAGCUGUCUGUUGCACUUUGCUUUAUUAUAGUCGAGAACAAGGUGUCUUUGAAUUGUGCUACUUGUGGAAGUCUCUGUUUGCUGUCAAAGUUUUGGAUUAUGGUGCAAUGCUACUCUCUGUUAUCGGCAAAGGAUGCUACAUAAUUAUGCCAAUCCAGUGUUAUUUGUCUAGAUGUUUGAUUUUUGGAUGCAGCUCCGCCUCGCCGUCGUCACCGACGCUCGACUGGUUGCAGCAAAAGAACACGCCAGUAGUAGCAAUUUUUGUUUGUGGAUGGUUCCAGCAAAAAGAUAUGCCGGACGUAGCAUUUAUGUAUGCUGAUUGUAACAUUUUUUGCCGUGGUUUGCAGCUCCGCCGCGUCGACUCUCGCAGCCGACUGGGCUGGUUCCAGCAAAAAGAUAUGCCGGACGAAGCAUUUUGGCGCGCCGGUCGGUAGCAUCUUUGCCCCGUGGAUGCAGCUUUGCCGUGUGCUGCCGCUGGUUGUAGCAGACUUCCCUGUGAUAGCAAAAAUCCUCGUGGAUGCAUUCAGCCAGCCGCCCCAUGGUUGUAGCUUGGUGUGCGAGCUCACACCAUGGCCGGCCUCGUCACAGCUUUGCCGUACUUGCAGUCCCAGCAAGUGCGGGAGCUGCACGCAGCACAUGAUGGCCGCCCCAUCGCAAAAACGAUAACAGCCGAACGCAUGGGGGUGUGGUCGCGCCGGGCACCAACAUCAGCGCGCGACGGCAUAUGUGUGGAGGCGCUCUAGCGGGGCAGGCGUUUGUGGGGCCGGAUUGGAGAGGGGGAGAGAACAAGGUGGGGUGAACGAAUGGUCGAGAACGCUUGGGGAAGAGGAAGGGGAUAAGGGAAAAAGGAAAGAGGGCGGCGUGUGGACAGGACGUGUGGACAGGACGCGACCGGCGCAGUUUCGGCCGGUCGACCGGAUACAAACAUUACCCCUACUUUGUGCAUUUGACAAAAUGUUCCAUAUGCUUGAUUGAAUGCUAAGUGAGUGUUCUAGUAAGCUACUUGUGCAACAGUGCAAGUGCAGAAUUGAACAGAACCGAAUUGAAUUUGAGCAUUUGCAUACUUCUGAACUAAACUAGAUGCCAAAUGUUAACUGAAAUUUUACUAAAGUGAAUGCAAUCGUUGCCCAGAACUGAACCCCAACAUAAGUGAUGGCAACUAGUGCCCAUAAUUCAACUGAACUGACCGGCGAAUUUGCCAAAACCAGGCUUGUUUACAUCCCGAUUCAAGUUAGAGUACAUGAUUGCCCAGAAAGAGUAGUAUUUCACCAGUGAUUGGUCCCUGUUCUAUCUCCCUUUGACGAAUGAAACUGCAGCGAUAUAUCACCUUGCUUGAGUUCUUCUGAAAAUGUUCUUUGAAUGCUCUCUGAAAAUGUUGUUACUUUUGCUUGCUGCUUUCCUUUUACUAGACUGCGCUGAAACAAUACUAGGAGUAGUAUAUUGUCAUAGUAUACCUCCAGAUUUAGGCAGAAGAAACAUGGUAAUUUCUGGUACUGUUCCUUAGAGUGCAUUUGCUCUAUACCUCAAAACAUGUAAAUGGUCAUUGCUUAUUAAUUAAGGAGCUAAACUUCAGUACCACAAAUUAGAUGACACUUGAUCAUUCUUCUUCUUGAGAAGCAACCAUAGCCCAAUAGAAUGACUUUAGGCUCUAGGAAAUAGAAUUAGUACCGGGGAAACAAGCUUCACGUUGUGUAGAAGGACCAAAUACUCAUACUAGUGACUCAGGCUUUUAAUUAGUCGUUGUAGAAUCAUUGUACUUGUACCAACGCCGCCUCCUCGACCGAGACUCCAUCUACUCCGUCGUCCCCUCCGCCACCUGAAGCAGGUAGCCAAUCUCGUCCUGUUGUUGUUAUGAUCUGCCUUGUUUAUAUUUUAUCUGCAAUUUACAUUGAUCUUGUUGCAAGAAAAACUAUGAAUGGAGAUGGUACCUAAUUAAGUUAAAUCCACAAUAUCCGUCCAACAUCAUACCUAAUUAAGCACAUGCAAUAUAUUCUCUUUGGGCUAUGGUUUAUCUGCAAUAUAUUCUCUUUCAGUACAUUAUGUGUCCAUGGUGAGGAAUGUUUGCUGCAAAUAAGAAAUAUAUUUAAUUAUUUAGUUAGGAGGUGUGGAGUGAGGAGCUCCUAAGUCUCUAGAACUCUAUCCAUAACCCUGCUCUCUGUUCCACAUUUCAUCUCAAUUUCCGUUGUUUUUGCAUUGGUACAUUUACAGUCGAUAUUAUUCUGCUCAUUAUCACUUAUUUUUAGUUAGUAUGAACACUUGUGGACUGUCUUACACACCGGUAAUGUUGGUACGGUACUAGCAGAGUCCAUUGGUCAACUAUGUAGUACCUAGUUGACUAUUUUUUCAUAAAGGAGCAACAUACUAUUUACGACCCAUUCCUAGCGAGAUACCAUGCUACUGCUUCUAGUUGGUUGUGAGGUAUGGAAUACUGAUUAAUUAAAUAAAAUAAGAUAAAAUUGCAAGACUUAGUCUGGUGUUUGUCACUUGAGUGCAAGUUGAACAAAAUUCUAAUAGGAUUCCUGUGGUAACUUUUGUGAAUACUUCAUUUGCCAACAUACGAGUCGAGCAGAUAGAAAAUACAUCUUGGCGAAGCCGACCAAGGCCCUGAUGAUGUCGUCGUAAAGGGUUUCACUAGCUGGGAGCUGUCUAAUGCUCUUUGCUUCAUUAUAGUUAAGAAUUUGAAUCGUGCUGCUUCAGAAUGUCUCUGUUUGCUGUCAAAUUUUGGAUUGUGCUACUAUGCUACUCUCUUUUAUCGUCAAUGGAUGCUACAUAAUUAUGGCAAUCACAGUCUUAUUUAUUUUAGAUGUUUGGCUUUUAUCUAUGCUUUGUGUUGUUGAUGUUCUCCUCUGCGUCCUUGUUUGUUUUGUUUCUUAUUCUGGUGCAUUGUAUUUGUGCAAAAUUCGACCUGAUAAUGAAUUACGUAUGAUUUCUGCUGUCACUGGCCUUUUGUAUGCUGGUUUGUUUAGUUUAGCUCAGGCUGGUGCCGUGCUUAUUAUCCAUCCGAUUCGACUUGCUGUUUUGUUUAGUUCAGGCUGGUGCCGCUUAUUAUUCAUCUGAUUCGACUUGCUGUUUUGUUUAGUUCAAGCUGGUGCCGUCCUUGGAUAUUAUUUGAUUAGUUUGCGAUUUUAAUCUACCUUUAGUUAUCCAUUAGUGGUUGCCGAGCUUUUCUCUGACAAUUGCCCAACACAGAAAUUCUAUUUUCUGACGCUGCAAGAGGCAACCGGAAGCUUCUCAGAGAAGCAUAAUUAAGCUCGGAGAAGGCGGUUUCGGAACUGUAUACAAGGUAAACAGACAAGCCUGGAGAAUACAGGGUAAAACUAUUUGCCGCACUCUGUUCUUCUACUGAAAAAAGAACCUCUGCUUCAGGGAAACCUUCCCAUGGACGUUUCUUUUCGCCUCCUAUCAAUGCAAAGGUACGCGCCAGGGUAUUCGCGGAAAAAGGAGGAGAUGCUACUAGUCUAUGAAUACAUCAGGAACGGGAGCUUCGACAACUUCCUUUUUGUAGAUGCUAGUCGAAGAAAUACGCUAAACUGGGAUGAAGAAUACAACAUCAUUCUCGGAAUUGCCAAGGGAAUAAUGUAUCUUCACGAGUGUAAGAAUCAUCCACCGAGACUUGAAAGCCAACAACAUUCUGUUUGUUGAUGCCAUGGAUCCGAAGAUUGCAGACUUCGGGUUAGCUAGGCUGCAAGUAGGAGGCCAUACAAACUCAAACCAUGACAGCUAGAGUUGUUGGAACAUACAGUAGUAAGCAACUGCAUACAAAAGGGCUUCCGUACAUUGCAGGUAUCAAGACGUGUGUUUCUAUGCCUAACUGAUCUAUGCAAUACACGGAAACGUGUCGCCAAAGAUCGACAUUUUCAGCUUUGGUGUCUUGGUGCUUGCUGAAAUUGUAACCAAGAGGAGGAACUGCGGUUCAGAUGAUUGCGAGACGGACACGGUGAGUCUCCCAAGUGAUGUAUGGACUUGUUGGACCAAAGGGACGACAUCGCAGAUGAUUGAUGAAUCACUCGAAGGACACCCGCGAAUCCAGGCGCUGAGAUGUAUGUAUCCACAUCGGGUUGCUGUGCCUGUCGUCCAAGCAGACCCUGACGACAGGCCUGACAUCCCAUCCAUCAUCCUCAUGCUGAACAGGGACGACAUGGAGCCUGUGGCUUAGUAUGUGAGGGUCCGUAACCAAUUUUCUUUUCUUUUAGAGAGUGUUGAGUAUACGAGGCUCAAGCAAUACAAUCAACGAUUCCAUCAAUCUCUCUAUUCCCUUUUAACAGAGAGCACGCAAAUUGCGUGCCUACGCUUUCUAGAAGGAGCUCUUUUACGGUACCGCUAAAUGAAUGUGAGCCAUCCAUCCAUCUUAAUCUGACGGCUAAUCAUACAUGGUACUCCAAUACAGAUCCUAGGGAGUACCAUCUCAAAAAAAAUAUGGAGUACCUUGAUGUUAGGGGUAAUACCGUAUGGAUGGAUGGCUCACGUUCAUUUAGCGGUACCGUAAAAGAGCUCUCAUGGGUGAUUUAUUUAUUUCUCAAUCAUAUAUCAAUUUAUUACAGAAAUACUAAAUAGAAUGAGAUUCCAAUUUAGUACGAACUUGCUUCUAAGGGUGUGAACGCAGACUUCAAACAAAAAUUUGUCAUGGACCCUAAUCCCAAAUCAAUAUCAUUCGCAAGAAGAAAAAUCUCAAAAUCGAGAUGAUGAUCAUGCGUGGCGGGGCAUGUUGAUCACAGGGUCAUCACCACUGAGGGGAUUAGGAUUAGGCCACAUCAGUUCACAAUCCAGGUUAUGCACCCGUGAUGUGCAUAUCAAUGGCCGCCACCGGUAGUUGCGCCUACGCGAAUUGGUCGGGGGAUGACACCGCCAUGGGAUACUGGCGCAUCAUGGAUGUAUGAGGAGGAGCACAGUCCUCCUGCAGCGCCUUAGUUCUAUUAAUCUGUAAUUAACAAGAAUUCACGGAUGGCUACAAGACGAAGUCUCCAGCCGCUACCACGAUGGGGGAACAAACAGUGCGAUCGCUGCGGCCUGAUGCGGUUGAUUCGGUUGGAAUAAAAGUCAAAACGAAUAAGACAAAAGUUCUAAAAUACCCCUGAAGAUGGAUGGUUGGAUUUAUCCGGCACUCCCUCCUCUCCCUAGGGAGUACCAGGGUACUGUAAAAACUCUCUUCUAGAAGAUAGAGGGUCUGUAACCAAUUGAAUUGGGAUAAGCAUAAAAGAAGUGACUAGAAUUCUGAUGGCGCCUUCCUCUCAGUCUCCCAUCCUUCCUCUGGUGGUCUGUUCCUCACCUACCCUUCUCCGUGCCUUCCCGGUCCUCUUUCUUGCCGAUCGCGAUCGGGUCGUCACAAUUGGAUACCAGGUACUUCAAAUUGGCCCCAAAAUUUGCUUUCGCUGUUUGCUCCUCAAUUCUCUCGGCAAGAAUCUAUAUUGAUGAAUAGAAGAAUACAAUUUGUAGAUUGCAUUUGAGAAACCAAGUCUUGACAGAGUAGCUUCAUGUAUUGCUUGAGUGUUUCAAGAGGGUCUUCGGGGCUUUACAUAGGCUGACCUUCGCCAACAAGUUUUCGAUCUUUUUUUUUUCGAAUAAAAUACUUUCAUUACUUAAAAGGAGACCUCACAGUCAAGUUUACAAAUUUCAACCACCUCCUCUGGUGCACACCGUAUCCAAACAGCAGUUUUUGGGAGCGUGUACGACCCAUUUGAGCAAGUACAUGGCUCGCUUUGUUCUGGUCACGUUUGAUGGACGUGAUUUUAUGCUGCCUGCUAGCCAGUAGAUGCCUGACUUCACUCACCAUUGCUGCCAUAGGUGAUCUGUCCAGAGAGGAAUCAGUAACCAUAUGCGCUGCAACAGCACAGUCCGUUUCCACGAUGAUACUCUCAGAACUCCGUUCGAUAGCCAGGGAAACCCCUUCCGUGAGCGCUGCAACUUCUGCUUCGAGACCACUUCUGUAUCUCUGAAUAAAACGACAUGAGGUAAAGAUAAUGGCACCUCUGUGGUCACGCAGAAUCAUUCCAGCUCCUCCAGUACCCUCCUCCUCCAUCCAUGAUCCAUCAAUAUUAAGUUUAACCCAGCCUAGAGGUGGCUUGCUCCAGCUCGCCAUGGACCUUGGCCUCUCUGUUGGUGUUUUAUUCAGUUUGCCCUUUCUAUCGCAGCCGCUGUGUGAGACCACCUCCUUCCCUUAGCAACAUCAGCAUUUGGGUUCUGCUGGAUGUUCAGAAGAGUUUCGAUGUAGCCACCUAAGAAUUUGGUAGAAGCUUCUACCGGCGGCGCCGGUUUGUGGUGGUAUAUCUCAUUCCUCACAUGCCAGUUCCGCCAUAAAGUCAUGAUCACAGAAAGGCGUUCUUCAGGGCUGCAACCAUCGAGCAGAUGAAUGAUCCAUUCGGGACCUGUGUUGGUGAUGGCUUCUAGCAUGGGUAUGCUCCAUGUUUGUGCCAUCGCCCUCCACAGACACCUCGCCCGUGGACAGCUGCACAGGGCGUGGAAAGAGUCCUAGCGUUCCAACCCACAUAAAGCACACGUGUCAGAGACCUCAAGUUUACGUUUACAUUUAUUGUCAAGUGUAGCCAAAGAAUUUGUCGCAACCCUCCAUGCAAAGACUCGUACCUUCGGGGGAGCAGGGGCACCCCCACACUGCCUUCCAGACGGCACGAGUGCCGUCCGGUGCCCUGCUAGUGGCGCACGUGGUGGUGCUGGUCCGCUCCUCUAGAGCGGUCUUGUAGGCGCUUCGUACGCUGAAUAUACCUCGCGAGUCUGGAGCCCAUGCUAGGACGUCGUCCAGCCGCCGUGGGCUGGCUUUGAUCGCCAAAAUACGUUCAACAUCUGGUGCAGAGAAAUGUUACUGAAGUAGUUCCACACGCCAUCGACCAUUGCCAUCAAGGAGUUCGGAUACCCGCCGUAUCCGGCAGGUACCUCGAGGAGUAAUCGGCCUGUAUGUCGUGGGGCGUGGGAUCCAUGGGUCUCUCCACACCCGGAUCCGCUCGCCAUUUCCCACUCGUCAAAUGAGCCCUUUGUUGAGCAGCUCGAGUCCAUGCUGAAUGGCGUGCCACGUCGGUGACGCGUUGCCUGAAAAAACUGUGUCCUUAAGAGAGCCAUUCGGGUAAUAUUUUGCUUUUAGCACUUGUGCACACAAGGACUCCGGCUUGAUCAGCAGGCGCCACGCUUGUCUUGCUAGUAGAGCUUGGUUAAAAAGACGAAAAUCUCGGAAACCAAUGCCCCCCUUCCCUUUUGGCUCAAGCAAUUUCUCCCAUGCAAGCCAAUGAGUCUUUCUUUGUCCCUGUUUUGAUCCCCACCAGAAAUUCCGUACUAGUCGGGUGAGAUCAUCACACACAGAACAAGGUAACUUAAAUACCCCCAUGAUAUAUGUAGGGAUGGCCUGCAAAACUGACUUGAUCAAUGUUUCUUUUCCUGCCUGCGAAAGAGAGUCUCCCCACACCAUGAUUCUUUUAGUCAAACUUGCCUGUAACAUCUGGAUUUUCCCUUGUGCAUACGACCAUCCGGAGUGGGUAGGCACCUGUUUGAUUUCAUCCUGUAUCGCCAUGGGGCAGCUAUCACCAAAGUGAAUGGAACAUUUAUGAGGGUUUAUGAGUUGACCAGUGGCUCUAGCAUACCGAUGGAGGACAUCUUUCACGAAGAUGGCCUGAUUAGCAUUAGCUUUGAAGAACAACAAAGUAUCAUCCGCAAAAAGUAGGUGUGAUAUUCCGGGUGCUCUGCUACAAGUCCUGACCGGAUGGAGCGCCUGUGACUGUACUCCUUGUCUCAACAGCCACUAGUAGAAAAAGGGUCAUCUGUCCCGGUUGGUAAGGGCCUUUUGUCCCGGUUUUUGAACCGGGACUAAAGGGUCGUUACUAAUGCCCUAGCCCUUUAGUCCCGGUUCUUACACGAACCGGGACAGAUGGGCCUCCACGUGGCCGGUGCGGCGAGCCCAGGCAGGAGGGCCUUUGGUCCCGGUUGGUGGUACUAACCGGGACCAAUAGGCAUCAACGCGUCAGCAUUUCAGGGGCUGGGGUUUUUNNNNNNNNNNNNNNNNNNNNNNNNNNNNNNNNNNNNNNNNNNNNNNNNNNNNNNNNNNNNNNNNNNNNNNNNNNNNNNNNNNNNNNNNNNNNNNNNNNNNNNNNNNNNNNNNNNNNNNNNNNNNNNNNNNNNNNNNNNNNNNNNNNNNNNNNNNNNNNNNNNNNNNNNNNNNNNNNNNNNNNNNNNNNNNNNNNNNNNNNNNNNNNNNNNNNNNNNNNNNNNNNNNNNNNNNNNNNNNNNNNNNNNNNNNNNNNNNNNNNNNNNNNNNNNNNNNNNNNNNNNNNNNNNNNNNNNUUUGGGGGGUUAAUUUAGGUGUUUCAUAUAUUGUGUUAGCUAGCUAAUUAAUAGAGGGAAGUGUCCUCUCUUAUCUCCGUGCUUGGUCGAUGCUACGUACUAUAUACGUAUAGAGAGGACUAGACACGCUAGCUAGUAAGCAAAUGAAGGAAACAGAAGAUCGUCAUGAACAUAUGCAUACAGAGAGAAGUGAUAUCGACCACCUCUCCUUCUCCGAGAGAUUGGUCGAACAACAAGUUCUCGUAUAUCUAUCCGACACUACCAGCUACAUAUAUACAAUAAUUAUCUCUUACAAUAUAAUCUCCUAAUUAAAUUCUAAGCACACAGGGUCCACAUAGUAUGCUCCGUUUUCAGCGAUCACUGGUCAAGGAAGAAUGCCGCCAAUUCCUCUUGAAUUGCUUGCAUACGAUCUUCUGGUAGGAGUUCAUCCCGCAUCCGAAAGAUCUAAUUUGAAGAAGGGGUCAAUACAUAUAUAUAUAUAUAUAUGAAUAAAUGAAACUCAACACAAAUGAUGGUAAUAAAAUAAAAUUGUGAAUAUUAUUGCUUACGCACUUCAUAUUGUUCGUCAGAGUAGCCCCGCUCACAGGUCGUGUAGCGGAUGGACUCGCAAACGUAGUAUCCACAGUAAUUAUUCCCGGGUUCCUGCCACAACCACUUUACAAGAAAUAGAGGUCAAUCAAACUGAUAAGCAAGCAUGCUAAAUGGUAUUGAUGAAACUAGCGCUUGAAUCACUAGGAGAUGCGCGGAACAUGCUAUUAUAGUACUUACUUUCGGGUGAAAUUGCAGCUUCUUCGGCAGUCCCGGAGCUUUUUUGGUGAAUUUUCUCCAAACCCUGCCAGACAAAGAAAACAAUUACUUGAUAUCAGGAAAUGAACAAAGUUGCUGAUAUGGUGGAUAAUGAUCGAUUUAACUUACUUCUCGAGCAUUUGAGUCAUGUCCGCAUAGUCCUGGGGAUCUUUUCGUCUCGAGUCUAAGACGGUUACUAGUCCCUGCUCAAGCUUAAUCUCUAGGAGAAUAUAGUGGAAGCUGCACAUGCAUGCAUAAGCCAUCAAUUACAUUACUAUCACCUGGACUAAUAAGGGAAACCGAAUAUGCACAAGACAGUAACACUCACUUGAAGUUGUAAGGAAAGAGUAUUAUAUCUUUGUUUUUAUUUAUUACCAACGAUCGUAGCAAGUUGGCCUUGGUAUUUUCGGCAUGAUAUUUAACCUCAGUUGCAUCUAUGAGAUUUGUGUUAAUGAAUCCAAUAUUACCGAUUUGUCUUUUCUUCAAUUCGGCGAUCUUCAAUCUGCAUAAUAUAGUGAGGAUAAUUAUAAAUACAUGCAAUGAAAGAGCUGACCUAUAUAGAGAGACUUAAUGACAAAAGUAGUACUACUUACAGACAGUAGCAAGUGAUCGUUGAUUUAUCGAGGGCCUUUUGAUUGAAAAACUAGAAGAACUCCUCAAAUGGAACAUUCAACAAUUCAGUUCCAACGAGGUCAUGCUCCUCUUUAACUCUCAGCGUCAAAGUAUUCCCCCCCAGACUCUCUGCAGGUUUUCAUGUACCAAUCAUGUAAUCUUCGCAUCAUCGUUGUUAGAGAUCUUUCAUCUUUGACGAGAGGCUUCCCGUAAUGGUAUUUGUGUUCGUCCACCUCCAAGAAAUCAUAAUGUACAUCGUCGGGCAGGUAAUCUCCAAGAUUGCUAUAACCGGGCACCAUCCUCGGAGCAUUAGCGACGAUGUCGCUAGACACGUUGAGCGGGGGACACGAUUGGUUCGCUUGUUCGCCGAGGUGGGCAAUUUUUUUCCCAACUCGUCGUUCUUUUAACCUUUGAUCACUGACAGUACUUCCCGACCGCUCCGCUCCGCUUCUUAUUUAUUUCUCCUCUUCUUCCUCUCCUCUUCUUCUCCUUUCUUCCUCUUCUUAUUUUCCUUUUUCCUCUCAUUCUUUUUCUUCUUAUUUUCCUUUUUCCUCUCAUUCUUUUUCUUCUUCUUCCUUUCCUAGCUAGAUAUAUAAAACUUUUCUAAAAAUGUAACUUUUGCAUAUAUACAUGGAAAAAAAUGUUAUCGGGGAGGGGGUAUAUCGACCCCCCCCUCUCGACCCUCUUUUCCUUCUUCUUCCUUCUUCCUUCUUCCUCUUUUCUUCUCCAACACAAAACACAUCUCAUCUCAUCUCAUUUCAUCCAAAAAUAAUUCUUUGCAUAUGAACAUACAUACAUUUACUUUUUUUCUUAAAUGUUGCAUAUGAACAUUUUCUUAAAUGAGCAUAUACAGCAUAUACAGAGCAUUAUACAGUGAACAUACAUACAUCGUAACAAAAAAAGUAAUGAAAAAUAGGCCGGUGGUCGGCGACGGCGACGAUGGUUGGCGGUGGCGCGCGCUUAAGGAUGGCGUGCGGGGACGGCAAUGAGAAGGAAAGGGGAGGAGGCAGGGGCUCACAGCGCGGGGAGGGGUCGAGGUCGCCGGCCGGAAUCGGUGCGGCGGCGGACGAACGGCCUCGGGGAUGAACGGGUCGCGGGAGCCGGCGUGGUGCUUUCCCGCAGCGACGGCGACGACGGGCGCGGGCGACGGCGACGACGGGCGCGGGCGACGACGAUGGCGUCNNNNNNNNNNNNNNNNNNNNNNNNNNNNNNNNNNNNNNNNNNNNNNNNNNNNNNNNNNNNNNNNNNNNNNNNNNNNNNNNNNNNNNNNNNNNNNNNNNNNNNNNNNNNNNNNNNNNNNNNNNNNNNNNNNNNNNNNNNNNNNNNNNNNNNNNNNNNNNNNNNNNNNNNNNNNNNNNNNNNNNNNNNNNNNNNNNNNNNNNNNNNNNNNNNNNNNNNNNNNNNNNNNNNNNNNNNNNNNNNNNNNNNNNNNNNNNNNNNNNNNNNNNNNNNNNNNNNNNNNNNNNNNNNNNNNNNNNNNNNNNNNNNNNNNNNNNNNNNNNNNNNNNNNNNNNNNNNNNNNNNNNNNNNNNNNGCGGACGACGUCGAUUUGGGUAGCCUGGCGGCGUCGAUGAGCUCGACGUCGUCGGGGCAACUGGCGAUGAGUUCGUCAAAUUUUCCUAAGUGCUACUUAUAUACCCAGGCCUUUGGUCCCGGUUCAUAGCACCAACCGGGACCAAAGACACCCUUUAGUCCCGGUUGGUGCCACCAACCGGGACCAAAGGCCUCUUUUCAGCAGCCCAAAGGGCGGGAAGCGGCGGCCUUUGGUCCCGGUUGGGGGGCAUUGGUCCCGGUUGGUGCCACCAACCGGGACCAAAGGCCCCCUUUAGUCCCGGUUGGUGCCACCAACGGGGACGGAAAGCCUUGCACAGCGGCGUGGUGGUGGGAGUUUAGUCCCACCUCGCUAGCUGAGAGAGAGCCGCACCUGUUUAUAAGGUGCGGUGCGCCUGAGCUGUCGAGCUCCUCUCUAAAGCAGGCUUACGGGCCUAACCUCUCUGUACAUGCCUGUGGGCCUACUGGGCCUUCUGCGGGCCUGAAUCCUGGCCCAUGGAUGGGUUUCUAGUCGUAUCCAGGCCGUGGUGGCCCAGUAGGUGGCAUAAUUUUUAUUUUUUGCCUGUUUUUUUGUUUUCUUUUUUUGCUUUAUUUAUUUUGUUUUGUUUCUACUUACAACAAAAAACUUAUUUAUCUUAUUUUAUUUUGUUUCUAAUUACUUAUUUAUUUUACUUUAUGAUAAUUCUUUUUGCCAUUAAAGUUUCUAACAAAAAAAGUUCUUUAUGAAAAUUCUUUUUGCUUUCAAUGAUUUUGAACAGAAAAUACUUCGAUAAUUUUAGUUGCAUCAAUUUUAUAUAAUUUUAGUUUCAAUAAUACUAGAGGUUGCUUAUAAUGUUUUGAACAGAAAAUACUUUGAUGAUUUUAGUUUCAUAAAUUUUANNNNNNNNNNNNNNNNNNNNNNNNNNNNNNNNNNNNNNNNNNNNNNNNNNNNNNNNNNNNNNNNNNNNNNNNNNNNNNNNNNNNNNNNNNNNNNNNNNNNNNUUGCUUAUAAUGUUUUGAAUAGAAAAUACUUUGAUAAUUUUAGUUUCAUAAAUUUUAUUUAUGUUAUUAAAGUUUAUUUUAUUUUGUUUCUACUUAUAUAUUUUAUUAAAGUUUAUAUUAUUUUGUUUCUAAUUACUUAUUUAUUUUAUUUGUUAUUUUUCAUGCACCAUUUUUCAUGCAUUUACUGAUUAUUUUGAGCUAUAAGACCCUAAAAUUGAAAAGCAUUUCAAAUGAACUUUGAAAAGGUUGAAAGUUGGCAUGGUAUCAUCAUUCCAUCCACAUAGCAUGUGCAAGAAAGUUGAGAGGGUUACGGCAAAAACUGGAUGCACUUCGUGUACAAAAUGGACAAUCUCUUUUGAAGUAUCAGGAUUUCAUACGGAAACUCGUCUGUUACAAAGGGAUUUCAUUUUUUAAAACUUAUUUGAACUCUUGACUUUGUGUGUGUCCAAAAUGCACCAUUAAAAGCCACAUCAUCAAUUUUCAACCCUUUCUGACUUCAUUUGUUAUUUUCAUGCAUUUAUUGAUUAUUUUGAGCUAUAAGACCCUGAAAUUGAAAAGCAUUUCAAAUGAACUCUGAAAAGGUUGAAAGUUGGCAUGGUAUCAUCAUUUCAUCCACAUAGCAUGUGCAAGAAAGUUGAGAAGGUUACGGCAAAAACUGGAUGCACUUCGUGUACAAAACGGACAAUGGUAUCAUACUCGUGUGUUACAAAGUUGGCAUGGUAUCAUCAUAAUAGUUGCGGGAGAAAGUCUUCACUUUUUCUUCGCUUGUGUCAUUUGCUUAUUGCGCCGUAACCAUGGAUAAUCUUCAUCGUUUAUCAGGAUGCUUGGGUCAGCCUUGACUUUGAAGGGAGGAAUUUCAUGAAACUUUUCAUAAUCUUCAGACAUGUCUGUCUUGCCCUCCACUCCCACAAUGUCCCUUUUUCCUGAAAGAACUAUGUGGCGCUUUGGCUCAUCGUAUGAUGUAUUCGCUUCCUUAUCUUUUCUUUUUCUCGGUCUGGUAGACAUGUCCUUCACAUAGAUAACCUGUGCCACAUCAUUGGCUAGGACGAACGGUUCGUCAGUGUACCCAAGAUUGUUCAGAUCCACUGUUGUCAUUCCGUACUGUGGGUCUACCUGUACCCCGCCUCCUGACAGAUUGACCCAUUUGCACUUAAACAAAGGGACCUUAAAAUCAUGUCCGUAGUCAAGUUCCCAUAUGUCCAUUAUGUUAUCAUAAUAUGUGUCCUUUCCGUUCUCGGUUGCUGCAUCAAAGCGGACACCGCUGUUUUGGUUGGUGCUCUUUUGAUCUUGGUCGAUCGUGUAAAAUGUAUUUCCAUUUAUCUCGUAUCCUUUGUAAGUCAAUACAGUCGAAGAUGGUCCCCUGGACAACGAGUACAACUCAUCACAAACAGUGGUGUCACCUCUGAGACGUGUUUCCAACCAACUGCUGAAAGUCCUGAUGUGUUCACAUGUAAUCCAGUCGUCACACUGCUCCGGGUGUUUGGAGCGCAGACUGUUCUUGUGUUCAUCGACAUACGGGCUCACUAAGGUAGAGUUCUGUAGAACUGUGUAGUGUGCUUGAGACUAAGAAUGCCCGUCCUUGCAUAUUAUUGAGUCCGCUCCUAGCACUACAAAAAAAAAAUACACUUCCGUGAUGAUACGUGUUUGUCACAGUAGGUCGCGUUUUUUGUCAUGCAUGUACAUCCAUGACAAAUUUAUGACAGAAUCAAG
rnacentral:lncRNA from 1 species